rnacentral:lncRNA from 1 species
GGAGGGGUACACGUCAGCAAAAUCAUUUGCAAACUAAAGUGGGAUUUUACUGCCAAAAAUGCUGUCGACUGAGCCUUUGCCCCUCCAACUUUCUCCAACGUCAUUUAUCGCGUCACCCCUCCAGAAAUUUUUAGUUUUUUUUUUUUUUUUUUAAGAGAAAAACCGAAAAUUCCUGGGGAAAAAUAAAAGAAAGUAUGCGAUGGGUGGGGAGUACAAGAGGCGGGUACGUGAUAAACGGAGGAUUAGGAGGCAAGAUGGCUGGCAUUUCCACAAACAGAUGGUAGGAAGGGGACAUGGUCAGCAAAUUCACUCCCCCUAAACCUGCGCAUCAAUCUCUCUUCUUCUUUUUAACUUUCGCUUUCUCUCUCUCUCUCCCUAUCUCUAUCUACCUCUGUUGACUGUGGUUGUCGUAUCCUAAGGUAUCAUCUCUGAGUGUGUGUGUGUGAGGGUGUCAGGCCGUGAAGGCCUUCACAGGGCAGCAGUGGUGGUGGGGUGGGGGUGGUGGUGGGUGGUAGCAAGUAAGGAAGAAGGUACUCAGAUUUUUGCCUGUUUGUAGUGAAUCUGACUCUGCUGCACACACAGAGCUAGCCUUGGGUGCGCGACACUGAACCCCAUUUUGUUUCUUUGUGUUCAGCCACUCUGACCCGGGCCUCUUCGCCUUUUCCCCCCUCUUGUGGACCCCCAUCAGGAUUUCUCGCCCCGAAAUCUGCUUCAUCCUUGAUUCCACCGCCACUUGCCUAUUUAUUAACCUCUUUCCCCAGGAAUGGACUCUACUCUGUAGAUAGAUUUUGAUGGACACACUAUCAUACACCCUUAUCACCUUUCCUUCUUUUUUGUAAUCAUAUUAUCAAUUCUUCUCCUAUAUGGCAGUUCUUUUUUCCUUAAUAAAAUAAAAUAUUUGAUCCAUCUUCAUGGGUUAUCCAUUAGCGUGUCGAAAUUUGUUAUUAAAGCAGAGGUUUGACCGAAUUAAAUUGUCCAAAUAAAUGGAAAACACAUCGGUGGCCUGAUAGGGUGGUUGGGGGUUUUGGAGAAGAGGCAUGUUACAACUCCUACACUAUCAUCAUGAGACAUGCAUCAUAAAUGUGGUCAAAGAGACUCAAAGGUCUCCCAAGACUAGAAGCAAUAAGGAAUAUAUUAAUAAUAACAUCUGGGUCCUAAAAAUUUAAUGAGAGAAGAGCACAGAUGUUAAUGAGUAAGAGGGUUGGAGGUUGCUUUGGGGAAUAAUCUUCAUUGUUAUGGGGUUGUUUGUGGGUGCCAGUAGGAGGAGUCUUUAAUCUUUAUGGGUCAUGGGUCAUGGGCGGCCACAGUGGGAUAUAAUUUUUCAUCACCAUUUCAUGAGUUGGCCAUUUGGACUCUAUUGACCACUCUCUAUGACUUCCAACCCCUUUUGUCUUCCCCCGCUGACUUUCCUACUCUCCUAACUCCUAAUUUCACUGCUCCCCUCUUCUAAAUUUUACAUACCUAAUUUUAGAACAAAGAAAAGCCUGCCUGAUUAUAGUUUUUCUAGAAAUAUUUUUUGAAAAUUUUAUUUAUAAAUUUAAAAACACUGCAAAUCAGAAUCAAUCUCAACAAAAAAUGGUUUCCUUUUUUUUCUUUUUUUCUAAUAAAUUUAUGGUUAAGAAUGUUUUUGAAAACAAUCUUUUAUUCUUUAAAACAAAAAAUACAUAAAAUAUAAUUUGUAACAAAAAACCCUUUGAUGUUUUAUAUGUUCUAAAGAAGAAAAUAUGGUGUUUUCAAAUAACAUCUUUUAAUUAUUUUAUAUUAUUUUCACUUAUUUUUUUAGAGUUAUUUUAAUAAAUAAUUAUAUAAAUAUGUAAAAUAAUUAAAAAUAAAAUACUAAAUAUAAAAAUUAAUUUUAAAACAUAUUUAAAAAUAUUUUAGAUUUUCAAAUAAAUUUUUAUUUUACAAAAAUCAGAUAACUGUUUUAAAAAACUGUUACCAAACAUGUCCUUUAUUUUUUUAUUUUUUCCUAAUUAGAAGUGGAGCAUGUGGAUGAAAGUGACAAUGUAUAACUUAUCUUUCCUUUAUUUUAGAAAUGAUAAAUUUCAUUAAUGUUGGUGCAUUCCAAGUCCUACAUGAUCUAUCAAGUGCUACAUUUAUUUUAUACAUAUAAGAAGAAGAUGGACCAUUAAAGAGGAAUUUAAUUUGGCUAGUUGGAGCAUACUACAAACCUAAACUCAAAUCCCAUAAUUAUAGCCAAUAAUUGACUGAAAAAAAAUAUUUAGUUUUCAAUCUUAAGUAUUAUUUUCUAACAUUUUUAUUAAAUUUAGGCCAAUUUUAUAAAUUAAUGCAUGAUUAAAGUUUCAUAUUUAAUCAAAGUCAUACCAUAUUUUAUCUUGAAGCAACCCGGAAUAAUAAUUAAUAGUAAGUCCAAUUAAAAUCUUAUUCCCCAACAAUUGUAUAUGGGGUCCAUUUUGCAUUAUUUGUAACAUAAUUUAGAAGAUAAUAUAAAAAAAUGUGGAAAUGUUUUAAAUUAAUUGUCAUUCCUUGGAGAUGGGUUAGAAGAAUUAACAACAAUUGACAUUUUGUGGUAGCAACUUUAGACAGAAUUAAAAUGUGAAAAAUCACCCAAUGAGCAUCACAACACAUACAAUAAAAUUCACUUUUGGUUUAAUUUAUGGAGAAAGAGGAUGCUCAAAAAAAUUAAACUUUCCAAAAAGAAAGACUUCAAUAUGCUUAUUGGGACGCGUGGCAGCACCCCAGAUGAGUCAAUAAAAAGAGCUUUACACACUUUUUAUGAGGCGCUUUUUGCACAAGAGAUUGUUUCUAGGGCAGCAUUUGCCGAAAAGCUCAGCAUAAGAGCACAUGAGUAGUGAAAAGAUAUGCACAUUGGGACAGCACAUUUGUUGUUUACAUGCUUGAUUUGAUUUUGGUGCCUUUAAUUUUCCAUAAGCAUGGGGCCUCCCCUUGAUUUAAGGGUUAGUCAGUCAAAUCUGCCCAUUACGCUCAACUAUUUUUGGUGAGCUUAGGAAAGAGGCUAGGGCUCUUUUGUUGUUGUUUGGAUAUGUUUGUUGAGGACCAAGCUUUCCCCUACUUUGACUUCAAACUCAGCUCCAAGCCUAGAACUUGUACUCUUUUGUGUUUAGUGUAUGUUUUAGUUGAGUAAGCUCGGAUUAUAUAUUAAGGGAAAUCGUAAUAUUAAAUAAAACAAUAUAUUUAAAGGAAUAAUAUUAAGUUAAGACGGUUGUAAGUUAUAUGAUUCAGUUCUAAUACCAUUUAUUAGUCCUCGUAACAAUUCAAUUGAAUCUAUAUCAUUAAGCUCGGGUUUAAUGGUUGGACUUAUAAGCGCUUACAUACCUUUCUCUAAAAAGUCGAUUUUAAAGGGUGAAUUGCACUUAAUAUGUGUGUGAUAAUUGGUUUCAGAGUAAACAUCAUGCAAAGAAGAUCUCCAUCCUAAAAAGAGCAGGUUGAGGAAGGGUUACUACCUAAUUGUGAGCGAGAUCCACGAAGUCAUUUAGUCAUAGGUUUCAAAAACAUAAUGGAUUGUAACAACCCAAUUGAAUCAUACAUCACUUUAGCGGUUAAACCUAUAAGCAUUUAUUAGUCCUCAUAACGAUUCAGUUGAAUCUAUAUCAUUAAGCUCGAGUUUAAUGGUUGGACUUAUAAGCACUUACAUACCUUUAUCUUAAAAGUAGAUUUUUAAGGGUGAAUUGCACUCAAUAUGUGUGAUAAUUGGUUUAAGAGCAAACAUCAUGCAAAGAAGAUCUCCAUCCUAAAAAGAGUAGACUGAGGAAGGGUUACUACCUAUGUGCGAGAUCCACAAAGUCAUUUAGUCAUAGGUUUCAAAAACAUAAUGGAUUGUAACAACCCAAUUGAAUCAUACAUUGCUUUAGUAAUUAAACCUAUAAGCACUUGGAUAUCCUCCCUUAAUAACUGGUUUUCAAAAAUGAAUUCUACCUAUCGUAAAGUAUAACAGUCUUAAGUGUUAGUUAUUUCAUUUGAAAAUCAAUUUACUAUUAUUAAUACUUCAAAACUUUGAUGCCAAUUCAUAAGUAGUUGUUUUUUUAGAGGAACAUUAUUAUAUACAUAAUAGCAAUUCAUAUAUAAAGAAGAGUUAAAAUAAGUCAAUUGAUGCCUAAUAACAUAUAAGGUCAUAUAUGCAUAAAGGAAAAGUCACUUUAAAGCAAGUGGUGUCUAAUAAAAGAAAAGUUGAAUUAGAUUAGGAAACAAGUUAGGAUUUUGAAGGCCAUGAAUUGAGUUUAACCAUUUUAAUUAAGAUUUGUGAGGGUAGCCAAGCCCAAAGCCAAGUGUAGGAGAAGAAGGAGAGGGAGAAGGAGAAAGGGGAUUGAUUGUAUAUGUAUAACAACACACAGGUGCCCAUAUUCCAAAACAGGAAAAAAUAUAUAGAAAGGCACGUGAAAUAUGAGAUGGAGUUGCAGAAGGGUGAUUGAAAACGCCAGCUACUUGCCUCACACGCACGUACAGCUCAUAGCCACCUCUCCAAUGCAGCAAAGCAAAGCAAAGAAAAACACAUAGAAAGAAAGGUGUUCAUGUUGUCUAUCAUCACCUGCAAAAGGACUAAAGGAGUAUCUCUUAUGACUUAUCACGGCCACAACGCCUCCCUCCUUGGGGGCACUUGAUGCUUACCUUUCUACACUUCAACAAAUUAUUUUUAAUCUUUCUCAUGUCCUUUGUGUAUGGGACUGACCUUCCUUCCCUUUCUUAAUUCCACCCUCAAACUGCCCUUAAACCACUUUGAAGAGACCCACACGCAUGCAUGUCCCACGUGGGCCGCAUUUCUUCACAUGGUAUUGUGAGACAUGCCUAGGAGGAACUCCCCCUUCCCCUUCUUUAUUAUUAUUAUUUUUUUCUCUUGUUGUCCCAAUCCACGACCUUCCUUCUGAUCCUCUUUAGGAUGGGGUUUCAUUUUCUUAGGUUGACGACCUGUUUUUAAGUCUCCAUCAUCAUCCUUAAGCUAAAAAUUGAUACCUUUGAAAUGGGUUGUGAAUAUUAAUCAUAUUGGGUUCAUCAGUCCUAAUUUGUGGAAAAAUAAAUGAAUCUAGUUAUGAAAUGAAGUAAAAGAGAGUGGCAUUUUGUCACUGCAGUGUGUAGUGUAGCUGAGUCACCCAUAUGCUUGAAAGGGCUUAAAAAUUAGGCAGUGAAUCUCAGUGGGAGCCACACAUACUUCAACUAAAAAUUAGGUUGACCCCCCUAAUUGUCCAAUGAGAAUGUGCGGUGGGAAACCUAAUUUUUGGAAUGGAGGUAGUGGGGAUCCACUUGGCAAACUGGGUCCUCAUCGACGUGGGGUUGUGGGUUUGCUUGGUUUAGCUGUUGUAGUGGAAGUCAAAGACUCAAAAUGGUGUUGCUUUCAUGAACUAAACUCACGUUUUUAGUAAUCUUGAUAGAUUCCUAAACUAAAGCAAGAACAAUUCCAAUUCUACUUUAUGGAAAAGCAAACCCGAUUUCACAUGCCCAUGAAUGGCCCACCCACCAUCUUUCAUCUUGUGUGAUGAGACUCUGUGAAAUGAGCACCCAAGUGGACAUGGGGUUUCUUCAAAAUGGUCAAACAAGAAGAGAAAUCCAUUAAGAAACAAAGAUUAUGUUGUGUCGACAAAAUGGGGAAGUAGGAAUCAAGGAAAUGAUUUUUCAGAGAUUUCAUCCACUAAAAUCAUGGCAUGAUGAGAGUUAGAUAUGGGGGGAUUGUGGGGGGUCAAAUCACUCAAACCCAAAGAUCUUGAGCUUGUUAAAGAAAGUAGAUUUUUGGAUUUACAAAUCCCUAAAGACCUCCCUAUGGGGGGUUGCAUUAAUUAGAGAUCCCACCAUAUGGGCACACACCCACAUUUUGAAUAACCCACCACUUCUUCCAUUACCCAUUUCUAAAAACAUGUUAGAUUUCUCAUUUUUCUUUCUAUUCAACCAAUAGAAGGUACUCAAAUGAGUCAGCUUUCUACAACUAAAAUCCCAUUCUAAAAUGGGUUUUGCUUUUACAUAUAGUACCAUGCCAUAGAGUUGAUCGAAAGGGCAGUUUUAACACUUGAUCUUGUUGUGUAAUUUUGUGCCCAUUUUCAUAUUGAAUUAGUGUACACAUAGAGCACUAGAAUGAUACUAAUAUGAUAACAAUAUCCUUUGCUAAGAUACCUUUUCCUUUUCCUUUUCCUUGUAGUCUUGGGUUUUCACUAGCAUUUGACUUAUGCCCGAUUGGAAUUAAAAAAAAAAAAGUAAAAAAAAAAAGGAAAAGGUUGGACUAAUGGUGGGGAGUGUGAAAGAAUCAUUGAUAAGAUUGUCAAAAGUGGCAUUAAUUUAUGUAUGUGCUAACCGUGUGGCUAAGGGUGUUUUUCAAGAAAUAUUUAAAGGAGGAAAUCAGAGGUGGGGUUGGCCGACGCCUGAUAAAAGGAAUGGGAUGUUUGGGGGGAAUCUCAUGAUGUUAAGUUAAAUCUAUGUCCUAGUGUUUCAAACACAAUUUAAGGAACAAAUGUAGGGGAAUCUCAUCAUUUAAUUUUUACAAAAAGAAAUCUUAUGUGUAGAGUUUGGAACACAAUCAUGGGUGUUUCUUUCUCCCCCCUCUUGCUCUAAAAGAUAAGAUAGGGUAGGCUCCCUAUGAGCAUGCAUUCCUCCUCAUCUUCAACCACCUCAACUAUUGACAGCCCAUCUCAGAUUGGGAUGGCUACACUUUUUAGUGCAAGCAAGGCUUCUUCUAGAGAAUAUUAGGCCCAACUCAUAAUCACUAAUGUCAUGUUUCGGGUGUUGAAAGAUCUUGGAAUAAAAAAACAUGAAUGGGAAAUCAAUUUUUAUUUUUAUUUUAUUAUUAUCUUUGAAUUGUGUUUUUUAAGAACAGGGAUAUGAAUAAAAAAUUGUUGUAGUAUGUGACUCAUAUUAAGGGAAAGAUAUAUAUGGAGAAAAAAAUGGAUAAAUAUCGGGAGUGGAAUGAGGGGAGCGUAGGUACGGUUUAAGAGUAUUUUUAGAAUUUUAUUAUCUAAAGAUUAAUAUAAAUAGUCUUUUAUAUAACCUUAAUUUAACAUAUGAUAAAAGUCUUCUUCCUUGUACCCAUAAAUAUAUGCAAUUUAUCGAAUCAUAUUAAAUCUAAGUGUUUUCUUUUCGUUUUUCUCUAAUUUUUCACUAGGAAUUGUUGCACAAAAAUCAAUAAAAAUUUAUCAGUAUGAUAUCAAAUUCUACUUUUGUUGAAUUGUUAGUAUUUUAAUUCUUUUUUUUUACAUGGUAUCAUAAUUCAUUGUCAUUGUCAUUCUAUUUUCAUUCUUUUUCUCAUGUAUUAAAUACACCUCAAAUUUUAAGUACUAAAUGUUUAGACAAUAUUUGAUUCCAAAAAAACUAUGAAAAAAAAAUAAAAAAUAUUUUUUCCAUUUUGGUUUUAUAAUGAAAAAUAUAUAUAAAAAAAAUUAAAUAUAAUCAAAAUUUCUUAAAAACUUAUAUAUUUUCAAAUUAUUUUAUUCUUAAUGAGAUUAUUAAGAGACUUAGAAUAAAUGGUAUAUAAAAAUAAUUUAUUAACUUUAAAUAUAUUUCCGAUUUUCUUCCACUUUUCUUUUCCUUCUAUUACUCUCUAUUUUAUUUCCCUUAUAUUUUCCAUAUAUUCUUCAGAACCAAGCAGAGCCAUAUCGUAUUCUUAGAGUCAUCUAUUUAUCUUCCAUAUUCAAAUGACAAGUUAGCAAUUGAUUCCACAACUAGGGGGCUAGGCCCAGGAAGCUCCAGUUCAGGCCUAGUCUCAAAACAUCUGGGCCUGACUUUAUCCCAAUUAAGGUACUGUCCUUCCAUGUAUUGGGCUUAAGCUGAGCUUAACCGGUCAGACUCUAAUGUUCCAGGUUUUCUCUCUUUUCUUCUCGGCUUUAUUACAGGCCCAAAUCCAGUAGUGGUCACGCCACGUGACGUAAAAUCAGGUGACCGUGUGUGGCGAGGCUCACCGACCUGUGACGCCUCCUUCCUUAAAAAACCCUAGGGCAUUGGCCCACUGUGUAGCGAAGCUCUGAAAAUGGAACCUGAAUCCAAGAAAAGAAGAAUCGGCCAUGCAAUCUCUCGCAGGUAAGCCCACGAGCCUUCAAUUUUUAUCCUCUUCAUCGCUUUCUUUCUCUUUUGAUUUGUUCUUCUUUUUUUUUUUUUUCUUUUUUUUUUUUUUUCACGCAAUUCUUAGCAAUAAGAUUCGUUUUUCAUUUCUAAUUUUUAUCGAUUAGGCUUUGCUGAAAAACAUUGAAUUCAUGAUACGUGAUUUCUGAAUACUUCAUUCUUCAUUAGAGAUAUUUUGGUGUUUGGAUUUGUUGAAUUGACAGUAAUGUGUUUUGAAGUUUGAACCGAAAACGUUGGAAUAAGAGGAAAGGAAAUAGAAUCAAACUCCUCUCCCUUCCAUUCCACAAUUAAAAUUUUCUCGAUUAAAAUUUUGGUUGGAAACAAAGUGUUAAAGAUGGAGAAAGCGACUCCAUUGUAAAGGAGUAUAAGUAGUAUUUCUCAAACUUCUGAGUUCAAAUGUAGACAAUUCUCAUCAGAACAAUGUAAACUGCAUAAUGAGAUGAGUGCAGUGGGUUGAUGGAUUAAUAUAAUUCAUUUUUGCUGCCACUUCAUGGUUUAGAUUUCCAAAGAAGCACCUUUGAAACUUUAUUUAAUGUUAGGGCUUGAUAAUCUUUCAUCGGUGAUGAAGAAUUUUGUUGUUGCCCUGAAAUUCCUGAAAGCCUGCAGCAGUAGAGAUUGUUUCAUAAAGUUAGGUUUGUCCUUCCAUAUACUGUCAUAAAAAAGGAAAAAAAAGAAAAGAAAAGAAAGAAAUCUGCACAGUUUCAAGCUUAACUACCAAGCUUUGGUCCAAAUAUUUUAUGAUAUGAAACACAGAGUAUAGUUUCUUUCCGAUUUUUAAUUUCAUGAUUUAAUUUUGAAUGAAUUUGUGAUUCUUGAGCUCAACAUGUAACCUCUUAAGUGUCAAAUGUGCCUUUUCUUCUGGUUGCAGAAUGGUCUCCUCGCCAGCUGCAAAGAACGAUGUAGUUUCAACUUCAACUGAUAUUCCAACUGUGAGCAAUGCCCUCCUUUGCUGUGUUCUUGAAUCAUCGGUUUUUAACCCUAGGAUUCUCACUAGGUGGCUGAUUAUGUAGGUUCCACUUCCAGCAGCCCAUCCUGGUGGAAUCCAUUUCAGGAUUGAACAAGCUAGGAGACAUGCAGUAGCACAAGCUCAACAAGAGGGUUGCACUGCCAAUUUCAAAAUCUUUGAUUCGCGAUUUGGAAAUUUUCUACUGCCUGUAAUUCCAACUCAUGCAGAACUAAAUGGAUAGACUCAUGCCUCUACAGAUACUAGAUACUACAACGAUGUACUUAAGAUAUUGUAUGCCCUAAUCUAAGAUUCUGAAUGAAGGUUUUGAGUUGAAUGCCAACCUAAUGUAACUUGCCUCUUUUCUACAGGUUUGGACCAACUCUUCAACAGCAGUUCUCCAAGGUCCAAGCAUAGAAUUCCAGACGUGACAGAAACAGAGUUGCUAGUUGGUUUCUGUAAGUUGGAUGCUCUGUGAAAUGCUUGAUUUUCUUUGGUUUUGGGUUAAGCAGCAGUGCUAGAGGAGUGCCUCUAAUGAACCCGUAGUCAUACUGUUCAAGAUAAUGGGAUCUGGGAAAAGGGAAAUGAUAAGUUUCCCAAACUGCUCAUCCAUCAAAGAAUCAAACAUUAAUAAUAGAUAUGGUAUAACAAAUGUGGUGUAAAGGCUAGAGCUAAGCCUGGAACACUAAUUUUUCUUCAGGCCACUUGUUCACUCCUAAACAAAAUGGGCUUUACCAUAUUUAGACAUCAAUGAUGCCUUAGAAAGGUUUGGCUGUGGAAACAGCCGAGGGCCUGCCUAGUAUUGGAAAGCAACGUGGAUUCAAGACUCAUCAAUCAAAAAAUGGCAGGUGAAAUGGAGUUUGGUGCAGCCAUUGCCCCUCCUAACUAACACGAUUCACUUGGACUGGACCCAAAUUGGGCCUGGCUUGAACGAACAGGUGAGCUAGAAACUUAGGUAAAAGCGCGGGGUGUGGAAUGGUUCCACAAUGAAUCGGAGCCAUGUGGGCAAACGAGAAUGAGCCAUAAUGGUUUCCGAAUCUGAGCCGAACAUCACAAGUCCGCAAAUCAAGUGCUUUGACUAACACCAACUUGACAUCUUUGAUCUGAUCCGCAUCAUCCUCCACCCAUCCAAUCUCAUGUGGACCACUCACAUGCUGACACUUGGAUGAGGAAUCUGAUAUUUCUCCAAAAUAGAUGAUGGGCACGAACAAAAAGUGGGCCGCCCACUUUUUUGAUUCUCCCAAUUAAGAAACUGCGGCCCAAACGUCAACUGCAGCUACACGUGGGCCCAAUUAAGAAACGGACCCAACAGCGCGUCCCCUGGUUUGGUGCAGCCUCGUGUCCACAUUUUCCCUUUAUAUAUAUAUAAAUUUUUACAGCUCCAAUUAUAAAGACCCACUACUUUAUAUUAAAAUAUAUUUAUAUAUAUAUAAAGGCAAUUUUAUAAAUAAUAAUUAAGAUUCUAUGGUACGCCACUAACCAUUAUUCCUUGCCUCUAGGAUUUUAUUCCUUAGGACCUGAAUUUUAACUGAAGAAUUUUCUUAAGUGGACAUGUCACGCGUACUAUAUUCCUUGUUAUGACUCACCACAUCCAUGGUUUCUAAAAGUUGGAUAAGGAUGGUCGAUUCGUGUCAAAUUAAAAUUGGUUGAUUUUGGGUAGAACUAUUCCCAAUAAUGUCAACAAUGGAUGACAUUAUGGACUGCCUAUUGGGUUCGUGUUACUUUCCAGCUUAAUGGGAAACCAUUAAGUUCAAAUACUCAAAUAAGGGAUUAGACCUUAGACACAUGAAACAAAAGGGAUCAGACCUUAGAAACAUGAAGCAAGAGCAAACUCUCAUGGUUGCGCCAACUACUUGCUCGAUCAAGCCGGUCGGACCGAGAACUACUAAUUUUUUUGCCUUAAAAUUGAAGUUAUAUUUGUAAAAUUAGUAUAUUGCUUCAAUGUGAGGUCCACGGUUUUAAUUAUAGACUAUAUUAUAAGGGAAACUUAUACCCAGAUAUUUUUGUGAACAUAGACAAGGACACCACGUGCCCCACACGCGUCAACCAUGCAAUAUCUACAAAGCCACGUGCCUAAUUUAUACCAUUUGGCUGACCCGCUGCAGAGUUUGCAGGUCACGUGCCCUGCCUCACCUCAUUAUCUACCCUACUAAUAUUAUCUAGCAUGAUAAUUUUAGUUUUAAAUUAUUUUAUCUAGUAAUUUUUUUUUUCUUCUUUGAAACAUUUGAUGAACAUAAAAUUUUUCCCAAAUAGGGAAUAGAAAAGGAAAUAACAUAAUUUAUUUAUUAAUUAAAUGUCAUAUUUAUAUUAUUUUUAUCUAAAUAAUUAUUAAUUAUGAUAAAUAAAUCUUAUAUUAGUUUUUAAAUCUAUAAUUGUUUUCAAUAGUCUUCAAGCAUAUCCAAAUAUAUGAAUAAACUUUGAAAAAUCAUUUUCUAUGAUUGACAGUGGAGGAAUUGAAAGCUAACACUUGAGGGGAUGUUUGAUAGAAAAACAAAUUAAUUCUAAAAGAAUAAAAAGGAAAAUGGUGGGUCUUAUUUCUUAAGUAUAUUUGAUAAAAGUUAAAAAUCACUUCUUACAAAACAUGAUCAACAAAUUAUAAAUUUUUAUAAUUUUUUUUAUAAAAGAAAGAGUUUUAUUAUUAAAUCAUUUUUAUUUUAGAAUUUAUCUUUUUUUUAAAAAUCUUUUUUAAAUUAAAACAUUUUAUUAUUAAUUCAUUAUUACAAUAAAAUCAAAAUUCUAAAAAUAAUACCUAUUUUAAUUCUUUUGUGAGAUUCAGUUUUAAUCAAUUUCUUUUAAAUUAUAAUAUAUUAUUUUUAUUCAUUUUAAUGGUUUAAUGUAAUAAAAUUCAAGUUCUAAAUAAAUUUUAUUUAAUUUAUUUAUAUCAAUUACUUUUUUUUCAUGUUAUUUAUUUAUUUAUCAUUAAGUAUAUAUAUGGAUAUAAUUGUUUUUAUUUAACUUUAAUUUCUUAAUAUAAUAAAAUUAGGGUUCUAAAUAAUUCUAUUUAAUUUAUUUAUCAAAAUCAUUUUUUUAUUAAAAGGUUUUGAAAUUCUUACAAAAAAAAAAGAAGAAGAAAAAAUUUACAAAAUACAAUAAAAAAAAGUUUUUAUGUUAUUUAUUUAUUAUAUUUUAUAUUAUUAUACAUAAUUAAAGUAAAUAUAUUAUCAAUAAAUUUAAUUUAAUUUUAUUAAUUAAUAUCAACUAUUAGUUUUAACUGAAUUAAAAAAAUUAAAUAUUUACUAUAAGUUAUCGUAUGUCAAGUGACAUAUUACGACAAAAUGGAUAAGGUUAAAUUUGCAUUAACCAAAUGAUUAAAUUAUUCCAUCUAAACCAAUUUCAUACUUUGUAUAUUCAAUAUUAUCUCCUUCCAUCUUGUUUCCAUAAUUAAUUAUUUCUUUUGAAUUUUCCUUUUUGAAAAAUUAAAGUUAAUUUUUAAGGUGAAUAAUUUUUAAAAAGAAAUAAUUUAUUGUAAAAACUAAGAAAAUAAUAUUUUUCAUAAAAGUGAAUUUUAGCUUGUAUAGAAAAAUUAAUUUUCCAUAUUAAAAAAAAAUUCUUUUUAUGUUUUUAUACCACCAUACUUUGGAAAAUGUGUAUUUUUUAAUAAUAAUAAUAAUAAUAAUUUUUUUUUACUUUUUUGUACCAAAAAAAUUUACAUUUUUUCUACCAUUUCCUUGUUUGGGGAUCUAUUUAUUUUUCCCACAAAAGUAUAUUUAAAAUGCGGAAAAAAUAAGUGUAAUUAAAAUGAAUUAAAACAUAUUUAUAGAGAAAAAAAAAGUUAAAUUUAUAAAAAUAAUUUAUUAAUUUUAAUCCUCACAGUAAAAGACAAAAGGGUAUUAUAGUAAUUAUAUAAAAAGAGUGAUAUAUCAAAAUCUUAAAUUAUUAUCCUGUUGAGAUAAAUCUCCAGAGAAGCGGCUGACUUGAUAAAAUACAAAAUAAAAUCGAGAGCACUCGAAGGAAAUAAAAAUAAAAAUAAAAAUAAAAAAGGGAAUAAAACAAGGAAACCAAAGAAGCAGGAGCUGAGCCUGAGCCCUGUGUCCUCUUUCUUGUUUUCCUUACCUUAUUUUCCCGAGAAAAUCGCUCGAAAUUCGUCCAAUUUUUCAAUCAAAAUUUCCUCCCCUCUCUCUCUUACACGUGCAACUGAAUCUCUGAACAUCCAGGCAAUUUCUCAUAAAAUCGACCAGGGUUUUCCGGUUUUUCCACCGAGAGGGAAAGCUUGGAGCUUUGGAGGAGCUCGGAGUUUGGAGAUUUGAAUCGAUCUGCGUCUGGAGAGUUUUAUUGAUUGGUAGUUGGUGUUGUUGUUGUUGGUGGUGGUGAUGGGGAAGGUGGCGGUGGGAGCGGCGGUGGUGUGCGCCGCGACGGUCUGCGCGGCGGCGGUGCUGAUCGCGCGCCACCGUAUGCGGAGCUCUGGGCGAUGGGCUAGGGCCAUGGCGAUACUGAGGGAAUUUGAGGAGAAGUGUGGGACCCCUAUUGCGAAGCUGAGACAGGUGGCUGACGCCAUGACUGUUGAGAUGCAUGCUGGUCUUGCAUCUGAAGGUGGAAGCAAACUCAAGAUGAUUAUCAGCUAUGUGGAUAACCUUCCCACUGGGUAAUCAAAGUUUCCUUCUUUGUUUUAUUAUAUUUUUCUUUUUUCUAACUUCAUUUUAUUUAAAUCUUGAUGUCGCUUUUAUUUAUAAAUAAAUAACUGAAAAAAAAAAAAAAAAACUUCUUUGGGGUUUGGUUUUGGUUUAUUGUUUUCUCAUUGAUUUUUGCAUAACGACUCGAAUUUGGAACUCUUAUUAAAAGGUUGAUCAAUCAUUGAUCAGAUAUAUUUUUUUGCCCUUUUUUGUGAUCAUAUUUUGAAUGGGUUUUCCAAACUAUAUAUUUUAAAGGAUGUUCUUUUUUAUAAUUUGUUGGGAUCGGGUCUUGGUUUUCAAUCUUGGGUAGUGUAUGUAACAAUUAAGAAUCACUUUCAUUGAUUAUAUCAGUAGGCAUUUUUGUUUUGCUGUUUUUUUCUUUGUUCUAAUUUUUAUAUUUUCAUCUUUGUAUAUGAAAUUCAUGGCUCUCUGAUUUUUAUUUUUCCCAUCUGAUUUAUCAUAUUCUUGUUGUCACUGUGUCAGUGCUUGAAUGGAAGAAAUGACUGUUUCGAGUUUAUGAGUUGAUGUAACUGAAACCAAACAUGAUUUUAAUGUUCUUGCGUGCACUUAUCAUUGAGUUCCACUAGAACUUGAGGAAGAUGGUCCCUUCUCUCUCUCUCUCGCUUCUUUUUUAUAGGCUUGAGGAAGAUGAUCCCUCUUAGGUGGUUCAAAUGAAACUUCCUAGAAAAACAUAUUCCUCCGGUAAUCAUGGACUUCCUCAACUUGAUUGAGUUGGGAGAAUAUCAAGAUUGAAAUGUAGGAGUUUCAUGGUAGGUUUGGUAGUUGCCUUUUUGAGAUGCCAACCCUAUCUUACCAUCAAACUUUAUGCUCACGAAGUUCAUUAUAUCUUGAUUGGGGGUUAUUCAUUUUUUCUUCUUUCCUUUUCUCUGUCUUUGUCGAGCACCCACCUUUUUGUUCUCUAUUUUGUUGGGUCGUUUUUCUUUUCCAAUCUAUUGGCUUAUAGACUACCAUAUAAGGCUUUGUUGCUUUUACCUUUUUGUCUCAUUUCUGGUCCUUGGUUUUGUGGCCCUUUUUUUUCCAUUAUUUAUUUAUUUUUUCAUAUAGCUUGAUCAUGAGAAUUCUCCUUACAAUAAUUCUUCUUUUUGGUCAAUUUUCAUAUUACUGAUUUGGUCUAGUAGAUUAGGGUCACUUGGGACAUAAUACUGAAGUGGAAUGUCACUUUACACUUAAGAAGGUGGCAAAAUGAUUUUGAUUUUUAUAUUGACUUCAUGGAAUUGUGAAAGUUUCCGUUUCUCCUUUUUUUAUUUGAUUCGUUCUUCUUGGAAUGUCUCUUUAUGAUUAGCAUGCAGUUCUGUUUAAUCCGGUAGAGAUGAGUUUGCCAGUGGCUCUGUAAUGAAUCAAUGAAAGCAGAUAUGAAUUAAGUUAUCUUAAGACUGCCCUAUCAUGUAUGAAUAUGAUUAAUAAUCCUUGUGGCUAAGUUUCAAUUAAUUAAAUAAUUACGUCUUGUGAUUAUCAUUAGGUUGAAGUCUUAAAUCAGGGUAGUUUGUUUUUGUUCUUUUAUCUACAUUUGUAUAUAUGUUUAGUUGGUAAGUUAAGGUUCCAAAAAGAAUCGUGUUUAAGCAAAUGCUGAUGGACUCCUAUUUUCAGAGGAACUCAAUAAAACUGCAUAUGUCAAUGUAUUUGGAAUGAUUCCUACCGAUAAAAAAAAAUUGUAUUUGGAAUGAUUCCUAAUUGAACUAUUUGUUGAUUUUUUUUCUUGUUAUUUGAUUUGGUCUUAUUUUUCUUUUUUAAUUUGGGCUGAGUCUUAUGAGGAGCUAGGAACAUAAAAUUUUCCAAAUAGAAAAAUACCAAUCUUUUCCUAAGACUAAUAGGAAGGAGAUAAAAUUGACUGAGGAAAAGUUCCACCUGGAAAUGGACAAUUUCAGUUGUCCAGAUCUGUUACACUGAUUAAGAGAUAUUUCAGCUGAACAUGCCACUUAUUCUCCCUCUUUUUUUUUUUUUAGGGAUGAGAAGGGUUUGUUUUAUGCAUUGGACCUUGGUGGCACAAACUUCCGUGUCUUGCGUGUGCAAUUGGGUGGGAAAGACAAGCGUGUUGUUAAACAAGAAUUUGAGGAAGUUUCUAUUCCUCCACAUUUGAUGGUUGGGAGUUCAGAUGUGAGUGUUAUUCAAGCAUUCAAAGAAUGUUUUAUGCUGUUUAGAUUUGUUUCAUGCUCUGAAGUCUGUGAAUGAUGGUGAUUUCAGGCUUUAUUUGAUUACAUUGCUGCAGCACUUGCUAAAUUUGUUGCUACUGAAGGUGAAGGUCUUCAUGUUUCUCCUGGUAGACAAAGGGAACUGGGUUUUACUUUCUCAUUUCCAGUUAGACAAUCAUCAAUUUCAUCGGGCUCCCUCAUUAAAUGGACAAAGGGAUUCUCAAUAGAAGACGCGGUUAAUCCUAGUUACCUUGAUCCUUGUUUGCAAUCUAAUAUUGAUCCUGCCAUUCUCUUCUCCAGUUGUUUUUUUUUUUUUUUCCCCCUUAAAUUAUUGAUGCUGGCCUUUGUCCAGAAUAAAAAAUAAAGGGGCAUUGAUAAUCUUGAAAGUUGAUAACUAGUUGUUUAAUUUGGAUGUUUUUGUGAAAAGUAUGGAUAUGUUAUCAUUCUGCUAUUUUCUACAAAAUUAAUUCCAUGUUGAUUAGUUUCACAUUACACAUGUUAUCAGGCAUUGUUUGUAUAAGCUGUGCAAUCAGUGUACUUGGUCAUCGGUUGAGGAUUGGUUAUAAAUGACAAUGCCUCACUAUAUUUUAACUUAUAUGACCAAAUUUUUUUAUAUCAUAUUGAGUUAUUAACUUUUCUAAAACCUUAGGAUUUGGCCCCAUAAAGCAUACCAUGCCCCAGCACACUCUAAACUUCAGGGUAGUUUAAGUUACAAUACUUGUGAUAACAGUCCAUUGCUGGUAGUAUUUACUACUGCUACUAAUACCUUUAUUUGUAUCAUUUUGUAGUUUUAUUUUUCCCUUUAUUGACUUGUGUACAUUGAAAAGCUGUAAACUAAGAAUUGGAAAAAAAGAACUUCCCUAUAAUCUACUGUUUCAUUUUUGUGCGCUAUCCUUACAAGGUUAUAAUCCUAUAUAUUUUUGGGUUUUGGAAGUAAAUUCUACCAUCUGUUAAGCCCAGUACUUUAGGUGGGGACAUUAUUUUCCCUCCAAAUUUGUCUUGAAAUUUUUAUAUAUUCUUCUGUCCUGGGUUUUUUAACCUAGGGUUAUAACAUCUGGGGUCUAGUUUUGCAACUACCAGCUGUCUACUCUCUAGUAUUUUCAUUUUAAUGUUCUCAUGUUUUCUUUUUUUUAAAAAAAAUAAAAAUUGGCUGGCAUGUUAUAGGUUGGACAAGAUGUAGUGGGAGAAUUAACGAAAGCCAUGGAAAGAAUUGGUCUUGAUAUGCGCGUAUCUGCUUUGGUAAGUCAACUUGAUUUCUCUUUAAGAGAGCUCUCCUAGAGAAUUCUGUUAUUUCAAAUUUGAGUCUGGUAGCCUUCCUUUCUAUCUAAUCUGUCAAGAAGAUUUUUUAUUUAGAAUUCUUCAAUUUGCUCUGCUGAUACAGGUCAAUGAUACAAUUGGAACACUAGCAGGAGGUAGAUAUUAUGAUCAGGAUGUCGUUGCUGCAGUGAUCUUGGGUACUGGAACAAAUGCAGCCUAUGUAGAACGGGCACAGUCAAUUCCCAAGUGGCAUGGUCUCCUACCGAAAUCUGGAGAUAUGGUUAGCAGUUCUCUUAUAAUUUCCAUCUAUUGAUAUGUGAUUAGGAAUGUACUAUCCAUCUUCUAUUAAAAACAAAAAAUCUUGACUUUUUUUUAAUGUCUCUUUCCUGAUAUAGAAAUGUUUCUGUGGUUUGGAACCUAGUAUACAAGUUAUGCUAUUAUGUCGGAAGAUAAAUAAUUUUCUUAAUAAAAUUUCUGUAGGUUAUCAACAUGGAGUGGGGUAACUUUCGAUCAUCUCACCUUCCACUAACAGAAUAUGAUCAGGUGCUGGAUGCUGAGAGUUUAAACCCUGGAGAACAGGUGACUGAUUUUGUUUGAGAUUACCAAGUUCCAUCUUGUAAUUGCUUUUUGGAUGAAUUAAUGCCGGAAAGGUUGCUGUUGUCACAGAUUUUUGAGAAGAUUAUUUCUGGUAUGUAUUUGGGAGACAUUGUACGCAGAGUCUUGUGUCGUAUGGCUGAAGAAGCUGACCUUUUUGGGGACACUGUUCCACCAAAACUGAAAAUUCCUUUCAUAUUAAGGUAAUUCCUUUAUUUUUUAUGGGCUUCCCAUUCAAAAACUCAUCUUUUUGGCCCAGGACAAAGAAUAUUGAUGCAUAUUGACCUUUAUAACAAUGAUAUAGUAAUUUAACCCUUUCUUCUGCAAAGUUGAUUAUAAUAUGUUUUUAAUCCCUUCAGAUGCAUUGAUAUUGGGCAGAUUGCAUAACUGUUGGGCAAAGACACGUAUUUCAUGGAUAUCAAAUUAAGCAUGUGCAAAGUAGUUUCCCAUUAUUCUUGUUGACAAAGCUAGAUUCUAGAAUUAGUUAUGCAUUGUGAACACAUCAGAAAAAAACAUUUUCACUUACACAUAAAACAUAUCUUUAAGUUACAACCUUCAAAAUGUGCUCAUGAAGUUUCUGGUUGGAUGUUCCUAUAUGCACAAAGUCCACAAAGUGUUUGCAGCAAGAUUGGAUAGAUUGGGUGGUUUUCCAAGCUUUGAAACUUGAGUACAACUGAAUUUUGGGACAAAUUGCCAAUUACAUUUUGUGGACACAAUUAUGACACUUCCCAAGGUAGCAUGAUCAGGAAUGCCAAUAAUUUUACCAUCAAACAACUAAGGGCAAUGUUAAUAAAUGUGUAAAAUAGCGCUGUAGGGAAACCCAGGAUUUGGUGUAAUUUUUAGAGUAUGAGAAUGAUCCUAGAGAGGUUUAAUAGCAGGGUUGUUCUGGUUGUGGUCUUCUUUUGAUGUGUUAAUUCACAAAAUUUUCUUUUACUUAUUUGAAAAAAAGAUACUGACAGUCACGGUCACAAAGUUCCUGAACCAAACUUAUGAAAGUUAUAGGCAUUUACUAUAUAGCUAGUUCAGCCAUGUUUCAAACUCUCUUUAUGUUAUAUUUCAUGUCAUGUAAUUUGUCUGGUCGCAUGUAAGUUUUCUGUGCAAGAUUUUAUUGUGUUCAGUUGAUUUUUUUGAUGGACUACUUACAAUAAAGCUACUUCUCUUGUAAAAUAUUUAGGACUCCUGACAUGUCAGCGAUGCAUCACGAUACAUCUCCUGAUCUGAGGGUUGUUGGCAGCAAACUAAAAGAUAUCUUGGAUGUAUGUUACUCUGACCACAUUGUUGUCUGAAAAAUGAAAAUGUAAUAAUAUUUUCUGGCCUGACAGUUUACUUUCAAUCUCCUAAAAAAUGGAAAACAAGAUGAAAGAAACAAGUGUAAAGCAAAAAGCAUUAAGGACAAUUAUAUCUCUGCAGUUUCUUUCUAGAACACCUAGAAGCCCCCCAAUCAAACCUCAAUUUUCCUGCUCUAGCUUCAAAUGGGGCUUGAGCAUAAGAAGGGUAGUAUAUCCACAUCAUCUAGUAUUUCAUCAGUCCUUUUUUCACCUGUUACUUUUUCUGAUAAUGAAAUCCCCAUCUGAGUCUUUUCUUCGACAAUCCCCAUUUUAGCUUGCCGCUUUUCCCUUUUCCUUCUGCAAUCAAUACCAUGCUUUUUUUUUUCUUUUUACUCCCCUAUAGAACUCUGGUAAUAGUAGGAAAACCCCCAUCCACCUAUCUCUGGGAUUUGGAGAAUUUUUCACCUUUCUUCAAAUGCCUUUCCUUAUUGAUUUGAUCCACCAGCAAUACAGAUCCCUCAUUCUUGAAGAGAACUGUUGUUAAUCUCCUGCUGCUCCUCUCAACCAGUUUGAGCUUGAUUUGUUCACAGCCUUUUUCAUUGGUCUCCCACUCCCAAUAUUUAGAACUCAAAUGAGAUAAGGCUCCUCAUCCAUCACGAUUUGAAGACAAUUUUUUAACUUCUUGAGGCAGUUCAUGAUUUGUUUUAAUAAAGCAGGUUGCAUCCCACAAUAGCAGAAACAAGUGCAUGGUUUAUUUGUCUGCUUUAACUCUUUUUUCUUAUGGGUUUCUUGCAUGUCCUAACUUUUUUUAUUCAUGUCAGAUACCCAAUACUUCCCUGAAAACAAGAAAAGUUGUCAUUGAGCUGUGUGAUAUUGUUGCUACUCGUGGGGCCCGUCUUUCUGCUGCAGGGAUCCUAGGCAUUCUCAAGAAAUUGGGGAGAGACACAAUGAAGGAGGGGGAUAAGCAGAACUCGGUGAUAGCACUGGACGGAGGGCUGUAUGAGCACUACACUGAGUUCCGCACCUGCUUGGAGAGCACCCUCAAGGAGUUACUGGGAGCAGAAGUUUCUGAUAACAUAGUCAUCAAACACUCCAAUGACGGCUCAGGCAUUGGAGCUGCCCUGCUGGCUGCCUCCCACUCUCAGUACCUUGAAGAAGACUCUUGAACGUGGUUGGCCCAUUGUAUUUUGGUCCAAGAAGCUUUUACAAAUUCAGUUUUUGUAUAUCUUCCUUAUCCCCCUUUCUUUUCACGAACUCCCCUCAGAUCAUUUGGAGCGUUAACGUAGUUCAAGUGAUCAUUCUAGCAAAUCCUUAAUUUAUGGUCUUGCAGAGUAUAGAACUGAAUGAUGGAUCAGAUAUGCGGUUGGAAUGCCUAAAAUUGGCUGACAAGUUCACACUAUAGCCUGUCAUUUUCUAAUGUUCCGGCAGUGUAUUGGUACUUAUAAAAGUUCAUUGUCUCCUGAAUUACAGAAUAAAAGGGGAUUUAAGGUGUUUUUCUUUGCUACUUGCUUUUGGUAGAACAUCCUCUCUAUUCUAAAUAAAACAGGAUUUUAUGGGUAUCAGCAAUCUGUUUCUGUACUUAUCACUUCUGGUUGCCAAGUACUAUUUUGCAAGAGACGCUCUAUAGAUAUUUCUAGGCAUCCGAGGAAAAGCAUCAACUGCCUUCGUUCUUGAGAGUUGAGAUGGUUUUCCUGUUGUGCUUGCCUCACUUUUUCUUCCCUUCUAGUGUUUCUCUUUACUCUAAAUUUAGGGUUCGUAUUAAACAAGUUGCAAACAAGAACGUAUUACUUUUUUUAAGUAUAGAUAUGCAAUGUGUGUGCUUCAUUCCUGUAGAAUCUUAUUGUAUACAGCAAUGUUCAUGGCCUAACUUGGGCCACCUUUCGCCUUGGUUUCUAUAUAUGACUACAAGAUGCUCUCUAAGCUACACGAUUCAGAGCAGUUUGGUCUUCUCAAUAUAGCAACCUAUUGCUAACUAUAUGUUUUCCUUUGCCUCCUGUGACAGCAUGGAACAGAGUCAUCACACAUUGGACGCAAAAUUACUGCCAUUAUUUUCUGAUAUUCUCGCUGGCUUUGUGUCGAGGAGGGGGGCGGCAUCGUAUUCUCUUCCGGUAUUCUCCCCUCCAUAGACCUCUAGUGGAUUGCUGUAUUGGAGCAAGAUCUUCAAAACCUUCCUCAUGCUGGGCCUGGUAGAAGGCAGUGUGCCAGUACAAAUGAUCCCUAGCUUGAACACACUGCUCAUCUCAUCCAAGUAGCAGGGUUCCUUGAUCUCCUUGUCCAAGGCGUCGGCUGUAUGCUUGCCUUCUUGGAUGUGCUGCCAUGCCCACUCAACAAGGCAUGUGUGCUCAUCUCCAUCACUGGCUUCCCGUCCUGUUACCAGCUCCAGAAGGAUUACCCCGAAGCUGUAAACAUCAGUCUUCUCACUCACUCUUGCAGUAUGAGCAGACUCUGCAAGUCAAAUUAGAAACAGAGUUUUAACUGAAUUUUUCUAGGGAAAAUGAGGGAAAAUGAAUCAGUAGUUUUAAAGGGGAGGUCAUUUCCAAAUUCUUGCAUCACUCACCUGGUGCCAUGUACCCGACUGAGCCUGCCACAGUUGACAUUGUGUUCAGCUCUCCGGGCUUGAUCAGCAUCUUUGCCAAUCCAAAAUCUGCUAAUUUUGCAUUGAACUCAGAAUCCAGCAGGAUAUUGCUCGACUUCACAUCUCGAUGAACAAUGGGAGGUGAACAGUCAUGGUGCAUGUAGCAUAGACCCUGGGCAAUAUCCACAGCAAUCUUCAACCUCUGGGGCCAGGCCAAGACAAAAUGAUGGACUAAACCCGAGGCAAUCAUCGGCCUUCUCUUCCUAUGGAGCCACCGAUCCAGGCUUCUCCUUUCCAUAUACUCAUAGACCAGAAGUUUUGAAUCCUCACUUGAAACACAACACAGCAAUUUUAUGAUAUUGGAGUGCCGAAUUGCACCCAGUAUUUCAACUUCUGCUAAAAAUUCUUUCUCAAGCUUGUGAUCCAAGUUUCUGUGAGUCCAAAUCCUCUUCACAGCCACAACUUCACCCAAAUGAUUUACAGGAACACAGUAUACUUUCCCUGACCCGCCACUUCCAAUCACAUUAUUCUCUGCUAAACUUGACAAAAUGUUUGCUUCAGUGAAAUUCAAUCUCUGGAAUGAGGUGAGUUUCCAUGUGGGAUCAAAUCUGUGCGUCUUCCUUCUAUAGACUCUGAAGACAAUGAAUGAAAAUGACAAGGCCAACACAGCGGCUGCUGCAGCAACAAUCAGAAUCAAAGCCAAAGAUUCUGAUGAGAUCUUGCUCUUCUUCCUUGUCUCAGAAUGGCAGAGUUGGAAGCCAGUGCCUAGGAAUGGGUUACUUGUACAGAGACCAGGGUUGUUCAAGAAGCUGCUGUCAUAUGCUUUGUUUUCAAACUUGGUUGGGAUUUUCCCAGUAAGAUGAUUGGAAGAAAGGUUGAGAAAGGUGAAAGUCAGGAGGCCGAUUUCAGGUGGGAUUUCACCGGAGAGUUGGUUCUCCGACAGGUCUAGCUCUGAAAGGUCAGGUAGAUAACCAAUUUCAGCCGGGAUCAUGCCAGAGAUCUGAUUUCGGCUAAGGUUCAGGAAAUUCAGCGACUUCCAAGACACUAUCUUGGAUGGAAGGUGACCGUCAAAUAGGUUUCUGUCGAGAAAAAGAGUAGUGAGGCUAGGUAGGGCUGUUAAUUCAGAAGGAAUUGGACCGGAUAAUUGGUUAUUGCGUGCAUCAAACACCACCAGGUUCUUCCAGGAAGCUACUCCAGCUGGAAUAUUUCCAUAAAACAUGUUGUCUCUGAUCUCAAGCCGAGAAAGAUUCCACCCCAAUUCAUCAGGCAGCUCACCUGUAAAUGAAUUGUGGCUUAGCAUCAGCCGUGAUAUGUUCACUAAAGUCCAUAGACCACUGGGAACGUUGCCUGAAAGCGAGUUAUUGUAAACCAUGACAGUUUUCAAAUUCCUGCAAUUCCCAAGGGAUUCAGGCAAUUCCCCACUGAGCUUAUUAUCAAAGGCUACCAAUCCUUCCAAUUUUCCACCUGCGCACAAGUUCUCUGGAAGCCUUCCGGUAAAACUGUUGGAAGCUACCUCAAACGCUUCCAGCAUUGAGUAUCGCCCGAAGUCUGGAGGCAGUAUACCGGACAGAUUGUUGCUGAACAACCUAACGUCUCUCAGGGCUGUUAGAUUGCCAAUGCUUUCUGGAAUCUCCCCUGUGAAUUGAUUGGAGUACAAAACCAGAACUUCCAAUUUGCUUAGCCUUCCAAAAUCUUCUGGGAUUGUCCCAGAUAAGUUGUUCUUAGAAAGAUCAAUUCUAAGCAAAUUUAUGGCCUCAAUUGUUGGGCCAAUCUCCCCAGAAAAUUGAUUUACUUGAAGGUAUAAUUCGGUCAAAUUUUUCAACAGAAACAAACUGCUUGGGAUUUUCCCACUCAAAUUGUUUGAAGACAAGUCCAAGUACUGGAGUGCAGUCAUUUCUCCAAUCAUUUCCGGGAUUUCUCCUAUCAAAUUUGAUUGGGCCAUCCACAGAUACUUCAAAUUCUUCAACUUAGUGAAAUUCAGAGGUAUUUCCGAUGGCCGGAAAUCGUUAUAGGCCAUUCCUAAGUGUUCAAGUUUCGACAAAUUACCUAUUUCUGGCGGGAAAGAACCGUUGAACUGAUUUUGGGUGAGCCUAAGAAACCUCAACUCCGGUAAUCGCCCAAUUGCAGCCGGAAUAUCGCCAGAGAAGUUGUUGCCGACGAGGAAGAGGAGAUACAGCCGAGGUGACAAGCGGUCAACAUCCGCCGGAAUGGGGCCAACGAAGUAGUUUUGAGAGAGGUCCAAGUACUCAAGCUUGGUGCAGUUGUACAGACCUGUAGGGAAUCCACCAGGGAUGUAGUUGAGUUGGAGAUCAAUGGUUGUGAUGUUCUUCAGGUCACAGAUGAAGGGUGGGAUUUCGUUGGUGAUGUUGAUGUUCACAAGAGAGAUUCCAGUGACAGAGCCAUCCUCUGCACAUUCAAUCUCCGGCCAUGUGCAGUAGGAUGAAUUGGACGAAGUCCAGUGAUCGAUGGCUGGCGGAUUAUGCCAGUGUUGCUUAAGCUUCAGUAGGAUUGAGAGCUCCUGAUCACUGGCCUGAGAAUUCCCAUAAAAGGUUAAAGAGAAGAGGAGGAUAGAGAGGGUGUAGAAGUGAAUUUGGACAGAAGGUGGGGGUGUUUUCGACAUUUUGGGACGUGGGUUUCAGAGGUUGAAGAUGAAAGUGGUGAGCUUAAACUACCAUGGUGAUACACAGUGGGCUUCAGACUUGAGAGUCCAGGGUAGUAGUGGUAGUAGUAUAUGUCCAAACACACUGGAACUUGAAAACAAGCAGCUGAGUUCAAACCAUGGAAAUUUGGAAUCUGUUUUCCUUUCCAUUCAAAGGGUGUCGGAAAUUCUAGAUGAAGUUUCGUGGGUGAAACUUCUACCAACCUUCUUCCUCAGAAGAAAGAAAAAAAAAAAGGUUACAGAAACACGCAGAGAGAGAGCCUCUCCUCGUGUGGGAGCAAAAUGAUUUAUUCUUUGAUAAUUUAUGCCAAAUUUUAUUGAAGUCAAUGGAAAAAAGUUAAAAAACUUCAGACGGUGUGCAAGAGCAGCCACAUCGUAGUCGUUACGAUGAAGAUCUCUUUUCCCUGCAUCGUGUUUUGACGAUUGGCAGGCUGCACGUAAUUGGAAAAGUCAAUCAAAAUUGGCUUCUUUUUCAUUUUUUUCUUCUGUUGUCAAAUGUUUUAGCACGCCAACGUGAUAAAUACACAAGGACGUGGAGCAUGGCGUUCAAAAUAUGGCAUUGGACUGAACUUGGGAAAUUUUCUAGAUGAGCACGCCAUUGUUGAAGGUUCAACCUGAAUCCAUGCCAUCAUAAUUUCUAAGUCAACACUUCAUAUAUGAAAUAAAUUUGAUUGGUGGAGUUUGCAGUUAGAAGUCAGAUUCUUUACCUACCUUCCUUGCUUUUUUUCUCUUUCUCCUUUUAUUUCUUUUUGUUCGUGGAAAUGCUCCUUUUUUUUUCCAUGUUCUAAGGCCUGUCAGUUGUCAUCAUUUCAAUGAAUUGCCUUCUUGUUUCCCCAUUUUUGAACUGUGAAAUGACCACGUGAGUGUACUCAAAUUCUGGCUGCUGGUGAUUGUUUGGAAAAGUUGUAAUUUCACAUAAUUAAAAAGAAUUCCAAGAUAAAACAUUGGACUGCAAUAUGGCCACAAGCUUUGUGGAUGUUGGGCCUUGUUCAGGGGUCCAUUGGCGCUUGUCAUGAAGUAGAAUCCAUGGCAUUAAUUCCUUUCUUCCAAAGAGAAACUAAACUGGGUAAUACAAAUAGGUCUGUUUUAGAAUUAUUCAAACUUCACACUUUCACUCUACUCCAAUCCAGAUUCAAUUGAGAUCUCAUUAGAAGGGUUCCAGGGCUAACACAUGGGCAGAGUCCUGACUAAGUGUUAGAAGAGAGAGACACUUUAUCUCUCUUUCAAGCCACUCCUACCAGCUCGAUCUGUUGGGUACAUUCAGCACAUGAGGAAGGCACCAAAGGUGGAACACAAAGAAGGGAGAUUUGAAGAGUGCAUAGAAAACUUCAACCAAAACAAGAUUACCUUCAAGAUAUUAAGAUUGUCGGUUAUACCAGUAAGUUAAUUGGCAUUGACAAGUCAAUAAUGGAGGAAACUGGCAUUUUGGGCUCCUUCAUAACAUUGAAAACUGAACUACAGUUUGAAUUAAAAAGGAAUUUCAAGGCAAAAUGAUUGACAAUUUGACACAAGCAAAGUAAAAGAAAGUUAACCUAAACAAGAAUUUAAAGGCUGCUUAAAAGUUGGGACAUCAAGUGCAACAUCUAAACAGAUGGUUUACAUAAGUCAGCCUCUGGUAACAGGAAACAAUUUUAUUUCUUUAAUUGGGAAUUAAGGGAAACUCAGCAGAACUUUUUUCUUGUUGUAACUUGUUUGCUCAGAUAUGAACAUUUCUAGACCAUGCUUACAAGGUGAAAAUCCUUCAAGAGAAGCUGAAUAAUGAUAUUUGCUUACAAGAUUAGCUUAGUUUCCUUUCAGAUACAUCCAACUGAUUAGAAAAAUGGUAAGCAAACAGAGUGAUCUUUGACCAGAUCAAGGAGACAAUUCAAAUUUGGCUCUUGACAUAGAUGUUUUGUAUCAUAGUUGACUCUUUUGCCUGCCAAUCAAAAUGGUUGUUACUACAAGUCUAUGGCCAUCUUUCUAGAAAGUUGGUGGGUAAGCAUGAAGUAUGUCAGGGUGGCUGAUUGUUGAUGAUCCCGGAAAAAUGCUUCUUUUUGUUUUUUUUUCUGUAUUAGAUGCCGAAUCCUCACUAAUAUUGAGGUUUUCCGGUUCAAUUUUUAACACCCAAUUGUUCAAGACCAAGCAUGGCCAUAUGUUAUUCUCUUCCAUGACCUAAGAGUCGAGCAAAGAGAAGAUGCCUGUGGGCCUGCUGGUAAAAGUGACGCAAAGAAAGUUUCAUUUUUUAAUGAAGUUACACGACACGGUUCUUAUUUUAUUAUUAGUUUACUCAAGAGUUGUUCAAUGAAUCUGUUGAUUCAAAAUCACGGUAUGGAUAGAUGCCAGGGACAUUCGGAAUUUCAUAUCUGAUGACACUUUUUUAGUUGGGAAUAGGAAUGAGGUCAGUUAUUUCAUAUAUUUUGAUAUUAAAAAUCAGAUUUUUGAGAUUAAUAACGUUUGGGAAAUCAUUCCUGACUUGGGUUUGAUUCUGUUCAGGAGCUUCAACACCAUCUUCACCCUCCAAUGACAGACAUAAAUUCUACAAAUAAGUUUUUUUUUUUUUUUGAUAGGUAAAAUAAGCAAUUAAAUUAAAUGUGCAUCAAAGUAUACAAGACCAUGCAAAGAGCGCCAAAAGACAAGCAAAAGGAAAAUAGCAACAGCCACCACCACCCAAUACAAAACCAAAGCCCUAACAACCUAGUAAAACAGAAAGCUCCCAGAUGACCGUCUUCCCUUCUCAUCACCUGAACCCAAGAAACUUCCCACUCCUUGGAUCAUCACCAUCGAACUGACAACAGAAGCACUUUGAUCCCUAAAGCUGUCUAGAAACAUCCUUGUCUUUGGCCCUUAUGACAGACAACCGCUCCUUACCCAGCCAAUAAAAAGGCUGACCCUUUUGGACUGGCUUGAGUGGCAAAAUGUUGGGAUGGAAGAGAUUCCAAGUUAAAAUUUCCAAGGGGAAGAAUACAAAAAAGGCAGCAGCAGGUAUAAAGCAUCUGAAAUUCCUAUUAUCUUCAAGUUUCCUAUUGCAUGGAAUCACCUUUGGGCUUAAGAAAAAUUAGUGAAACUAGGAGCCUAGGCCAUACCUAGGUGAUUAAACUUUUCUUGGUGAGGGGCAAAGGAAGAGAAAAGCUUCUGUCUUGGUAAGUCAACACUAAAGCUUUUUUAUAUUAAAAAUGUGCAGAAACAGAAAGAUUAAUGUGCCUUAAUUGAAGUACUGCAGCUCUACUUCAAUCUCUUACACUCGCUGGGGAAAUAAAUUUACAAGGCACAUGAGAAAAAAUUUAAAGCAACAAUUGAUUUUAAUAGUGUUUUUUUUCUUUUUCUUUUUUUUUUUGAUAGGUAAAAACAAAUAGAAUAUGAAAAAUAUAGGUGCUAAAAGAGUGUCCCAAAGUAUACACAAAACCAAGAGAGAAGAGGAAGAAACAAAAACCAUCACCUACCCUCACUUAGAUCCUAACCAAUCAUUAAAGCUAAUUAGAGAUAAUGAGCCUCAUCUACAAACACCCUAGACCAAGACCAUGGAUUACAAAUGAAAAGGUUUUUCAUCAUUUGAUUCAAAAACUCCACUUUAUCAAAGACAAUCAUAUUCCUUUCCUUCCAAAUUGUCCAAAAGAUACAUGAGGGGGCAGCCUUCCAAUUCUUUUUACGAUUUCAGCCCAAAAAGGAAUCAUACCACCCAAAAAGGAAUCAUACCAUCUUUCUACCUAAAGAAGAUGGAACCCAAGACACUCCAAAGAGAGUAAAAAGCAGCUGCCCAUAGAACUCUUAUCUUAACACUAUGGACAAGGGUGUGAUCCACGGAUUCUUCUUCAUUAUGACAUUUGUUUGCCAGAGAACACCCCCCCUCCUCUGGACCUAAUCCAAUGUUAAGGCUUUCUCCCACGUCACCAUUCAAACAAAGAAGGUCAUUUUAGGUGGCACGCAUGACCUCCAAAUGAUACUCAUCAGAAACAAAAUUGGGUCACCCGACUCCAAAGCAUAAUAGAAGGAUUUUACCAAAAACUUACUGCUCUUCGACUUUGUCCAAACCACCCUAUCUUCCUCAUCCUUGUACAUCCUUUGAUCUUGAAGCUUCAGCAGGAAUUGCUCCUGAUUUUAGUGUUUUUUUUUUAUAGAUAAACAUCAGAAUAUAUUAGAAAAGGCUAAAAAGCCGCAUGUAUACAGGGGGUAUACACAAACGCCCAAAAAGGAGAACUGAACAAAAGAGGGGGAGAGCCUCACCCACCCUCAAGUGGCCGCAAGCCACUCCAAAAAGCCUAUGAGAAUAGGUAUCCUCACCAAUGUACACCCUAGCCCAACUCCACAAAUUACAUACAAAAAAAUUCUUGAAUUUUUGAAUAUCUAAACCCCCCCCCCCCCCCCUAAAAGCUAACCUAUUCCUUUCCUUCCAAACCGUCCAAAUGCUCCUGAUUUUAGUGUUAAUGCUCACAUGAUGCCAAAUUGGAUGCAAAACCAAAUAGUUCUCAGUCUUGGUAAUUGGGCAUUUGAGAUUUUAGGAUUUAGGAAGCCAAGGUGUUGAUAAAACAUGACAUGUUGUAAGAAGGCAAAAAAAAAAAAUCUAAAAACAUGUCAUGGUGAGUAAUAGUCACUCAACAUUUGGCUCAUCAUAUCUCCAGCUUAUGCUUUAUAGUAGGGUUUUUUCACAAUAAUUAGGAUGCGACAUAUCAUAUCAUAAUGCAUAGUCAUCAUCCAGCAUCAAUAUACAGAAAAAGAUAAAAAAAAUUCUUGUUAAAAAUUCCAUCUUCUUGUUACAUGUUUGGAACCUUUUCUUAAGGAAACAGAAUAGCAGCAUUCAUUGAUUCAGAAAUGAUUAUUCGGCUUAUCCUUUAACAAUAUCCCUUGGACUGCAAUGUGCAUCAAGCUUGAUAUCAAAGCGUAAAUAGAAAAGCUUGACAAGAGGCCAUAAGGCCUAGCUCAGAUGACAAGGGAUUGAGGAUGUUCCAGGUUUGAUUCCAGGCAAAAAGGAAAAAGGAAAAAUAGGAAGUAAAAAAAGGGCUCAAGAAGAAAGCUCUUUCUCUCUUAUGUUCAGGAGCAUAUAGGAAAAAACCCAGUGGGUUCUCUUCAUCUUUACCUUAUUAGCUUAGACUCUCCAUUAGCCCUCCAACCAUGGAUCCUAGAAACAAGCAAGAUGUUCACUCAACCAUGAUUGUUAAUGCACCAAAAGACCAUAGUUUCAAGGUCUUGUAAAAUUACACUAUAUACUUGUGGCCAAGGCCGCAAAGGUGCAUCUUUUGUGGGGGAUUGCAGAAUCAGGUUUCAUAUGAGGCUUAUUUUCCACCACCAGCAUGACCUAAGUUUAAUAACUUGAAAAAAGUUCCAACAUGUGGGUUCCCUUUCGAUACCUCCUCUGCUCAUGGAGUAAGCCUCCUUUUUUUGCCAGGUUCUGUUUAACACAUCUUUAUUUGCCUAUCAAGAAGAAAAUUCCACCAUGUGUAUCACCAAUUACAGUCCCUUUCAUAGACAGGUAUAAUUUCUUUACAUGUAUCUCUACUCGCUUCCUUGUGCUCUUCUAUCUUCUAUAUUCUCUCCGUGCUUGGAAAAUCCAUUUUCACUACAUAAUAAGAACUUAUGCUCUUAGUGGCUUAAGUGUCCAACCCCUAUAUGCAAUAUGGACCUAUAAGAAAAAAGAAAAAAAGGAGAAAAAGUAACUUCUGCUAUAUCUAGAAAAAAAAAAGCAAAAGAAACCCAAUACAGAAGAAAGAUCUAGCAAACAUUUAUUGUACGCUCAAUUAAAAGAUGUCCAAAGGAAUUACCAGAUUGUUUAUCAGAAUCCAUACAACUUGAAUUAAACCAAGCAAGCACCCCAUUACACUAAUAAUAGUAGAGCAAGAUCAAAUUCUCAUACUAACCAAUCUAAGAUGAAGGAGCAGAAGAAGGUUGAAGAGUAACGUUAUUAAGACGCUCAAGCGUCAAGAUAAGAGCUUGGGUACCCAAAUUGCCCUCCCCGUGAGCCUUGAGUGAGAGAUAGAGCUGCUGAGCGAGUGCCAAACCAGGAAGAGAAAGCCCCAUUUUUUGACACUCAAUCAAACAUAUCCCCAAAUCCUUAACAAAGUGAUUCACAAAGAAACCAGCCUCGAAAUCCCUCUUCAAAAUCCUACUCCCAUACAAAUCCAACGACUUUGAGCCGGCAGCGCCGGUGGAAAUUGCGUUCAAAAACAAAGCCACAUCGAGACCAGACUUGUAAGCAUACAUCAUCCCUUCUAUCAGUCCAAGCAUAGUCGAAGCUAUGAUGAUUUGGUUCGCGAGCUUCGCGUAUUGCCCUUUUCCAGGGCCACCCAUGUAGUUAACCUUGCCCAGAUGGGAAAAUAAGGGGUUCAGGCGCCUGACGACGGACUCGUCCCCGCCGGCGAAGAUAGCAAGGGUGGCGUUCUUGGCGCCCCGGUCUCCGCCGGAGACGGGGGCGUCAACGGAGAAGCAGCCCCUGGAGGCAGCAGAGGAGGCGAUUUCGGCUGCGAGUGAAGGAUCAGAGGUGGUCAUGUCGACGAGGACUCCACCGGGGCGGAGUCCGGAGAGGGCGCCGGAGGAGGGGUCGAGGAGGACGGAGCGGACGUCGGAGGGGAAGCCGACAAUCGAGAAAACGACGUCGGAUUGGGAGGCGAGAGCGAGAGGAGAGGAGGCGUGGUGAGCCCCCAUGUCGAGGAGGGGUUGUGCCUUGGAGAUGGUGCGGUUGAAGAUAGUUACAGUAUAACCCGCUUUCAUCAGAUGAGCGCACAUCGACCGCCCCAUCACGCCGGUUCCAAUCCAGCCGACGCGGGUGUUGGACGGUGAAACGGGCUCGGCGACAGCAGCGGUGGCCAUGGAUCGGCGGAGAUGGGCGACGAUUGAAAUGGCGGUGAGGGGUAUUGUAGUGGAUGGGGAGUGGGGGAGUGGGAGUGAGAGCAACAGCUUUAGGAAUGGCAUGAUCCACCCUUUCCUUUUUAAUUUUUAUUUUUAUUUAUCGUAUUAUCCAAUCAAUGGUUGAGACUUGAGACCGAGGGCCAAUUUUUAGGUAUGAUUGUCUUUUGAUUUACAAAUCUAUGUACUGACGAGAAUUAUUAUUUACCUAAAUAUAUAAAUAAAUAUUAUUAUUUUUCUACUCCAAUUAAACACGUAUUAUGAUAAAAAAAUAAAUAUUAUUUUUAUGAUAAGAUCUUAUCAUAUCUUAUAUUGAUCGGAUAAGUAAUAAGAUGUAUCAUCCAUUUUUUUUUUUCAUAUUAUUUUUAAUAUAUAAAUAUACAUACCUCAUAGAUAAAAAUACUAAAAAAUAUUUAUAAAAUUCAUUAAUUCAUAAAUUAUUAUUUUUAUAUGUUGAAUAAUAUAAUAGAAAAAAAUUAUUUAUAAAUUUUAAAUAUUUUAAUAAUAAAUAUUGUUAAAUGUAAUACAAUUUUCAUAUGUAUUUUUUAAUAAAAAAUAUUAAAAUGUAAUACAAUUUUUUUUAAUAAAUAUAGAAAAUUGAAAAAAAAACCCACGUUAAUAAUAUUAUUGAUAUUUUCGGUUGAUAAAUUCUUCAAAUAUCCUUUAUAUUAAUUACAUAUAAACUUUUAUUAUUUGAGCUCAAAUAUGUAUUUUAUAUGAAAUCUUAAACCCAUUUAUAAGAAGUGGAGACUCUUAAACACAAUUAUCCCUAUGAUUGAUGUAUAUGGUUUGAAAUUUUUAUAAUAUUUUAAGAAAUCAUUUCAUUGAAGCAUUUGAUUCUUUUUGCAUCAAUUUUUUUUUUUUUUUUUUUGUUUCCAAUUUCUACUAUUGUAAAAAUAUUUGGCCCCCCACCCCUUCAAAUCAAAUUUCUUACACCAUUAUUGAGAUCUGGAAAAAUGCCCCCCCACAACAUGUGAGCCCUCUCAUUUUGUCAGAACACAAUUAUUUGGUUAGAAUUUAAAAUUUGUAAUUAACUUUCUUUCUAGUUUUUUGGUAAUUUUAAAUUUAUAAAUACAUGGAAAAUAAUUUCAUCUAUAAAAAUAAUCCUUCAAUUUUAUAACAAGUAAUUAAUAAGGGGGGUUAUAUCUUUCCCACUUUCCAAUUCUAGAAAUAUAUCGAAAGGCAUUUUUUUUUAUAAAAGAUUAAUUUUUGAAUACCAAGUGGCAAACAAAGAUUACUGGGAAUGUUUGGUCCCAAAAAAUGGUUGGGAAAGGAACAGAAAAAUGCUAAAGAAUCAUUUUCCUUAGUUUGACUGACAUGAAAAAUGGAAAGGAAAAAUAAUUAGUAAAGAAAAUGUUGAAAAAAAAUAUAUUUAAACAUUUUCCUCUUUUUAAGGUUGUGUUUAGUUCCUUGGAAAGUACCAAGGAAAGAAAAAAAAAUGCAAGAGAAAAUAGUUUUCUCAUGUUUGGUUUCACUAUAAAUUUUUUUAAAGAAAAUUAAAUAUAAUUAAAAUUAGUUAAAAUUUUGUAGAUUUUAAAAUUAUUUAAUCCUUAUAUAAUGGAAAAAAUGAAGUGAAAUGAGUUUGAAGAACCAAACAUAGACUAUCUCUAGUUCCUAGAAAAUACUAGAAAAAAAAAUAUCAAGAAAAAUAAUUUUCUUACCCUAAAAAAAGAUAUAAAAGAAAAUUAAAUUAAAUUUAAAUUUAUUUAAUCUUAUUAUAAUAAAGAAAAAUAAGUAAAAUGAUUUGGAAGACAGCUAUAAAAAUAAUUUAUUAAAUUUAUAUUAUUUUUUAUUUUUCUUUUACUUUUUUUCUUUAUUUUCUUUCCUUCGCAUUUUCCUUCAAAUUUUCCAUAACCAAAGAAAAAAAUGUAAACAAAGAAAUGAUCUAAUCCUGAAAAAUAUGACAGAUAACAAAUAAUAUAUUAAUAAGACAGUUCCUUUCAAUAUAUAUUUUUUUUAAUUCAUUAUAAUCCAGUUGAUUAAAAAGACUAAUGUUAAGAAAAACAAUAGACAAUGCUUAAUAUCAUUUAGAAAUAAUCUAAAUGACUGAGUCUUCAAGAAGACUCUGGUCCUAACAUAUUCUUAAAUCAGGAUAUGGGUUUUUUCUCGGGAAAAGUAUUACGAGGGCAGUCAGAUCACGCAUGGAAUGGAAUCCUGUAACCGAAAAAGAAAGAAGAAGAAGAAGAAGCUUUGAUAAUAUUAAGACAUUUGUGUAAGUUAACCAACAUUCAGACCUUCUGUAACCACCAUUGCAUUCCAUCCCUGAUGGAUUUCACUUCCACUGAGUCUCUAUGCCUCCGCCUGUCAGCCUUGAAAUGAUCAAAGCAUGUAAACAAGACAGAGAGCAAACUUCAUGAUUUCUGGGAACCCAACUAUAAGCUGUCUAAAUUCUUAAAGACCAAAUUGUCAUUCCCAUCAGAUUUGAAGCUGGAAUAUGCGAUGGACUCAGAAGUCCUGGCCAAUUUCUCAUUACAUGCCAGUUUCCAAUGUUAUGACACCUAUCUGAGUAACAGUGCAGCUUAUAUCAGCUAGCCUAUUCAAUCUCAAAAGUUCUCAGAAUUAAUGCUCAUACAUGGAAGAUUGAGAUUUUAUAUCUGACUGUCAAUCUAACACCACCACUCCAUUCCUCGAGGUUUAGCCAGUAGUGUAAACUGAAGUCCCUAAACAUGACAUAAGCAAACUUGAGAAACACCAACAAGAACAAUAUCACAGUCAAAACAUUUCCACCAUGAGCAUUAAUGCAAAAAUUGAACAAAGUACUUUUUCUUUUGAUAGGCAAAUGAAAAUCUUCUUAAAAGACACUCCACUAAAAAAGGGUUAAAUCCAAGUACUGAUGAUGUUAACCCAUCUCAAGAACAAGCCUGAAGCAUCUUUUGGAUACAAUUUGAUAUAUUCAGCAUAAGCACCCACUGUCAAAUUGAAAGUUACAUUCCACCAACUGUUCUACUUCAGCAGUAUUACGCAAAUUAAAUCCAAUCUACUCAAAUAAUUAACCUAUAAAGAGUAAAUAUUAUCCAGAAACAAAUGUACACUCGGGCACCAAAAAUUUCCAAGUUCUAAGCAAGAAAAUGAAUGCAUGCUUGAAUUGAAUGAGGAUGCUAAGCACAUAUGUUGCAGUUUUGCAUAUGGGACAAGUCAAAUUAGAAACAUAAGAUAACAGAGAUUCAACUUAUAUAUAAGGAGGCCUAACUUUCCACAAGGUGGAAAGACCUGUUUGUGGAACAUCAAAUUAUAGUACGAGGGGAAAAACCUCUUUGAAGAUUUGAAUUCUAUGGUUGAAUCAGGAACUGAGGAUGCUAAUUUUCAGCAUGACCAAAACUGAGCCAAGGUUGGGACUGUCAGGAAUUUCAAUCUUAAUAAGGUUAAACAUGGUUAGUUUGAGGGAAGAAGAAAUAAAUGGUUUUUCCUUCCCUGGCUAAUAAAGGAUUUAGCUUAGAAAUAACUCUAGCCCAUCAAUAGAAGGAUUCUGAGUAGGAGACAGGUCUAUGAGAGCUUUCGCCAUGGCCUAUGGAAAGGUAAGGAAGAUGGUAAACAGACUAGCAACACACAAACAUGAAAGUGUGCCCUAUGAGACAGGGUUUGUUCUCAGGCUCAUUGUUGUGUCAGUUACUCUCACCUUUGGAAAGAGAAUUUCGUCUCACAUAUGGAUCUGGGCAAGGUCUCCUCCCCUCUCCUCCCUCUCCAAACCAAACUAACCCACCCAACCAUGAGAAUUAACACACACACACACACAAACAAAAACAAAAAGAUCACUAAACUCAACCAUGAGAACGAACAUACACACACACAAAAGGACACUAAAAGGUCUCCCACCAAUUUGAAUCAAGAGAUCAUAACACAAAAUAAUCAAUAUAAUCAGUUUUGAGCCACCGAUGUUGUUUCCCUUCCCCCAUGGAUUGAAGCAUACAAGAGAACAAUGGUUAGCAAGCAACCUAGUUCUUUUAUUCUCCACGAGAGAAGCAGAACUAACAAAAUUUUCUAAUUUCCUUUCACAGUUUGUGUAUCAUAAAUAUGAAAAGAAAUCAAAAUAACAUUGACAAGGCCUAAAGAAAAUAUAUGAAUCAAUAAAUAAUACUUAAUCACUAUUUAACUUUUCUCAAAAUAACCUCAUCUAAUACCAAAAAGCAUUAUUAUACAAUCCUAUAACUAUAUUCUAUAUGAUGGAAACAGCGAAAAGAAGAGUUGAUAUUAGAUUUCAGAGGCCAAGUUCAUGAUAACAGAUCCUAGCAAUAAAUAAAUUUCAAAUCCCUCCUUUGGUCUUUUACCAGAAAAAAGACCUCAAAACCCCAUAAUUCACUUGUACUCAAAACUUGGCAUCGGUGUAGGCGUGUCGAAGCUCUCCAAAAUCUCCGUCUUGCUUCCACUAUUCGCAGCCGGUUCUUGCUUCUUUCCCCCGCCAAACAACCCUCCAAACCACGAACUUGAACCAGAAGAAGGCUCCGGCGCCGGCGGCGCAGGCGGCGUCAUGCCAGGUAACUGACCCAUCGGAUAUCCGGAUACGGGACCGGGAGUCAUGCCGGGCACGGGCUCUUCCAUCGUCAUUGGAAGAUUUUGAGGAGCGCUCAGGACCUUGUUCAGCAUGAUCCCAGCUCCCUCAAUGAGACCCAAGAGUACGCCGCCGAAGAUGGCCGAUCGAGUGGAAGCGGCUAAUCCCUGACGCAUCUGGAGGAACCCGCCGGUCGCGGCACCAGCGAUGAUAGAAUUCCAGGGAUCCUCCUUCUGGCGGACGUAGACCAUGGUGCAAUCAAAGGCGGAGAAGAGGCCUCCCCAGACGGCGAAGCUGCCACCAACCCGCGGCGCGUUCAUCCUCACGGCUUGGGAGCCGCCGAUGACGCGCUCGCCCUUAGGGGAGUUGUAGAUGCCCUUGAGGAAGUGGAAAGCCGAGCCGCCGACCGCGCCCAUGCCAAAGGCGCCGCCGACAUCGUCGAGGAUCCGAUCGGGACAGGGUUCCCUGGACGUUUCCGGAGUGCCCAUGAUGAUGAGAGGAGGGCUUGGUGUGCGAUUUUUCUGAUUUUGGGCUUUAGGGUUUUGGGGUUAAUCGAGAGAGUGAGAGCGUUAUAGAGAGAGAAUCGGUUGUCUUGGAGGAGGGGUAGACUCGGUAAGUGUUAUAAACUAUUCCUUUGAUUUGUAGAAUAAACAUGAUAUUCUCAAAUCAUUUUAGGGUUUAAUCCACAUAAUUCUUAAAUUGUGAUUUUAUACCUAGAGUGUUUUUAAUAAUGAUUUUAAAAAGAGUUUUUAAUAUUUUUAAUACUUGAAAAAUAAAAAAUUUUAAGUGGACUCUUAAUCUUUGUAGAUACCAUUUGGAUUUUUAAUAAUUUUUUUAGUUAUUCAUAAAAUGAAGAAAGUGAAAAAUAAAUAUGUAGAUAUUAUUUGCAUAUUUUCAUAAUAAUAAAAAAUUAAUAUUUUUCAUAUAAUAUUGUUAGUAAUUUGAGGCUAAUCCAACUUAUGAUAAUCACCCUAUAGGGGGGUAAAUAGGGUGAUGGUCUCUUUUUCACAAAUUUAAACUAUGCAAAAAUAAGAGACAAUUAUAUGCAAAUAUAUAAUAAACAAAAUAAACACAAUUACAUAUAAUUUAAAAGAGUUAGGGAAUAGAGAGUGCAAACACGAGAGUUUAUAGUGGUUCGGCACUUCCUUGCCUACGUCUACUCUCCUCAACCUCCUAACCAAGUGAGGGUUCCACUAUCUUGAAGCUUCAACCAAGCUUUCAAUCUCUUUACAAUUAGAUUAUGGUUCCAAUUCACCGUCUUGGACUUUUGGCUCCAAGCAUCCUUUACACUUCUUCAGGAGAUAUCCCUCUCUUGAAUAACCUCUCAAGUGAUACCCCUCACUUGAGAAAAUUCCUUUCAAAGAUUUACAAAUAAAAUGAUCUCUCAAAAAUCCUAGCACAGGAACUUUAAGCUCAAAUGAUACAAGAGAAACUAGGAUUGAAUGGUGCACUAAAGAUAUGCAAGUUUUUGAAUAAUGGUGCACUAAAAAAUACUAUUCCAAGGCUCAAAUAUAAUCAAGAAGGAUUUGGGAAGGUUAAGCUCAUGAAACAAUGAAGAUUGGAGUCUUUUUAUAGAAGAGAAAAAUCAAACUAGCCGUUUGGGGGUUUGUCCGGUCGAGCUAGGGGUCGACCGAUUGACUAGCCGUUAGCAUUAAAUGUUGGUAGGUGACCGUUGGGCCUCGACCGGACCUCAACCGGUUGAGGUUCAACCUUGACCGAGAAGAGGAGGCCAUUGGGAGAGAGAAGGUUUUUGGCCUCCCUCAACCGGUCCUUGAUCGGACGAGCAUAACCGGUCGACCGGUUGAAUAGGUUGAGCCAUUCUUUUGGCUCAACACUCAACAUUUUUCAACUUAAAACCUUUUAACACAAGUUUGAAAAUUAUUUAACAAAAGGUUUUAGUUGAAAACAUGAAAUCAUCCAAUUUUAAAGAUAUUUAAAACAAAAUAACUCUUGGAUGAUUUUGGUGCAUAAGUAAAGAAAAUAAUGCAUGAAAGUCCUAGUGCACCAACAACCUUACAAAGAGAUCUUAAGAAGUUUUGGUCUUGAAAAACUCUUCUCUUUGAGGUGGUCUUCUUCUUCAUGAUUUCUCCUUGACUUGAUUUGUCUUUGGAUUGCCACUUUAGAAGUUGUCUUGCCUAAUCACACUUGAAAUAUGAUCAUUAGUUCUAAACGUUAUUUUGUUAUCAUCAAAAUCAAUACUAACCAAACCUUAGUUUCACAAAUAUGAUAUAUAAAUCAUUUUUAAUUCUAACAUACCAUAAAAAACAAAUAUGUAAAUAUUAUUUAUAUAUUUUUAUAAUAAAAAAUAAUAAUAUUUUGCAUAUGAUAUUGUGAAACCAAGGUUUGGUUAAUUUUGAUUUUGAUGAUAACAAAACAAGGUUUAGAACUCAUGAUCAUAUUUCAAGUGUGAUUAGGUAAGACGACUUCCAAAGUGGUAAUCCAAAGACAAAUCAAACUAAGGAGAAAUCAUGAAAAAGAAGACCACCUCAAAGAGAAGAGUUUUUCAAGACCAAAGCUUCUUAAGAUCUCUUUGUAAGGUUGUUGGUGCACUAAGACUUUCAUGCAUUUCAUUCUUUAUUUAUGCACCAAAAUCAUCCAAGAGUAAUAUUGUUUUAAAUAUCUUUAAAAUUGGAUGAUUUCAUGUUUUCAACUAAAACCUUGUGUUAAAUAAUUUUCAAACUUGUGUUAAAAGGUUUUAAGUUGAAAAAUGUUGGGUAUUGAGCCAAAAAAUGGCUCAACCGGUUCAAUCGGUUGAGGAAUCGGUCAACCGGUUGUGCUCGUCUGGUCGAGGGAGGCCAAAAGUUUCUCUCUCUCCCAGUGGCCUUCUCUUCCCGAUCGAGGUAACUCUCUUCCCGGUCGAGGUCCGGUUGAGGCUCAACGGUCAUCUGCCAAGCAUUUAAUGCUAACGGCUAGUCAACCGGUCAACUCCUAGCUCGACCGGUCGAACCCCCAACGACUAGUCUGACUUUUUUCUUCUAUAAAAAGGCUUCAAUUUUCAUUGUUUUAUAAGCUUAACCUUCCCAAAUCAUUCUUGAAUAUAUUUGAGUCUUGGAAGAGUGUUUUUGAGUGCACCAUUGUUUCAUAACUUGCAUAUUUUUAGUACACCAUUCAAUCCUAGUUUUUCUUGUAUCUUUGAGUCUAAAGUUCUAUUACUAGGAUUUUUGUGAGAUCAAUCUUUGUAUAUCUUUGAGAGGAAUUUUCUCAAGUGAGGGGUAUCACUUGAGAGGUUGUUCAAGAGUGGGAUAACUCUUAAGAAGUGUAAAGGGUGCUUGGAGCCAAAAGUCCAAGAGAGUGAAUUGGAACCAUAAUCCAAUUGUAAAGAGAUUGGAAGCUUCAUUGAAGCUUCAAGAUAGUGGAACCCUCACUCGGUUAGGAGGUUGAGGAGAGUGGACAUAGGCAAGGAAGUGUCGAACCACUAUAAACUCCCGUGUUUGCACUCUCUCUUCCCUAACUCUUUUAAAUUAUAUGCAAUUGUAUUUAUUUUGUUUAUUAUAUAUUGCAUAUAAUUGUCUCUUAUUUUUACAUAGUUUAAAUUUGUGAAAAAGAGACCAUCACCCUAUUUACCUCCCCCUCUAGGGUGAUUACCAUAAUUUGGAUUAGCCUCAAAUUCCUAACAGAUAUGAUAUGAUAUACAAAUAAUUUAUAAUUCCAUUGCAUAACUAGAAGUUAUAUAUAAAAAUUUUAUCUGUAAUUAUAUAGCUAAAAGCUAUCUCAAGCUAUUAUCUUAUAUAUUUCAUAUAAAAAAAAAUUAUGACUUAUAGUUUGAAGCUUUAUAAAUUUUAUAUAUUUUCAUUAUCAUAAGUUAUGCAGAAUUUAUGUGAAAUAAUUUUUUUUAAUACAUGUAUAUAUUAUAUUUAUUAGUCGUGUGUUUAUAAUAUCAAGUAGAUUUAUUUCUAAUAUAUUUAUCUCAUAUAUUCCACAACAUAUUAUCACAUGAUGCUUCAAAUGACCCUCCUCAUGGGCUUAUAUAGGAGAUGAAAAACUUCUAAAGACUCUUUGGAGACAUCUACACUUAGCUACAAAGUGGAAGAGUAUGGAAGUUUCUAGAGGAGGGUUAGAGAUAUGGGGUAUUCUAAAAUCUUUCAAAAUCAUCUUGUACAUAGACUAGUGUAGAGGAUUCUAAAUUAUUAUUGAGUUGUAAGGAAUCCUCCAAGGUUUCAGAGAGUUCCAUUGGUGCCUAUAAUUAGGUUAAGACUUCAUUUGGUCAAUAUACCUCCCUAAAACCACCCAAUAACCUAACUGAUUACUACUUAAAAAGAGCAUAUUUUAGAUAAUAAUUCUCAUGAGUUUCAUGUCUUUUGAGUAGUAAUUAUGCCUAAAACACUCAAUUAGCAUGUUGUUGCCCUUGCAAGAGUUACUAACAAGUUUUAUGAAGUUUUGGAGUCAUUUCAAGGUAUAAUUUUGAUAAAUUGGUGACAAAAGAGAUUAAUCAAAUUGAAGAAAACAAAUAAAGUUGAUGAUGAUCCAAAUGCAUAAUGAAAGAAACAAUGCAAUCAGUUUGGAUUGGGAUUUGGAGCUUAAUUGAAGAUGGUGGAGAUGGAUUAAACAUGAAGAAAUGAGAUAAAUUGCAAAGAGGAGCCGGAAUAGCAUGAUUUUCGAUUUCGCACAGUCAUGCGAAAUGAGACAAAAUGGUUGUGGCUGCAGCACCAAGGGAAAUUGUGACAAAGUGAUUUCGCAUGACCAUGCGAAAUUUUCGCACAGUCAUGCGAAACGCUCCAGAAGAACGAAAUUGAAGCUUAUGGAUUCUCCACUUCGCACCAUCAUGCGAGAUUGCUAGGGGCUCGUGCGAAAAUGCAUUCUCUCCAGAUUCCUUGAUGAAGAAGCAUCCGGAAGACCUCUAAAAUGUUGCCAAGUGUCCUUUUUACUUUGGCCUAUAAAUAGAAACGGGAUUUACUCACUUAAAGACCUUUUGAUACAUUUUCUAAUUGUAGAACUUUUCAUACUUCUUCUCUCUAUAUAAUUCUCCACUUUCCUUCAGUUUUUUUUAUUUUCUCGGUAGCCAAACAUGUCUUGUGAGAUCAAAUCUCCAAGCAUGAGUGGCUAAAUCUCGUUUUUCUCGGAGGAGGGAGGAUCUAGAGGCAAGAUCUAUGGUGAAUUAGAGAAUUGAGCUUGAAUUGCUAAGGUAAUUUGAUCCAAUUGAUUGAUUAAUUGAAAUUUGGAGAUUUUUCUCUUCAAAUUGUCUUGGAUGAUUACUACAAUGCAAGCUAGGUAGAUUCAUCAAAUUCUUAAUGCUAGAUUUGAUGAGAUUGAAUAGUUGCAUUGUGUGAAUCAUUGGAAGAUAAUUUAAGAUGAAUUGAAUAUAUGAUUCAAAUUGAUCUCUUGGAUUAGAUUACCUAAUUUGAAGAGAAAUUAGAUCUAGAUCUAAAGCUAAAUCAAAAAUCAGUUUUGAUGAAAAUUUAGGUUUUCAAUCUAACUUGAUGAAAAUUAGAUCUUAACACCUAUUCACUAUGGAAAUUGCUCUCUAGAAAAUCCUAAUUCCGAGAAUCUCACAUCUUAUUAAUUUUCUUCUCUUUUACACUUCAUUUUCCUCUCAAUUUGAAUACAUUGUUAUUUUGAGAUUUUAUCAUGCAUUUUCAAACCAAUUUCAUUUGAUCACAAUCAUUUCUUAUCAUCUCAUUCAAGCCUUAAUUACCAAGAAUAAUCCAUCCUUGUGGACGAUACCUAAAAACCACUAUGCUACAGUAAUUUGUACUAAAACCACUUUUUGAUCAGGUACAAAUUGCUAUAGAAGAGUGAAUUAGGUUAUAAAUUUUGUUUUGAUCCAACAAACGACAAAAUUUGAGCGAUCACUAACCAACCAAGUAAGUGAGUUCCAAAGCACUUGUAAAACUUUAUUUAAAUAAUAAAAAGUUUUCAUUCUUUAAGAGUUGCUUACUACGGCUUCUAAAGCUUCCAAGUCGUGAGCAUUUUAGCUUAGCAAGCUAAGCAUUAAGAGUAAGACUGACUUAGCAAGAUCAAGUGUCUUGACUUGUUUAAAUGUCGCACAAACUUAGGAAAAGACUAAGGUGGUGUUUGUUUUUUUACUUAAUUCUAAAUAGAACCUUAAUACUUAAUAGUAUUAAAUAUUAGGUUGUUUGUUUUUGUAGUAUUUUAUUUCUAUUAAGUAUUAAAAAGUAAAAAAAAAACCAUUGUGUUAUUUUUUCUAUUUAGAAAAAGCCACAUAUUUUGGCUUUUUCUAUUUAGUAAAAAGUUUAUAAUAAGUCAUGAAAAAAUAAAAAAACAAACAACCUAAAUUCUAAAACUAAAUGGUUUUCAACAAAAAGCCAAAAAAACAAACACCACCUAAGUCUGUGACAAUAUGUACUAGUUGAUGUUAAUAUAUAUCGAGUAAGCUUGACUAUGAACUCCUAAAGGGAUAAAAUUAUGUUAGUAAUGACAUAAAAUUUCAUGUAAAUGAUACUUUACAUUUGAUCAAAUUCAAAAGAAUCUGAUAUGACCAACAUGGUCCCGAGGUAAAUAAUAAUGCAUCAACUAAUUACAAGUCAUGCAGAUAUAUUAUAAAACUAGAAGUUUUUAUUUAGUGAUUUGUUUAUCUAUACUUUUAAAGGGUAGUAUGACAUGUUUUGGAAAUUAUUAUUUCAAUGAGAUAAAUUUUCUCACCAUUAAGAGGAAGAAGCUGGUUUUAGAAGAACAAUGUGAGAAUUCUUAGAAUUUUUUUUUAUACAAGUGUUAAUAUCGAUGAAGAAUAAUUAACUAACAUCAUAGUAUAUAUACACAUGAAGCAUAGUAAAAUAAUUGAAGCAAACAUUAAUAUUAGCUAUUAUAACUACAAAUGAAUGCCACAAUCACUUGCAACAUAGUUUGUCGGUUCAAAUGAUGUAAUUUCUUGGAAAAGAAAAACACAAUAUACAUGAAAAAUGGGCUACAAAAUGAUUUACCAGUUCAAAAUUAAGGAACUUAUAGCCCUUAAAGAGGCAACCAUGGAAUAAAUAACCCUUGAAGAGAUAAUUAUUGAAUAAAGAGCCCUUGAAGAGAGACAUAUUAAAUUAAUAGUCCUUAAAGAGACAUAUAUUGAAUAAAUACCCCCUAAAGAGUUAUAGAUUGAAUGAAUAGGUAUGAAUAUCUACAUACCUAAAAGUAAAAGUAACAUAUAUUUGUUAUAAACAUGAUAAGAGAAGGAUGAUAAUAAAAUAAUGUUGUCAUUAAUAAUGCAUUUGUCUUAUUUUCAAACGGUCUUUGACAUAAUGAGAAAUGAUAAAGAUUCCAAAUAAUGAAUCAUGGAAGAAUGUUGACAUAAAAAAAAAAAAGUGACCCAAAUGGAAGAUGCUAUACAAACAAGUUGGACCGGUCGACCAAAUAGGAGUAUUUAGACUUGUAGUCUAUAAGACAUCAAACUUGUUGAAUGUAAAUGAACUUGAAGUCUAGUGUAUAAAGACAAAAAAGUAUUUGAUAUCAAUGAGUUAUUAUACAAAAGUGUAUUUAAGAUAAAUUAUAGCAUAAGGUUUCUACAAGAAACCUUGUAUCAACCCUUUUAAUGGCUUAAUCAUAGUUCUAACUAUCAAAAUUGAUUGUUCCUAAAUGACUUAAUAUGUAUUAUAUAAUGCAUAUAGAUUCAUAAAUAUGUUAAAAUCCAGAAAGAUUCAAAAUGCAUGAAACAAUCAAAUCCCUAAGUAAUUAACAUGCUUGAAGCAAAUAAUUUCCCAUAAGGAUUAAUAUCUCAUAACAUAUUUAAAAUAAUGUUACGUAAUAUAUUUGAUUGAGCUACGUUCUUGUAUGUAUUAAAAUGGAGGUUUAUAAUUAUUAUAAUUUUAUUGGAACUCUUGAAGAGUGUAUAAGAGUGGUUAAUUAUCUAAUGAAAUAUUUUGAAAAAUCAAAAUGUUGUCUUGAUUUGUAAAUCAAACACUUUCCAAAUAAAAUGUUAAUCAAUCAAUUAACACAGAAAGUCCUGAAACAUUUUCAAACAAAUCACAUCCAUUAAAACGCAGUUCAUUCACUAAAGUGAAAAAAGACUUCUUUCAUCCUAAAAAAGAUAACAAAAAACUACUUAGUAAAAAAGUACCUUUAUUUCAAUGUCAUUCGUGCACUAAUGUAUGUUGUAGAUUAUAUUCAUACAAGUUUUGUCUCACUAAGUUUUACAGACAAAAUUUUUAACGAGGGAAUCGUAGUAGUUCAAAAGAACAUUAUAUUAUUUUUUCUUCAUUAGGAUUUUUUUCCAUAGAGUUUUUCAUAGUAAUGUUGUAACGAUACAUAUUCUUAUAAUCAUCCGAUGAGGAGUAUUAUAAAAUAUGAGAAUUUAUUGAAUUAUGAGAAUUUGUUGAUGAUCAUAAACAAAUUUUUUUGGUGACUCUUUGUUAAAAAAAGAAACGUCUAAUAAAAUAUUGAUUCAACUUAUUUCAUAGUAUCCUUUUUUUUUUUUAAACAUUCAUAUUCAUUUUUUUCUUCUUCUCAUUUUUUAAUUUUACAAAAUAAAAAUAAAAAUUAUAAGAAUAGUUUAUCUUGCAAGUUUAGUUAUUUCAAUACCUUAUGAAAUAAUUGAAUUUUAGGGAUAUACCAUAAAAAAAAAAUUAAAGAAAAGCAAAUAUAGUUUUUGCCAUUUUUAUUUUAAUUUGAAAAAAAAUAUAAAGACAGUUUUCAUUGUGAUAAGAGCUAAACGACGUCGUAAGUUACCUGAGCACGGGUUCACAGAGGAGGAGACGGCGCAGACUCGAGUCAUGGUUCUGGUUCAAAUAUGCAAUCGAGAACUUUCUCAGUAUUCCUCUUAACUUGUAAUCAAGGUUAGAUUUUUCUGUUUCUGAACUCCUUUACUUCAAGUUUUCAGAUUCAUCUUCUGGAAAGUUUCUCCUUUUAAUUCAUACCAUGUACUGUAAUUUCACAAAGUGCCAGGCAUUUCCCUUGGCUAUUAGGGUUUCAUCACAGCCCAUAUGCUUCCGAAAAUUCCACACAUUGAAAACCCAGUUCUUGCCAAUUGGAUUUCAUCCAAAACCCUCACAAAACCCCAUUUUGGUGAAAUGCGCAACCCUCUCAUGUGGGUUUGGUUGCAAACCCCAUGAGAACUCCCAUUCGUUGAAAUCCACUGGGAUUUUGAUUGAGUUGCAUCAUAAAGCCCUUGAAAAGGGCACAACAAGAAGACCCAGAAGCGUCUCCUGUGGAUUUCGUCUCAAAAAUGUUGUGCAAAGUUACAAUUUUUUAAGAGGUAGAAGUUUUUCGAGUUCAUAUUCUGUGAGAGUUGUUGGAGGCAGUGGUGCAAUGAGAACUGGGAAAGCACUUCCCUGGUUAACAGCAAAGGGAGCUAAGGAAAGGAAAAGCUCAGACAAAGUGGUGAAUUUGAAAAAUAAUCAGUCUUAUUGGGAGAAAUCAGCUAAAAGGUCAGAGAAAGUGACAACUGCAGAAACUAGUCGCUCUUCCUGGGAGGAAUCAGCAGAAAGAUUUGGGAAAAAUCACAGUUCAAGGGAGCUUCUUCCAAAAAAUGGUACACUUAGAGCGGGGACUGAGGGAAGUAAGAAUAUAAUGGUAGACAUGGUAGAGAGUCAGAAAAAUGGUUAUAUGGAGAGAGAUGAAAGUGCUGAAGAAGAAAUGGAGGUUAUUGACGAUCCAAGAUGGGAUAAGAUUAAGAAUAGGUAUACGGAAACUGGGGAUGUCAAAGGCAGAUAUGAGAGACCAGAAUUACGAAGGUGGAAUAAGCAGGAAAAUUGGGGUAGAAAGACAUGGAAAGAAGCUACUGAAUCAACAAUACCUAAGAUUGUUGGUGAAGGAAUUUAUGGGGUUGGUCCUGUUCUCGCUGCAUUGUCUGCUGGAAGAAGAGAAUUUUAUGCAUUGUAUGUUCAAGAAGGAUUGGAUUUGAGUGGUAAUAAUAGGAAGAAGAAGGACAAGAAAGGGUUUGAGAAGGUUUUGAAGCUAGCAGAAAAAAUUGGUUUAAGCAUUAAAGACUUAUCAAAGCAUGAUCUCAAUAUGGUUGUUGAUAACCGACCCCAUCAGGGACUGGUGCUAGAUGCUUCUCCAUUGGAGAUGGUAAAAAUAAAGGAAUUGGACCCUGUUUUAACUGAGGGAGAGAAGGGUCCCUUAUGGGUAGCACUGGACGAGGUUACAGAUCCUCAGAAUUUGGGGGCAAUUAUUCGGUCUGCUUACUUUUUUGGAGUUUCAGGGGUGGUAUUAUGUGCAAAGAACUCAGCUCCAUUGAGUGGCGUUGUGAGCAAAGCAAGUGCAGGCUCCCUCGAGUUGAUGGAGCUCAGGUUUUGCAAGAAUAUGAUGCAGUUCUUAACAUCAUCUGCUGAAAAUGGUUGGCAGGUUCUUGGAGGCUCAGUAUCUCCAAGAGCAAUUCCUUUGAAUGAGAUUUCACCUGGUGCACCCACAAUUCUUGUUUUGGGCAGUGAGGGCACUGGGUUGAGACCUUUGGUGGAGAGGUCAUGUACUCAGUUAAUUAGGAUCCCUGGAAACAUUCCAGUGCAUGUAACUGCAGGAGAAGUUGAAGAUGUGGAUACCUCAGAGAUGGAUCGUAGGUGCUUGACUGAAGACUUCCAGUCCUUUUUGGCAGUUGAGAGUUUGAAUGUCAGUGUUGCUGCUGGAGUGCUUCUUCACCAUUUGGUUGGGAAUAGCUAUGAAAACAAUUGCCUCUUAGGCGAUAAGCAAGUCGAUGCACUUCAAUGAGAUUCCGAGCCCUUGCAUCAAACUAUAUAUAUAUAUGGCAUUUGUAGGGCCCUCCUGUAAGUUUCUGGAAGUAGAUUACAAGGUUUAUUUUCUUUUCAUUACUUGAUUGAUUGGAAAGAAGAAUGAUAACACAGGCCACUUAAAUGAUGGGCAAUGUGACUGAUUUGGAUGAGAUUCUAUGAUCAGCAUCAAACUAUUUCUUCUCAGUACUUAGAUAUGUAUCUCAAAUUACUGAUUAUCUUUCUUUCUUUCAAUCUUUAUUUUUCCGAAUAUAAUCAUUCCAUCUGAUUGGCAUUUGGAGGGCUGAUUCUUAGUUACCAAAAAUUCAAUAGUAUAGAUUGUUGCACAACUUUAAGUAUCUUUGGCUCAGUAACAAGCUUAGAUGAACAGAGAAUCACAAUUAUGUGUGCACUCAUGAAAUUGGAUCAAACUUAUUGUAAGAUGACCUCAUGGAUAUGCAGAUGCUCUUUCCCUUGCUUUAUUUUGGCUUGUUUUGUCAUCCCUGUUACAUUUACAGCAAAUUUGGAGUCUAGAUCCUGAUGUUAUUCCAAAUCACUUCUUACCUAUCAAGCUACUCAAGUUUGCAAGAAUGAACUUUGAUUUUGAUGGGUAUGUCACAAAUACCACACCUAUCUGCUUUCAUAGUUCUAUUUUAUGAUGCUCUGCAUAACUGUUCGUUCCCUGCAAAUUUUGAGCCUAGAGACUGAUGCAUUGAUUCAUGUUCCAGUCAUAUGUGUGCAAAUGCUAUAACUUGCAUGAUUGUAUGGUUGGACUCUUUAUGUAUGAAACAAAUUGGCAAGUUUUGCAUAAAAAUCUGGCUGGAUAUUGGUAUGAAUAUUAUUGUACAUCAUUGCACUGUGGACUACUUAUUGCCUGUUUCAAGCUUUUCAUGUGAAAUGCUGAAACACGUGCUUGGUGGACCAAGCCUUUUUUUUCCCAUUCAUUUUUUGUGUUCUUGGGUAAACCAUAGCAUCAAAACCUCUAGCAACAGCUGUACUUCUGUUAUUUUGGUCAAGUGUGUGCUCACUGUGCAGGUGGGUUUGCGGGAUCAGAAUUCUGGAAGUAGUGAGGUUAUUUGAACUUUAAGAGCCCGUAUAAUGGAGGGAAAGAGAAAAGAAAAAGAAGGAAAAUCUGUCUCUUGUUUGUUUAUAAUGGAAAACAAAAAAGAAGCAAAGAUAUGAUAAAAAUUUGUUAUACUUAAAACAGCAAAGAUAGUUGGGGAAAGAAUGGAUGGAGGAACCAAACUUUUAUUUUUUUAACCAAGGAUUACCUUUCAUUCUUCUCUUUUUCCUUGUUCUCUCACAGAUUCCGGCAUCCAAACAACAGCUUAAGUCAUAAGCCUGCCAAAAGUCCUCAUUUCCGUCAACAAACACAGAAAUCCUUGAUAAGAGCACCAUCAGGGUCCAUGGGGGAGUUUAAGGAAUAGUCAUUUAAGUGACCACUUCAGCAUUUGUUCUACCAAUAAUUCUAUGGGAAACCUCAUUCCAGGCCAGGAUGAGACGCUGCCUGAUAACCUUCAAUUCAGCUUUUCUACCCUCUAAUAUUCACAAAUGUAAAGUUAACCUGCCAACCAAUGACCCUACUUGCCCUAAUUAGCAUACUUCACUUGCUGGUCCUAGUUUUUCAUUAGAGAAAUCACCUGGAUUCUCCUCCACCAUUGGAUGUUGUUACAAGAACUUGAACAUGUAUCUCAGAUGUGAGUGUGUCUAUAUGUGAGAUCCAUCUAAUACCUAUUCUACGAGACAUGGUUGAAUGUUCAAAACCUUCAAUUUUCCCUCUUCAGUAGGUGUAAAAAAUGAAACAUCUUCUUGUGGUGUGUGCCUGACAUUUGUGCUUCACUCAUUUUUAAUCUGUGUAACAAAAGAGCAUAUGAAAUUUGGAAUGUUAGCAUGAAUUUGCCCCUUUCAUUCUCUGCUAGCCCAUAUGUUGGUCCAUAUUUUGACAGCAGGUGUGCCCAUUUGGCUCAAGAUCAUGACAGAAACGCUGCAAAUGUUUGUCAUAAACUCAAAUGAUGUGGUAGAAUGCAAAAAACACAGAUUGACACUACCAGUGAUGCUGCCAUCCAUGGCCAUCUUUGUGUUCUAAUCCCCAUUUUCUGCAAUAAGUUGUUUUCUAGCUGAAGGGUAGCAAGGCUUAUAUUGUUGUGAGAGAAAUGCAGUGUCUGUUAAUCAGUAGAAUUGCUCGGUAAUUGCAGUUAUGGCCGUCCAUCCCCAAUUGAAAUUUGAUUCAUUCUCUCAAAGAUUGACCAUUACAGAUAUUCUUUUCCCCACAUGGAGUUGCAGUCGAUACACGGUAAACAAUGUCUGCCAUUCCACUGGUCAAUCUCCUCAGAUGCCAUUGCAGGUCCUACUUCUAUAUCCAAUCUGUUUCAGACCAUAUCUAGAGCAUUGGGUCUCAAGGAAAUUGCAGAGACUUCAUGGGUGGCCAACAACCAUUCAAACAUGAAAUGCAGGUGUAGGUCAAAGAAAGGACCAGCGGGCUGAGACAAUUAUGAAUUAUCCUAGACCAGAGACACAUGGACCAUCAUGCCACAUCCAUUUCAGUUGAAGAAUCCAAAUUUCCAGUAAUGUGCCACAUGGGGUCUGCAAUCAUCUUUAGAUGACGUGGCCCCUGGAAGCCAAGCUGGGCAAAAGCAUGUGGGAGAAGUCAUAACCAUCUUCCUUACUUAGCUCAAAGUCCCUUUCUGCAUCAUCACUUCUCAUAUCCAAACCCCCCUUUUGACGAAUGACAACCCAUUUCUUCGAGGAAACUUCCUUCUUUCAUUUUCCUUUUGAAAAUCACCAAUUCAUUUUGGAAUAUCCAUGAGAGCUUCAAGAAGAUUCCCAAUGACUGCAAUGGAUAAAUAUUUAAAACAAUUUUUAAUUUAAUUUUGGUAACGUGACGUGUGCAAUCUCUCCUCAAAAUUAAAUUGUCAGCGUGUCCAUCUGUCCAUUGGAUGCCGCCAUGGACACUUGAAAUUGAACAAGAAAAAUUUUGAAAAACUUUAAAUUUAAGGAAAUUUCACAUGGAUGCAUGUUCAUUCCUUAAAAUGGAGCUAAAAAACAUUUGAAUGUUGUAAGAUUCAAAUGUAGUGGUCCCCCCUGGGCUUUGUUUGAUUUCUUCUAAGAUUGACAUACCUAAUUUAUUAAUUAUUAUGCUAUAUUUUAAUAAAAUAAAAUAAUAUAUAUAUAUAUAUAUAUAUAUAUAUAUUCUUAAAUUAAUUAUUAAUCUAUUUAACAAGGGAGACAUGCCGCCAAUUAUGAUCGGCUUCCAUGCCCUCCACAACCAUGAUGAUCAAUGGCUCACUAUUUUCAUGGAUUUAUUCACUAAUGCCACUUUUUUAUAUAUUAAAACAUAAGAGCGGGGAAAUAUCAAGAUAGCAUAGAUGAUUUAAAGUCUGUUUGGUAAUAAUUUUAAAAAGCGUUUUUAAUAUUUUUAAUACUUAAAAUUUUUUAUUAUUCAAGUGUUAAAAAUGUUAAAAACGCUUUCUAAAACCACUUUCACACUCUUACUUUAAUAAUCUAAUUAUUAUAUUAUUUUAUUUAAUCUAAUUAUUAUAUUAUUUUAUUAUUUAAUAAAAAUACAUUGAGUGUUGUUUUUUAGGUGAUAAAAUGCUAAAAAUAUGAAUGAUUGAGUUUGUAUUUGAAAUUGAGUGUUUGGAAGUAGUUUUAAGAAAAAAUAAUGAUAAUUUUGAAAAUUUUAAAUCUAAAUUCUUGUAUUGUGCUCAAUUAAAAAAUUAUUUUUUAAAAAAAAUUAUAUAAAAUAGAGAUAAAUUAUAUUGGAUUAUUUGUUUGAUUGAAAUGAUAGUUAGUUUCCAUAUUGAAUUAUGAAUAGAUAGAAAAAAAAAGUUAAUAUUAUUUUCCAUUUAAAAUUGUAUUUUAAAUGUUUUUAUUUUAUUAAAUAAGGAUGGAGUCAUGGAAAAACCAAAUUUGGAUAUGAUUUUGAUUAUUUAUGACACUUAUCCUUAUUCUAUACACUUCCUAUUUUCCAUUUAUAAACAUAUAAAAUAUUGAUAAUUUUUAUAUAAAAUAUAAAAAUUUUCAAGAAUUAUUUUUUUUUUUUAAAAACGAUAACUUUUAAAAAUUUUAAAUGGUAAAAAAAUUUAAAAUUUGAGGUAUAAUUUUUUUUUUUAUUCAUAAACUCUUUAAAUAGCUUUUAAAAAUCAUUAUCUUAAAAAGGUAGGUUUUAGUCUUAUAUAGAAAUUAUUAUCAUGAAAUAAAGGGUAUAUCCAAAAGAUAGAUAAUGUUUGAAUAUAAAUUCAAAGAAGUGUUUUAAUAGUGGGUUUUAAAUAUAUUAUAUGAAAAAAAAAGUUUUUUUUUUUUUGAAAAUAUUGUUUUUAAAUUUUUUAAAAAUGUUUUGAACAUUUUAAAAAGCUGCUACAAAUUAAAAAUGUUUGAACGAGAAUCAUUUUCAAAUAAAUUUGAAGUCAAAUUUAAAAGGUUUUUUUUUUAAAUUGAAAUUAAAAUGUGUUAAAUUAUAAUAUUAAAAAUUAUCAAAUUUGAAUCAAUUUUCAAAUCAAAUCAAUCAUUGUUACAAUUAAUUUUUUGAAAAGAUGAGUCUAAAAAAAUUUAAAAAUGAUUUUCAAAUAUCUAUCAAAAUAAGAGCUUCCAAGUAUUUUUUAAAAGCAUUUAUAAUGAAAGUUCUACUAAAUUCUAAAAUUAUUUUAUCAAAAUCAUUUUUAGAUGAAAUCGAAGUCAAAUUUUAGGAGAUUUAUAUUUAAAAAUGGAGUGGAAACGUGUGACGUGUGGAAUCAUAAUAUUAAAAAUUAUGAAAAUCGAGUCAAUAUUCAAAUCAAAUCAAAGCUUGCUUGGGAAGGUUUGUGUUGUGUUUAUAAAUAUAUAUGAAAUUGAAACUCCUCCCUCUCAUAAUGGAAACAGAGGGGCGUGGGACCAGCAAAAAGUGAGGUGGAAGUAGCCCACCCCCAGCGCAGAAAGGAGCUGUAAUCAAAAGCGACAGCAAGUGAAGAUCCCAACCUAAAAGCGGCAUCUUCUCCAAAAGAUCCUUCACCUCUCCGCACGUGACACCUCACACGCUCCAAUUUCUCAGACAUUUACCUAUAAAUAACCACCGUUCCAACUGUCUCUUCUCUCUUCUCUCUCUUCUCGCAAUCCUCUCUUUCUCUCUCUAGCGGUAAAAAGGAAAAAAAACAAACGGAUGGUGAAUCUUUUACUGCAGUAAGAACGGAAAAGGGGAAAAAAAACCUGGGCUGUUCGAAAUAUAAAAUUACGCGGUCUCUAUCAUUUCGACCUUUUCUCUCUCUAGCUCUGUUCCUUCUUUCCAUGGUGAUCUGAGGCGGAGGUAGAGAGGGACUGUAGUUGAAUUCUAGGGUUUUGGUUUUUUUUUUUUCCUUCCUUCUCUUCUUCUCUCUGCUCCCUCAUUUGCCCUAGCGCGCAAUGGGAGAGACAGUGUCGGCAUUCGAUUCGUAUCUCUUCUCUGCCAGCAGAGCUUGUUGCAGUCCUCUCGCCAUUUUUAUCCAGAUCCAGGUUCGUUUUUUGUGACUGUUUUUUCUUUGUUUUCGUGGUUUGGAUCUGAGUUGUUUUGUUGUUGGGACAGUGAGAGAAGAAAAGAAACCCAAAAUUUGAAUCUCGGUUUUUAAUUUUUUUUUGCAAGUGAGUGACCGGAUUUGAUUUCUUAAUGAUUGUGUGGUGAUUCUCACACUGGAAAAUUUUGAGUUGUUGUUCUUGUUAGGUUUUUAUUUAUUUAUUAUUAUUAUUAUUGGGUGACUUUUGAGUUUUCUGGAUGUCAAAGGUGUUUGUUUUUUCAAUCAGAAUCGGGUUUAGGAGUUUAAUUUAUGAUAACUUUUAUGAAAAGAAAGUUUUGUGCGUGGAUGAUAAUAAGGAGGUCGGUUGCUUGAUUUUUGGUCAGAAUCGCAGAUGUAGGUACAGAGAACCAGUCUGAACGGGGUUCAAUUUUGGGUUUUUGGACCUUAUAUCUUGGAAUAUAUUGGAUUCCUUAAGGUGGGGUUACGAGAGAAUCAUUAGGUAGUGAAUGGCUUUUAUCUCUGUAAAUUUGGCUGGCUUCCUUUGGAUAUCUAUUGGCUACUGCAGUUUUAUUUUGAUUUCUUAUAGUGUGGAAUUUUAGGGAGUGCUCAUCUCUACAGUUGUAAGAAGAACACUGCACCAUGUUUUGUGUUCAUUAUCCGUUUGAGAUGCCCCAUUAGAGAGAGUUAAAAAAGAAGUUAAAAUAACUGUUUACCCACCCUAGCAUGGCCAUUGGAAAAUGCAUGAAAGGUUUAUGGUAUGAGUAGCUUAUCCAUAUUAUCAAAAACUGGCGUAUGCCACAUUAGAUAAUUCAUUGUGAACCUUGUGUGGUAUCAUUGAGUGAUUCGAUUGGGAGCUAUUUACGUAAUGGAUUUAUUUUUGCUGCAUAUAUGUACCUUGUCUGAUAAGCAUAAUGCUAAUAAUAAUGACACUAUUUAAUCAACAAAAAAUUAUAAUCUUAUAUUAAUCUUGGUUCAUUGUGGGUUAUAUAUAUAUAAUAUUUGUUUACCUAUCAAAAAAAAUAUAUGUAAUAUUUGUUUAAACAUUGUGUGCUAUGUUUUAGUGGCCCUUUAGGAUAGUAUUAUCACAGUGUGGUCAUGUAUCAAUCUGAGUUUUUCUUUGUGCCACAGGGAUGCGUAAUCUGCUUAACUCUUGCUCUUGGGUGGGCUCUUGCAGCUUAUGUCAGGUACCAAGAAUUGAUGACCAGUAUGGAAAUAGCUUGGCUUUUAGUCUAUUAUUCAUCCUCUGUUAUUUUGAUACAGAAACUUACUUUUUUUAUUUGAGAUAUCUUCAAAUAUUUUCUUCUUCCCACAGGAAUCGAGAGAUCAAGCGAAUAAAGGAUAAUAUGAAAGGUGGGAAUAGCUUUGCAUUUCUUUACCAUGAUAUCAAUGACCUUGAGCACUCUAAUCAAGCUAAGCUCCCAAGAGUGUCAGUUGUUAUGCCUUUAAAGGGAUUUGGAGAACAUAAUCUACACAACUGGAGGAGUCAGGUGAGAUUCUUAUGGGAUAUACUCCUAUCAAGCAUGCUUCCUUCAUGCUGUUUUCACUGGAAACAAAUAGAGAAAUUGGAUUCUUUCACCCACAACCCCCCUGCCAUCCCUCUUUCUUCCACUUUGUGCCUCUUUUUUUUUUCAUCAGCACUAAUCUAGUUAGUAGCCACAAGGAUGCUGGUUGCUUUCUUUGGGUUGACAGAAGUGUCGAAUUUGUUUGAACUAUUUUUUUGGAAGAAUUGUCAAUUUUAGUCAUUAUAUAUUGGAGUUCCAGAUUUAUCUCCAUUUCUAUUUUAAAUGUAUAGUUCUCUGUCAUCAGUAAACACAGGUAAAGAAUUCCAUAUUGGGGAUCACUAGAUGUUUGUGUGGUAGUAGUUUUUUGGAUUACUAUAUGCUUGUUUUAACUGUUCUGAGUUUCUUGGAACUGAUACUUUAGACAUUUGGACUUUGUUCCUAAAAUUUUAUCAGCUAAAAAUUUAUAGUUAUUUUUUUACUUUUAAGUUUAUUUAUUAAGUUUUUCCAUACUUUAGUUCCCAUUAAAUGCAGGAAUUUCUAUGUUCACAAAUGUUCAUUACAAUUUGAUUCAUAAAUUACUAAAUGCAGGUCACAUCUCUGUAUGGUGGUCCUUUAGAAUUCCUUUUUGUUGUGGAAAGUACAGAAGACCCAGCUUACCACGCUGUAACUCGGUUGAAAUCAGAUUUUAAGGCAUGCAUUUAUUUUUCUACCAUUUCAUUUUGCUUUACAGAAAGAACUAGACUCCCUCUUAUACACAUUUUUAUGUGAUGGAGGCAUUUAUUUGAUAUUUUUUCAUCAUGUCUUCCUUCAUUGACUUUUAUGGUAUGUCUAAUGGUCACAGGAUGAUGUUGAUAUUAAGAUUGUUGUGGCUGAUUUGUCAACAACUUGCAGUCAAAAAGUUCAUAAUCAGUUGGUAUGUAAUAUGCUUAUGGCUUCCCUCACUCUGCUGAGAAAUAUGAUUCACUGUCCAUUUUAUUUUCCAAAAUCCACCUAUUUUACUUGUACACUCUAAAUUGAACAUAGUUUCUCAUUUAGACUGGACAAUCAGUUGUAUUGAUUCUCAUGUAAUGUAUCUAUGAGGCACCCAACACCUGCAGUCAAUAGAAACUUGCACACACUCAUAUUUGUAUACACCUGUUCCCUGUAAUGGUUGAAGUAUUUUUCUAGAAUCAUGUAGUUUUUUUGUGCUUUAUCAUGUAUAUUCUGGUUCUCUAAUACAGGUUGGGGUGGAUAGAAUGCAUAAAGACAGCAAGUAUGUAUUAUUCCUGGAUGAUGAUGUCAGGCUGCAUCCUGGGACCAUUGGGGCCCUCGUUGCUGAGAUGGAAAAAAAUCCUGAGGUGUAUUUAUGCACAUAAACUACCAUGCCUUUUAUCUAUGUAACUUGCAUUUUUAUCUAAUCUUGUUUGAUAUUUUUUCCCCUUUUGUGUUUUUUUUAUAUGUGUACUUAUGAUUUUGGUUGGCAUUGAUUGGAAUUCUGGAAUGCCCUUUUAAUGGUCUGAUUUUGCUGGAGACGUGCAGAUAUUUAUUCAAACCGGAUAUCCUCUUGAUUUGCCUUCUGGAAGUUUAGGAAGUUACUGCAUUUACGAAUAUCAUAUGGUAUGCCACCAUCUAGGCCUUAAACUUUCUUUUAUUCAUACACAUAUUACAUGCUUUUAACUAUAAAUAAAGUUUUUGUUUCUUUCAUUUCCAACCUGCUGAUGUGAUGUAUUAAGGGAAUUGAGUCUAUUCAUGAUGAUUGUUCUUGUGGUUAUGUGCUAUGUUCUAAAGAACAUUUGGAUGAAAAAUUAUUUCUCUCAUGGAUUCCAUAUAGCAAGAAAACAACAAAAUGUUUUUUUUGACAGGCAAAUGCAGAUUAAUGUUAAAAGUGCAUAACAAAAAGAGAGUGCAACCUAAGCAUACAGAGGCAUGCUGUAUACAAAGGCACCCCAAGCAGAAAAAAGAAGGAAAAGCCAGAAAUACUAACAUGGCCCUAUGUAAUGAAUUCUAAUGAAGACAAACAACCAUUUCUCUGAAAUUUUCUUAGACCACAAAACAGGGACUUAAUAAAAGUCUGUUUUAGCAUUGAAUCCUGCAGCAUGAACUAGAGCCAACUCUUAUGACACAAGUCUUGGAUUUUAAAGUAUUAUUGGCUGGUGGGGAUCACUUUUUCCUUUUCCAGCUUUUGGUCAACCCCAAGUAGUUCUGGAUAAACCUUUGUUGAGUUAUUUUCAGUUUGAUUGUUGAUAAAAAAAACGUGGAACUUGUGGCUGUACAUAUUGGUGAUAGAUCCUUCAACUCCUGAAUAGAUUGAUUUGUACUUAUUAGAGAAAAUGUCUAGAUUGAUUUUUUUUGUCUUUUCUGAUUUACAGCCUUGUUCGAUGGGUUUCGCUACAGGUGGAAAAACAUUCUUUUUGUGGGGAGGGUGUAUGAUGGCAAGUAGCUGUUGCUUAUCCUUUUCUGAGUGGCACAUGCAUGAACUAUGAAAUAAUGUUUUCUGAUUGUUAUAAAUUAUUUUCAGAUGCAUGCGGAUGAUUUCAGAAAUGAUAAUUAUGGAGUGGUUUCGGGACUUCGAGACGGUGGAUACUCUGAUGACAUGACUCUUGCAGCAAUUGCUGGUAAUGCUUUGAUCUACCUUAUUUUCUUUGUCACAUUUAUUGAACCAGUUUAUCUGUGGACCUUUAUUUCUGCCUGUUUGAUGUUAUGUGUUUGACCAAUAAAAUGCUGGUUAACUUUGUCUACUUUUUUACUUUUAACUCUGAGAGAACCAAACUCUAACCUUCUUUAUGCAGUGUCAUUUGACACAAGCAACUUCAGGACAAUGUGAAUGUAUGCUUGUUUGGUUAUUAUACAUCUACAUAUGUAGCUCUUUUCUUCUUGGAAUGACAAACUCUUUUAUAUUUAACGUCAAUUGAGAUUGUCAUUGAAUAGUUGAUGGCUGUAUAGUAAUUAAGAUAUGGUACAUACUGGAUAUUGUUAGGUGUAGUUACGUAACGGUCCUGUGUUGACCCCUUUUUUUUUUGGAUGGCUCAAGGUUUUGUCAAGUUUUCUUUUCUUUUAACUGUUGAAAGGAAGGGGACUAUUUCUUUGGUUAAUUGAUGGCUUUUUCAUAGUCUAUUUCCUUAUUGAGAUGGUGGUUGCUAAUGUCAUUGUGUCUUUACAGGGAAUCAUAAGAGGCUGAUUACAUCUCCGCCAGUUGCCGUCUUUCCUCACCCCCUUGCAAGUGAUCUUAGUUUUUCAAGGUUUUUGAUAUUCCCUUUUCAAAAUUUGUUUUUUCACAUGGUAUUCCUUGUUGAUCUUUUCCCUUUUUGACUUGUGUAGAUACUGGAAUUACUUGAGGAAGCAAACAUUUGUUCUUGAAUCAUACAUUUCGAAGGUUAACUGGGUUAUGAAUCGUGCAUUAUUUUCUUCCCACUGCUAUCUAUCGUGGGGAUUUGUAGCACCCUACUUGAUGGCUAUAAUUCACAUUGCAGCAGCACUACGAGUUGCUUCUAAAGAGUACUCGCCUGAGGAAACAACCUUUGCUUCUGGUGGUGAGCACACUGCUUUUCCCUUUUAGGUAGGUUGUAAGUGUUUAUUCAGAUGAAAUCAUUGUGCAGGAUCCUGAUACAGGACAAUGUUUACUGUCCAACCUUUUUCAAUGCUAAAAAUUGAAUAUUGUAUUUAAUAGCAGAGCCUCCAAAACUUAGGUCAGAAUAUUUAAACAAAAUGUGAUGAUUUUUUUUUCUUGAUUAUAGAAACCCUCCCUUGUGUGAUCUUUUGUCAGUUCAUUUGAGGUGCUUUCUAAUUUAUUUACAUUGGGUCGUGUGGGAGGUCAGGUUGGUUGGUGGCAUUUGCCUAACUGGGAAUUUAGUAACAAACAACCACUUCCAAUGUGAAUGUUUGUCUACAUUAUUUUAACUUUCUGAAUUGUAUAUAACAAUUUCUCUUACGAAGAAUAUGUAUGCAUUAGGAAAGCACAAGCUAGAGAAGUCAACUGUUGAUCUUAUGCAAUAACAUUUUUGUUCUUACAGUUUUAUAAACUUAUUUCAAUCAGGGUUGUUGCUGGUUAGCUCCCUUGCUAUAUGCACUAUUGUAGAACUUCUGUCAAUGUGGAACUUGACAAGGAUAGAAGUUCAACUAUGCAACAUGUUAUCUCCUGAGGCAAGCCCACUGUCACUUGCGUCGUAUAACUGGGGCCUUGUAAGUAUCACUACUAUUCCUCAUAAAGUAGAAAGACGAUGCUCUUUAUUUCAGAUGCACCAUUUAGUCAUUUGAGAGUUUGCAGGACUUUCUGUAAAUACUCCAACAUGUUAUAGUAUCCUUUAGUAAUAUUUUGUAUUAUAUAAUACUUUUAAAUAGCCUCUUACAAUUGUUGAAUUCUGAUUCUUCAUUCUUAUAAGCAUAUGCGAAUUGACUCUUGAAAUGUAAAGUUGAAGAGAGUAAAAGAAAUGUUGGAUAUGUACUCCAUGAAUUGAAGCUAGAAUUCAAUGUUCAAAGUGCCAUUCAUGAUUCAUCUUUUGAUUUGACUAACAUGAUCAUCUAUCAGUUGGUGUGGCUAAGGAUGGAGUUGAACAGAUACUGGGAAAAUUUAAGUGUGAAUUGGGAAAAUAAAAGAUGUAAUGCUUUGUUAAGAAAUAUUAUAAAAACUGGCAGGCAUUUGAAAAAUAGGUUAAGAUUAUAAAUGAUACCUGUAUGUCAUUCAAUUUAGUAGAAGCUUGGGGUUGUUAAUAUCAUGAUGAUGCUGUUCAAUAAUUACUAAUGUAAAUAAAUUGGUACUCAAUUUGAGCAGGUGUUUAUUGCAUUGCUGGUGGAUAAUUUUUUGUACCCUGUUUCUGCAUUCCGUUCACAUUUGACUCAAUCUAUCAAUUGGUCUGGUAUCAGAUACCACUUGAAAGAUGGGAAGAUAAGCAAGGUAUGUUGACAGAGGCCUUUAAAUCCUAAAAAUUCAAUUUUAGCUUGAUAUUUUUCCUUUGAAAUGAUAUUUUAAUCAUUGCCAUGGCUGAGGAUUCUAUGCAUUAAAUUCCAGUUCUUGAUGAUGACUGGCAAGAAUAUUUUAUUUGCUUUUUCUUUUUAAUAAAUAAAUAAGGGAUUUAGGGUGUGGUAAUGGACAAAACAGCCUUCUAUAAUAUAUUUUUUAGUUAAUUCUGUUCUUUGGUGGGGGUGGGAGCAAGCUAGGCAAUUGUUUUAGAACUUUUGGUUCUGUUGGAAGAAUCGAAGACGUAGCUUCUAGUUUGUUGCAUAUGUUAUUAUGAAAUCAAAACCACUAAAACAAAAAAUUUAUAGGUGAUAAAACAUAAUGAGCCCUUUUCAUGUUUCACUACUUUUUGAAUAUCAGCCAUUUCUCGCAGAAGGAAAAAAAAAAAAAUUAGAAAUAAGCAAUAAAACAAAUCAUAAUUAGCCAGCUUUUUGUUUCACUUCUUCACCAUUUAUGUGAUGCAGAUUGACAGAGGCAAAGAUAUUGGUUCCAACUACACUGACCUGGGAGGAAAGCAUUUAUAUGGUAAGAAAGGUGCCCCAACAAAAGUGUCAUUCCUAAGCUCUUUGGCAAGAAGUUUGCAACAGUGGCACCAGCCCAAGAAAUUCGAUGUCUAGCAAUAUAUCCUACAAACAAGAAAUUGUGAUAAUUUUAUCUUCUUGGCCAGAUGUGAUGAUCAGUAAUGACAGCUUCAAGGGUAAAACUUUUGGCAGAUCGCUUGGUCUUGCCUGGUCAUCCUGGGAUUACAUGCCCAAUCCUUUAUGGCAUUGAUGGAUUUCAAUAUUCUAGGAUCGGUCUCAUUUUUUUUUUUAAUUCUUAUUCAAUCGAUUUGAUUCUUCAGCCCCACCCUACAUGUAUGGGCUGAUUUUGUAAUUUGUGCCUGUCAUGUUCUUCUGUAAUUCCUUAAAUUCUUAUAGGGGAUUUAAAUGCCAAUGUAGACAUUGAAUUUGUGGAAUUCCUGCUCUCUUGGAAUCUGACUUAAGAUUUCAGUUGUAUCAAUCCUGUAAUUUUAGGCUUUCUGUUUUGUCUCAUUUUCUCUCUACCCCUACAAUGGAUGGUAUUUGUGAUAGGGUUGAAUGUACCAAAUCUGCCCCCCAAAAAAGGGCAAAUAAAAAAUGUUAAAUUAUUUUAUCAAGAGUAUUUUUAGUUCCCCAUGGUUAUAAUUAGUAGUAAUUUUAUUUAGAGUUUAGAAAGCUUAGAAUUUUUUUUAAAGAGAAGUUUUCAAGCUUUUUAUUUUUAAAUCAUUUUUUUUUAAGUUUUGAUCUUAAACCCUCAGAAUUUACAAUUCUUUAUUAGAAACUCUUAUUACAAUAAUUUUCUAUAAAAUCUAGGGGUAUGUUUGGUUCAUGUUUUCAAGAACUAUUUUUUGUUCUUGAAAACAAAAAACACAAAAAGCUUGUUUGAGGAAGGGGGUGUGUUUUUGUUUUUUGUGUGUUUUGUGUUCUUAAAACUAUUUUUUUGAGAAUAAUAAAAAGAUGUUUUUAUUGAUUAUUUACUGUUCAAAUAAUUAAUUGUUUUUCGUGUUUUCUCUUCCUUCUUUUUGUGUUUUCUUAGAUAUUUUUUUUGUGUUUUCACAAAGGUGAACUCCAUCUAACCACCACAUCACUACCCGCAAACCCUUUCUUCUUCCUUAAAUUAUUGAAAUUAAUUUACUUAUAUAUGAUGACAAAGUCAUCAUUUGUUUAAAAAAAUUAUAACUGGUGUAAAAAUUUCAAAAUGAAAUAAUUUUUUUAAAAUUUAAAUGAAUUGUGCAUAUGCAAAUUAUUUAUAUAUUUAUAAUAUCAAGUUAAUGGAAGAAAACAUUUUAUUAAUUUAAAAAAUAACUUUCAAAUAUGUUUUUUGUUUGACUUAUUCUAAAAACCUUUUUUAUUAACUCAACCAAACAUGUUUUUUUAUUUUUUAUUUUUGUUUUUGAGAAUAAAAAUUGUUUCUUAUAAUUCAGUUUCUAAACACAAUUUAUUUUUUCCUUAAAACAUAAAAAAUUGUUCUCAAAAACUGUUUUCCAUGAUAGUUUUCAAAAAUAACAACCAAACAUACCUAGGUUUCUAAUUAAAAAACAAAGGUCUCUAUUUUUUAAUUUUUGUAGAAAAGUCUAAUAAGUUACAUAGUUAUAUUCCUAUUUUCAUGGUUUUAUUUAGGCUUUUAGGUUUUCUGAAACCCAUGAAUAAGAUUAAUAGUUGUGAAAUUCCACUGUCUUACUAUUAUCCCAUCUGAAAGAAUCAAAUUUAUUAUUAGAUUAUAUCAAAAUCAAUAUUAGAAGUGUUUUAGUAUACUAAAAUAUAGUUUAAAUUUAAUUUGAUAGUAAAUUGAGCAUUUUUUUUUUACUCCAAAAUUCGUUACAAUAUUUUGGGGAAUAUCAUUACUAGGGAUAUCACUUGGGAGGACCCGCCUUAAUCUAAUCUAAACCUAAUUUUAUAUUUAGAUGGAUUAAACAAUCAUUUUUAAUACUUAAAUUGAGUUUGUAUUAAAUUUUUUCAAUUCAAACUUAUUUUAAAUUGGCUUGAGCAAAGUUCCAAGUAACUUGAGACUGAACCGAUUAAAUAUUUUUAUAAUAUUUAUAAUUUAUAUUAUCAUAUAUAAUAAUAAUACAUUAAUAAUAUAUUUUUUUAUUUUUUUUAAUUUGUAAGGAAACCGAUUUAUUUUUACCUUGUUAGAAACAUGGAUAGAUUAUUUAUUUAUUUUUGUUAUUAUUUUAAAAUAUUAUCUUACUUAUCACUCAAAUUUUCGUAUAAAUAUAAAAAAAAAGGUUUUUUUUUUAAAAUGAUAAAAGUUUUGGCUAAAUACAUUUAGUUUCAUAGGUUUGAAAUGUUAUGAAAUACUAGUUUUUUAUUUUUAGUGUGAGGGGAGGUGAUUCAAAAUUAAAAAUAAGAAUAACAAGAAAAAUAUUUGAUAAAACAAGUUUGUUAUCCCUUACCUAGAUCCUAGGGAUUGAAACCAAGCUCACCUGAUUUGAUGGUAGGCCAGGAUCUUCCUACUUUGAAAUUUUGAUAAAGGGGGAGGAGUUUAUCAGAGCUAUGAGGUGUUCACAGUCUGUCAAACACUCAUAAAGUUACAUUACCCUCAAGUGAAAUUAUUCUCUAGGAAUAGAAUAAAGUUAAACAAGCAUGGAAUCAAUCCACCUCUCCCUUCCUUUAUAUAACAAUCAGUUGCCCAAACACAGAGAGCAAAAACAAUAGAAAUGGGCUGUUUUGGACAAAAGAAGUUUAAAACCCCAUCUCCUCCCCAAACCUCCGACUAUGAAGAAGCUGCUUUUCCAGCCAACCAAGGGAACCUGGAACCCAAGAGUCUCAAGCAAGAACUUCUGCUACAAAUUCCUGCAUGUACUGUCCAUCUUAUGGAGGAAGGAGAAGCUGUGGAACUUGCCAAUGGUGAGUUCACACUUCUCAGGAUUUCUGAUGAGAAUGUUUUUCUUGCUACCAUCAUCAAGGUUGGGGAUGAUCUUCAGUGGCCUCUAACUAAGGAUGAACCAGUAGUGAAGCUUGAUUCUCUUCACUAUCUCUUCUCCCUGCCGAUGAAGGAUGGUGAUCCUCUGAGCUAUGGAGUGACUUUCUCAGAACAGCAUGGUGGCAAUCUGGGCUUGCUGGAUUCUUUCCUGAAGGAACACUCUUGCUUUUCGGGUUUGUCAUCCGCUCGAAACAAAGGUGUUGACUGGAAGGAGUAUGCUCCGAGGAUUGAAGACUAUAAUGGAGUUCUGGCCAAGGCAAUUGGAGGAGGUACUGGUCAGAUUGUCAAGGGGAUCUUCAAAUGUAGCAAUGCUUACACCAACCAGGUUUGUUUUUAGUUAUUUUAACAAUGGGUAAGGAAUCAAACUUAGUUUUUUCUUGAGUUGAUGGUGGAAAAAACUAUAAAUGAAACUGAUAAUGUAACGGUCCAUUCUCAACCGAGUAGAUGUUGGCCUCAAAGGACCCUCAGGUUCCUCUUAACUCUGUAACCUCCUUUGAGUUCAGAGCGAACAAUAUUUACAUUACUAGGAGAAUAAUAUUUACAUGACUAGGAGAGGGUAUCAAACAUACAAUGACAUGGAAAUUAAUCCGAGGUUCUAGACUCUAGCCACUACACCUUUAUCUUGAGAUUCUUCAUCAGGAAUAGAAUAAAGUUGCAAUACAAGGAUUGCAGUCAAUCACAGCACAGCAUCAUCUGUAAACUAGUCUCCUUUUCAUCUUUUUCUUUGGUGCCUUGUACCUUUUUCAUGUUAUACUGUAUGCAAUAAUUCACCUUCUGUGGUUUUCUUAAUCUAAAAACUGGGGGCAAAGCAGGUUCAAAAAGGAGGAGAAAUGAUAUUAACCAAAGCUGCAGAGGAGAAAAAUGGUGCCACAGCAAGGGAGAAUAAAAACAAAGGUGUGGGAACCACAAAGAAGAGUGGAGCCCAUAAAAGCUUGAAACGGUACUCAAUAAUAAGACUUAUCUUUUCCUUAAGAAUAUUAUGGAAAUAUAGACAUACUCUUUCCCCUAAAGUCAAAGAAAAUUAUUGUUGCUUUUGCUGUUUGUUUAUGUCACAGUGUUAGAAAACUGUCCAAGAUGACAGAAAAGAUCAGCAAAGCUAUGCUGGAUGGGGUUGGUCUCGCCACUGGUUCAGUGAUGGCCCCCUUGGUCAAGUCCCAGACAGGAAAGGCCUUUCUAGCCAUGGUUCCUGGAGAGGUCCUUUUGGCUUCACUUGAUGCAGUCAGUAAGUAAAGCCAACUCUCAAAUAUGUGAAGCUCCCUCCCUCCCUCUUUCUCUCUCUCUCUCCAUACCUUUUUUAUUAUUGAAUUGAAAGAAGAUGAACUGACCACAUUUCCCCUUUUGAUCCCACAGACACUGUUCUAGAUGCAGCAGAAGUAGCUGAAAAACAAGCUUUUUCUGCCACCUCUGGUGCUGCCACCAGAAUGGUCAGUAAGAGGUAAAGACCCCAAAAACACAAACUGGACUAUACAAAUCAAAGCAUUUAUUCCAGUGUCAGUAGAUUCUCAGUUUUGGUUUUGGUCUUUGGUCUUGGUUUUUUCAACCGAUCAUGCUUGAUGACAGAUAUGGGGAGAGUGCAGGGGAGGCAACAGAAGAUGCAUUUGCAACAGUGGGGCAUUGUGCUGGCACAGUUUGGAAUAUCUUCAAGAUAAGAAAAGCCAUCAACCCAGCAUCAUCUGUUACUUCAGGGGUAUUGAAGAAUGCAGCAAAGAAUAGAAAAAGAAAUUCUUAAGGGCUUUUGUAACAGAUUAGUUAAAAAACUGUGAUCAUCUCUCCAUUUCAUCUGUUUCUAGUAUUUCUAAUGGUUCUCUGCAUCAUCAAGACCUGCAACUUUUAUGUCACUGCCAUGGAAUUGAAUUGAAUUGAAUCAACUCACUCUGCUUCACAUUUAAUUUCUUUGGAUAUCUUAAAUUUUCUUGACUGCCAAACAGAGAAUCCUGGUAUCUUUGAAAGAGCAAAAUAUUAAUAUAAAACACCAAACAAAAAUAGAAACUAAUUUUUUAAAAAUAAAAAAUUACACCAAAAUUGAAUCCUCAGUAUGAAGUUCUCUCUUCCCUUACGUUGGAGUUCAGAUUUUCUAAAACCCAAAGGCGUAGCAAAUUCUUAAGCGACCGUCUUUGAAAUUGUUUUCCAAACCCAAUUUUGUUGUUUUCAAAUUUCCAAAUUUCCCCGGAAAAAAAAAAGAGAAUAAAAUAAAAUACAUUUAGUAUCCGUUAUUACCAAACAGACCCAAACUCAGCCCUAGAAGAGAGCAGAGAGCAGAGAAAGGAAAAAGGAGAGAGACCAUGGCAGAAGAGAGACUAAGCAUAUACAGAGUAUCGAGAAGCAUAAAGCGGAAAGAGAACAGUCUCUACAACGCCCUACGGUCCAUCUACGAGGACUCCAUCUUCGUCGGGGAGAUCUCUCAGCUCUGGCCUCAAUUGCCCCUUCUCGCUAAUCUCCGUUGUGGCCUCUGGUACUCCCCCAAUUUCCAGUACACCUGCUACUUCAAAUCCACCGAUGGUCAUACCAACAACUGCUCUUUCAACACUUCUCGCCUCAACUUCCACGUUGCCCUACUCGCUGGUUUGUUUCCCGCUAAACCAUCCUGAAAAGAUUGCAACUUUUUCCUGUUUAGCUGCUGGGAAAACGUGAGAAAGGAAAAUAAUUAAAAUUAAAGUUUUGGGUUUUGCAUUUUUCCUUGUUUGGGAUAGGGGAAAAUUAAAGACCCUUUUUAGCUCAACAGGGGUUUAUUGAACAUAUGAUUUAAAUUUUUGUUUAUUCUCCAGUUUUCUCAGUAGAGGCGGAUGGUUAUGGUUUGUGAUUUGAUGUGUUUCAAUUCUGAUUUUCCUUGUUUAUAAUGGGUAGGACAGAGGGGAGGGUGCAUUAUUGUGGAUUCCACAAGGAGAGGGAAGCGGUUUCCUGAUAGCUUGACGAAAACCAUACCAAUUUGGACUUGUGUUUUGAAUCGGGCUAUUUUCAAUUAUUUCAACAGAAUUGGAGAAAGCGGUUCUGGUUUUGAUGCUGUAAGUAAUGAUAAUGCUUGUUUUGUGGUUUAAUUAUCAAAUACAGUUCGUUACAGUCCUCUUUUGACACUUUGAUUGAAAGUUUUGAGCAGAAAGCAAAAAUGGACGAAUAUUAUGUUAUGUAAGAAAUAUAGUUGAGUGAAACAAUAUUCUUAAGGUGUUUGUUUUUUGGCUGAAUAGAAAAAGCCAAAUAUUGUUUGUUUUUUGGCUGAAUAGAAAAAGCCAAAAUAUUUGGCUGAAUAGAAAAAGUCAAAAUAUUUGGCUUUAAUGGCUGCUUUCUCUGUUUUUGAAACCCACAGUGGUAGGUGCAAGGAACAAUCCCAAUCAUGAGAGAUAUGCCUUGUAUUUUCACCAUUUCUAUUAUAACUACUUGAAUCCUGUUAAAAUGAAUGACCACAAAACCAAGAAAUCUUUAAACAUGUUCAAGAAUUCUGGUCAACAUAGAUCCAAAAAUACUGACAUUUGAAAAACACUGAAUAUUUUAUUAAAUCUNNNNNNNNNNNNNNNNNNNNNNNNNNNNNNNNNNNNNNNNNNNNNNNNNNNNNNNNNNNNNNNNNNNNNNNNNNNNNNNNNNNNNNNNNNNNNNNNNNNNAUGUUCAAGAAUUCUUGUCAACAUUGAUCCAAAGAUACUGACAUUUGAGAAACACGAAUAUUUUAUUAAAUCUUAUGAGAAAAGCAUUUUCUAAAGCAAAUUGCAUUGAACUCAUAAUUAUGAAGAACACUGAAAGUUACAACACAAAGACUNGAUUCCUGAGAUGUGUUUCAUACAAGCAAGACUAUUAGGACCAAACGUACCAUGCCAAAGUGGAUGAAUUACAUGUAUAAGUUCAAAAAGAACUCAAAAGUUGUGUCUUUUCCUUCUAUUCAGCCAAAAAACAAACACCACCUAGUCAACAAGGCCCUCUAUUCUGAGAGCACCUUCCUUUGUUUUAUGAGCUCAUAGUUGGAAAAGACACAACUUUUGAGUUCUUUUUGAACUUAUACAUGUAAUUCAUACACUUUGGCAUGGUACGUUUGGUCCUAAUAGUCUUGCUUGUAUGAAACACAUCUCUGGAAUCCAGUCUUUGUGUUGUAACUUUCAGUGUUCUUCAUAAUUAUGAGUUCAAUGCAAAUUGCUUUAGAAAAUGCUUUUCUCAUAAGAUUUAAUAAAAUAUUCCGUGUUUCUCAAAUGUCAGUAUCUUUGGAUCUAUGUUGACCAGAAUUCUUGAACAUGUUUAAAGAUUUCUUGGUUUUGUGGUCAUUCAUUUUAACAGGAUUCAAGUAGUUAUAAUAGAAAUGGUGAAAAUACAAGGCAUAUCUCUCAUGAUUGGGAUUGUUCCUUGCACCUACCACUGUGGGUUUCAAAAACAGAGAAAGCAGCCAUUGAGGACCGCUUAGAAGAAUGGACCAAAGAGUUGGAAGCUAGUGGAGCUGAUAUUGCAUCUCUUGCAUUGUCUUUGAAAAAGCCCUUACGCCCCCUAUGGAUUUCUCAAAAGACUGUCAUCUGGUUAAAUGAAGUUCCUGAUUGUGAUUCUUGGGAUUUCACUCCCAUGAUACUUGUAUCUGCAUCUUCCUCAACCGGCAUUUUCCAGAAUAGGACUACCUCAGAGUUUAGCUGGAAGUAUAUACCUGGGGCUGGAGAUGAUGAAGAAAGCUGGGCAAGGGGUUUAUCACCUAAAGUUUUCUGGAAUCACGCCAGUGAGCUUAUAAACUCGGGGCCUGAUUUGUGUAACCAGAAGGUAGCUACUAUUGUUGAAAAUGACAGAGUAUAUCGUGCUCAUAGGGGACAGAAUACUCCUCAAGUCACUGUCAAGCUUUCAAAGUUAGCAAGCACUGGCCGUCUUUCUGAACAAGAACCACCAUUAUACUUUGAUAUUUCAAACAUGAACUCUGCCCAUGAAGAUUGCAUAAUAUCUUGGCUGGGUUCAACUAACCUUGCUGUGGGCAUAGCUCAGUUUGGUAAGCUGAUUUAGGCUUUUUCCUGUUAUUUCUUUAUAAAUUGUGGAUGUUUUUCUUGUGGGGUAGAGCAUCAAUGCAGGGAAAAGUAUUAUUGGUUUUUUUCAAUUCCCUUAGUUCUUUCUAGAAAGAUUUCCAAGAAAAAAUUCCACAGGAGAAGUUGAUUACAUUAGCAAUCUAAUGGCAUGUUAUUUUCACUACAAUGUAUUAGGCUUAAAGUGAAAAGCUAUUGCUAAAAUAGGCAUGCGAUGAAGUGUUCAUUGUGGAGUUGGUGCUGACAUGGCAUGUAGGCAACAGGAUUAACAUGGCAUUUUAGAGUCCCGAUCGACUUCCAACUCUCAAAUUAUUUCCUUCCCAUAGAAUAUAAAUGUAGGAAUCCAUUCAUCUGCUCAUUUGUUUUAUGAAUGACAUUAUUCUUCUUGUAUGUUCAUUCAUCAUUUAGUGAACUUGCUUUGUUGUCUCUCUUGCUUUUGUUGGCCACAUAGUUUGACCAUUAAUUCAUUUUCUAUUCUCUUCUACAUUUCUCAUCCUUUCAGUUGGUAUUCCUUAGUGCAGGCACAAAUGUUCCUAAGGUUGAUUGUAUAUUGAACUGUCAUCCGGAGUUGGUCUCUGCUUGUCUUCCGAAUGCUAUAGCAUAUCUGCAUCUUCCUAUUGUGGUGUGUAUGAAAGGAAAUUGAAUUUCUAUUAGUGGUUUGAUUGGUUCAUAUGUACAACUUCUUAGCUCUUUCAUUUUGAUAUUUGUUUCACUUAAUUUUCUUUGGCCAGAACUCAAAAUUGGACCGGUUUUCCUUGCUAAGCAACCUCCCUUCUGCAUUCAACUUUGCAAAGUCGAACCUAAGCAAGGGGAAGAGUCUUUUAGUGUGCUGUCAUAAUGGUAAGGGGUAGCAAUCUUGAAUUUCACUUUUUAAUAGAGUUAUUAUCUAUAAUAGUUUUGUAUUUUACAAGCAUUUGGACAUUCCUUGGAUAAUAAAAUCAUUUAUUCCAUGUUACCUGGGCUUUGAAUUAAGUGUAUUUUGUUUUUUUUUUUUUAUUUCAUAGCGUUUGAAUUAGUCUACUAUUCACUUGUUUUAUGAUAGCUUCAUUCUUGAGAAAUUGUGCUUUUUAAAGCUAUGAAAGAUGAAAAGGUAUAGUUUCAUUUCCAUGAGAUGCUCAAAUGCCCCUUGAAUGCAUGCCGAGUAUUCAUUUAUUUAUUUUUUAUGCCAAGAUAAGAAGGAAAAUGAAUAUAAGGAAACUACAAGAAAGGAUGAAAAUGUUGAAUAUUCGUGGAAUACCAAUGGUUGGAUUUUAUGAAAAUCUUGGAUAAAAAUAACUGGGAAAAAGUUUAAUGGGAUGGAAAUUACUCAAAGCUCAUAAAAAUAUUAGGAAAAACUCUAAAAAACUCUAAAAUAAACAAUAAUACACAUGUUGAAGUGUUUUUAUUUUAUUUUAUUUUAUUUUAAAAAAGAAUAUAGGUAUGUAUGACGAGGCAAAUAAUAUGCAAUACUUGAAAAUGCAUUUAAUGCUAAAAUUAUGAUCAAUAUAGUUUGAAUGUAUUUGAACAUAUAAAUGAAAUGAUGAUAUAUGUAUGAUUAUUCUUAUUUUUUUCCUUUUGCUUUGAUAGUUUUUAAAAGUGUUUAUAAUUUUAUUUACAAUUUUAUGUUUCUCUUGUAUUUAACUACUAUACAAAAAACAUAUAAGAAAUCUCAUUGAAAAUAUUUUCAUGAUAAUUUUUAUAUUUCCAACAAGCAAUUUAAUGGGAUUUGAAAAAAAGAUUAUUAAAUUUAUUGAUUUGUUAUUUUGUAGUAUAAAAAGAUUUAUUUUUAACAUUUGAUUUCCUGUAUGGAUUUAAAAUUAGUAUUUUAGAGGAGAUAAAAUGAGGGUUAUAUAGUUUUUGUGCUAACGAUAUAUGAAUGAAAAUUGGCUUGGUGGUAAAGUCCUUGUACCCUUUUAGUGGAGGCUAUGAUCGAGUCCUCCUUGGUGCAAUUUUGUUUAAGCAGCCGAUAAAAUUGCCAAAAUAAUGGUCAUUUGUUGUGAUAUUUUGACAAUCUUCUUACCACAUGAUAUUUUAUUGAUUUUUUUGCCAAUUUUCAGUGAUUUUUCACCAAAAUCGUUGAAAGUUGCCUGGUUGAGUUUCUGCCACUGUUUUCAUUUCAAUGGUCAUCAGAAUCUGACAUUUCAGCUGGAAUUUCUCUGAAAUUUGGCGAUUUUUUAAUCCCUGGGUACAAGUUACAUCCAAAGGAAGCUAAUAUAUCUUUAUUUCUAUUUCCAGGUGAAGAUAUUAGUAUAUGUGUAUGUCUAGCAAUCUUGACAUCAUUGUUCAAUGAUGAAGGUAUUUAUCUGGCACCUUCUUCAUAUUUCUGUCACUUCUUCAAGCUUUAAAUAUGAUGUACAUUUAGAGCUAAAAUUUUGAUAUGUCAAUAGACUCGUUUCUGAUGGCCCAGGACAAAGAAGGGACAAAUAGAAAAAUUUAUUAUUAUUAUGAUUUUUUUUCUUUUGGGGCGUGUAUAGGGCAAAUGAUGCUGCUUUGGUUAUGUAACUUAAGAUUUUCCUUUGUUGUUUUCCCAACAGCCACAUAACAAAAAUAUUGUUAAGACUUCAAAAACUUUUGGAGUUUAACCAAUGUUAGUUGACAUUUUAAUUGCUAUCCAUGUCGGUUUGUUGUUUGCAUCGAUCUUGCUUGCUUCUUCUAUGUAAUCAUGAAAACAGAAACUACAAUGUUUCUCCACUUCUGUGUUCUGGAGUUCUCUUUAAUAUUUCAAACUUUGACUAGGUACUUUUGAUGAUGGGAAGUCCUUCAGUGAAACAUGUAUUACCAAGUGGGAGAUGAGAAGACGACUCGUAUUUAUCUGCAAAUAUGCAGUAAAUGCCCGACCAUCUAGAGGAAAUCUGAAGCAGGUGUUUAGUUUUCUUAGUGGUGGAAGAGUUAGUUCUGUUUCAUGAGAAGCCUUUUGAUUCUACUCCUGUAGGACAUGUUGGCAACAAAAACCACAAGACCUCUGCAGAAUUGAUGGAAGUAGCUGCCUGUGAAAAUCCAUGGAUGAUUUACAAUGAAGUCUUUGCAACUCUAUUUCAUCAGCUCUCCUGAGAAAUAAAAAACUAAGAGAUUACUUUCAACGUGAAAAUAUUUUAUAUCUGGAGCUCCCCUUCCCUUUUUCAUGUGCCAUUACACUACCUUGAGAGCACAUUGGACUUGCAUUGUUGGACAAGAGGCCAAAUUAUCCAUGUUGUACCACUUCUCUUCAAAGUGUCUUCCAUCAUACAUUCUACAGCCACAGCUGCAUUCCUUAAAGCUCUGUGGACCUCUCCCCAGCCCUAGUUUGGCAUUUUGUUCAAAGCCAAGAUUUUCAGGUUUCAUUUGGGUGUUGUUUUAAUUUCAAUGUAAUUUCAUCAGGGCCAGAAACCUACCAUAUCUCGCAUCCACUUUUUCUCAACAGGAGGAUUGAUUAACAAGGAUUUCCUUUAUUGUGCAAUGAGAAACUGACUGUCCUUUCUUGUUAUGGCAGCUCCAUCAUCUGUUUAGUGGUAUCUGAGAAUAUUUAUUUUAUUAUUCAUUAAUUUGGACAAGAGAUCUUCUAUGCAUACAUCAUCCUAUGACUAUUAUUAAUUUGGUGGAAUCCAGCCUUUGAAUGGUUAAAUACGCGUAGAAUGUCACAUCCAUCUCUUUCCAAUUCAUUCACUCCAUUGAGAGAUUAUGGAGUGGGCAAAGUAGGGUUGUUGGAGCUAGGCUUAUUAAUCCUAGCUCCUAUGAAUCCCCUUUACCAUGAGAGAAGGCUUUUGGGAGAUACCAGAAAAAUAAAGAAAUCAGAUCAUUGUGCCUUUUGCAUGGCCUGGGAAAAACAAAAUGGAAAGAAAUGGCGUGCAGAUCAAGGCAUUAAAGCUUGGGCCCUGCUUCUACUUUCACCAAGAAAGGUGAUGCCCCAUGCCCAAUUAUUUUCCUGCUUUAACCUUUUGCUUGAUCAAUGACAAUAUCCAUGUUGCUUUCAACACAAAAGAAAGGAAGAAAGGAAGAAAGGAAGGAGGGACAGAAAAAUUUUCAUCCAAAAAAUAUAAUGAAAUACAAAUUUUUUUAUCUUUCUUUCUUUUGUGAUAAAAGUGUUUCUUUAUAGGAAUUCUUUUAUGUAAGACCAACAACUCAAGAUGUGGAAGCAACAUAGAAAGGAGGUCAAAAAAUAAUAAGAAUAAUAAAAAUAAAAAUAAAAACCAGCUUCUUUUAUUUGCAUCUUCUCUACUUUCUCAGGGGAGUCCCACCCUUGCAUUAUCUUCUACUAUCAACAGCUCUGUGCAUAUGAAAAGCUAAUCUCACCAUCUUUUCUUCUUUUUCUCCUUUUCCUUGAUUGAUUAUGUUUUGUUUUGAAAAUAAUCCCAUGUCUUAGUUUAUUUUUAAAUAUCAUUGCUGCUGUCUUACUAUGACAUCCUUCUUACUUUCAUCAUUUAAGUUUUUAAAGAAAAGGAAACCUACCAUCAUUUAAGAAUCCAAGGGUUUCAUUUUAAUGAAGCCAAUCACAUAAGUUAGUCUACUAACAAGACAAUGGAUGUGGCUCCAACCCUGUUAAACCUCCUGCUUUCUCUCUUCAUUUUUUUCUCUUUUCCCCCUCAAAACCAGGGAAGAUCAUGAUCUGGGUACCCUUAAAAAAUGGUUUUCAAAGUUCACAUGUCAUUAAAGACAUUAAACUUUUUGUUAGGCUCCCAUUUCUGAAUGAUGGACUUCUAACUAACCAACAAAUAUACCACUUUAGACAUGGCCUAUACACUGUGGCACUCCAUUUUACCUACAUGUUUUCUAGGGAUUGUGCAAAAGCUGUGGCUGCUGUCUUCUAAGCAUGGGUGCCAAACCCAGUAAGCUCCAUAACCAUAUUAUUUAUUAAAUAUAUAGCACACAUGGUUCACAAGGUUAUACCAAAAACAUCUUCUAAGAACUCUUAUUUCUUUAAUUUUUUGAAGCGAAAGGAACCAUGCUGGCAUGAGUUUUGUGGGGAUGAAUGCCACAACCACUUUUGAUGUGGGUCUGUUUUUUUAAUGAUAUGUAAAUAAUAAAGACUGCAGUUUUGCUAUUGUAAGUGGGGCUUCAGCUCGCUCAUACCUCCACAUUGUCUCACAAAUAUCAAUAUUCUAAUAUGCCCACUAAUUUAAAUGUAUUGUUUGAUGCAUUAGUCAUGCCCUAACCUACCCUACCCAAAUUAAGCCUUUAAAUUAACCAUGAAAUUGAUACUGUGUCCCUUUCAAAAUCUUGGUUGAUUUGGUUUUUUUUUUUUUUUCUUUUUUCUUGAGAAAAUCACUUUCAUGGUGUCCAAACAAUCCCAAAGGGUACCCAAUUAGCUAAACUUAAUGUAUUGAAAAAUUAGAAGUUGGUGGAUAAACUGCAGCCAGGUUAAAGCUUAUCCAUGAUUUUGUAACUUAGAUGCUUUAAAUUGUCUGUCAGUUCUAUAUGUGUCUCCAUGAUCGACUCUGUCACAUGAUUCACAUUUUACUUUUUAUUUUUAGGUAACGUCUUUAUAUGCUUAUGCAAAAUAACUACGUCAUUCAAUAUUAUGCAAAAUAACUACGUCAUUCCAAAAAAAAAAAAUUAAUUUCUUUUUCUAACUUUUUCCCAGAACACGUGAUACACAAAUUGCUCUGUGCCCAUAACAUUAUUAGCUUUUGCGUCAAAUUUGGCCUAAGCCUAUGCAAGAAUUGCUACGACAUGACACUGAAAUGAAAACAAUUUGAAGUAAAAUUAUUGUCUAACUUUGAGAGGAUUUCGACUGAAAGUUGAAAUAAUGCCAAAUGGGGAAAAAAUUUCAUACAUCAAUUAUAUUUUCUGAAAGAAAAACUACCGAGCUAGAGAGUAUUUAGAACGUACAACUUUGGAGUGGGACAAGAGAUGAAGUUAGACUAGGAGUGGUGGGCGCUAUUGAACAAAGUAGGCUCACCCACUAGGCAUAUAAAGUGAUGGCUCAACCCCUUGACAUCUUUUAGUUCGACUUUAUCAGUGUGCACUUGUACAGUUUUUCAAUUAGUCCAAAAGGGAAAUAUUUCAUGAGGGUGUCGUAGUGCAUGUGUGAUGGUCCUACCAAAUCGGUUUCAUAUCUCCUGAAAUGAGCUUUACCUAUGAUGGACUUCUGUCUCUAAGGAGUACAUGAAGAACUAUUAAUUUUAUUUUUUUUGAAUGAUCAAUUAUUGGAUUUGAUUUGGGUUUUCUUUGGUCUAAUCAUUUAUACAAAGAAAAUUGAUGUGGUUGGGGAGCUAGGUUGUAGAAGAUCUAUUAGAAGAUCUUCAUGGUAAUUCAAGAAUUGGGAAGAGGGUGUUAGGCAAGAUUCUCAAUUCUAUGAAUAUAUUCAUUCAAAGAGGGAAAGAGGUUGUAAAUUCUAAGCUAUCCAACAAGUACAGCUAAGGAUAUCAAACAUGAUCUCUACAGCUAACCCCAUUUAAGCAAUGGAGGAAUAUGGUUCAAUAGAAAAUAUUAAAAUAGUUUCCUCAACAUACAGCAGAACAAAGUUAUGAUUCUGAACAUAAAUAUCGUAUAUAUAAAUGUGAGAAGUAUGAUUGUAAACAUAAAUGUGGUGUAAAUGAAUGAAAAAUAUUAUAGCUACUAGUGUGAAUGGAUGCUCAUUAGUCAUUAGUAUUGUGCAGGAGGGCGGCCUAAUUUUCUAAGAAGAAAUGCAACUAGUGCUAAUGAGAUCAAGGCAUUGGGAAACAUAGAGAAUUAUUCCCAUAAUUAAAAAUGGGGUCUGCGAUAAACGACAUGUGAUCAAAGUGACCUCACAUCACAAUAACGAAACCCUAACCAGAAGAAAAAGGGAACAAUGAAAAAGGGCUGAUAGACAGUGGUCAGAAUCAUCUUUUUAUCAACACUAGAAAUGGAAUAGCCAUGUUGUGGUGGUGUUGAAAGUAAAAACCACCAAAAAUAAAAGACUAUUUAAUAACCCCCACAUAAAGAUUAUGUCAUAUGCGGGUUGCUUCAUGGAAAAUUACCGGUCACUUCCUUUAUACAUAUAUUCAUAUAUGUAUCACAUUAUUCUUUAAGCUAAGUAGCCAAUAAACUUUUGUGUGUACAAUAGCUCUUCUACUUUGCUCCUAUCUCCUCUUGCUGCUACUUAGAUCUCAGCACUAAGGCUAUUUAAGAGGAUAAAUGGGUUCUCCAGAGAAGGGUGAGUUAGCGAAAAGAGGGAUGGAAAGAAAGGAGAGCAAAUCUAUAGUGGUAAUUUUCAGAUAUGCUGAUUGGGUAGACCUUGUGCUUAUGUUUCUGGGUACUGUUGGAGCUAUUGGAGAUGGCAUGUCCACAAACUGCUUACUGGUCUUUGUUAGCCGUCUUAUGAAUAGCUUGGGCUAUGGUAACACCCAAAAGAAUCAUGGGAAUUUCAUGGAUGAGGUUGAAAAGGUUGGCAUUCAACACACUUUCUCUCUCUCUCUCUCUCUCUCUCUCUCUCUCUCGCAGUCUAGCCUGUUUUUCUUUUUCUACCCUCUUGUCUCUCAUAUUUUGUUUUUUGGGUUUUCUUCUACAGUGCAGUUUAUACUUUGUGUACUUGGCUCUAGCAGUCAUGGUGGUCGCUUUUAUGGGUAAUUUCUAAUGAGCACUUUUCUUCAUUUCCCUCGCUGUCUAGUUUUAAGGGGAUUGUUUGGACAUUCCGAGGAAAUGGAAUCAGUCUAUUACUGAUGUUUUCCGUGAGGUAUAGACACAUAAGUUGGUAGUGUAAUGGGGGGACAUCACCACAAUCACAAUGACAAAAAUAGGAUGAUGGGGCCUUUUUCAUGAAAUCCUGUGUUCUAUUUUCGAAAGUUUUAAGAAGAAUAAAUAGUCAUUUAAUGCUAUCAAGCACACAAUGGACUGAUUCAAUUUCCUCCUCCAUCCGAAGUAAUCCUUGAAUAAAUUGGACAAAAAUGAGAUGGGUCUUAGACUAAAUUUCGAAGGACUAAUGCUUGCAGAAGGGUAUUGCUGGAGUCGAACAAGUGAACGCCAGGUGCUAAGGAUUCGAUACAAGUACUUGGAAGCUGUUCUCAGACAAGAAGUAGGGUUUUUUGAUUCACAAGAAGCAACUACUUCAGAGAUCAUCAACAGCAUAUCGAAAGAUACUUCUCUUAUACAAGAAGUUCUUAGUGAGAAGGUACUUACAUCAGAUCUGAAAUAUUCAUGAUUUGUCGGCUUCUCUUUUCUGGAUGCAUGUUUUCAAGUAGUUUAAGUUCUAAAUCUACUUAUGAUCAGAGAGUGUAGUUUUCCAUCAUAAUCAAUAAGUUGAACUUGUUGAUUUCAACAUCAUUGUUUUCCUUUCAGGUUCCCACAUUUCUGAUGCAUGCAUCAGUAUUCAUCUCAGGACUUGCAUUUGCCACUUACUUCUCAUGGAGGCUGUCUUUAGUAGCCUUCCCACUGCUACUUCUACUGAUUAUUCCCGGCAUGGUUUAUGGAAAGUACUUAUUGUAUUUGUCCAAGAAGUGCUUCAAGGAAUAUGGCAAAGCAAACAGCAUUGUUGAGCAGGCUCUAAGCUCCAUAAAAACAGUUUACUCCUUCACUGCUGAGAGGAGAAUUGUUGAAAGAUAUUCAGCAAUAUUGGAUAAAACAACUAGUCUGGGAAUCAAGCAAGGGAUUGCCAAAGGUCUUGCUGUAGGAAGUACAGGGCUUUCCUUUGCAAUAUGGGCUUUCCUCUCUUGGUAUGGAAGUCGGUUGGUUAUGUACAAAGGCGAAAGCGGAGGGCGGAUUUAUGCAGCUGGCAUUUCCUUCAUCUUGGGUGGACUGUAUGUGGUUUCCUUUCAUCAAAUUUGCUUUUCAUAUUUUACUUUUUUAAGCUUUUGAUUUCUGAUUGUUAUAUCAUUGUCUGAAAAUAAAGCAGAAUAAGAGUUUGGAAAGUACUAGUGGCUCUUCAACUAAACUAGGGUUUUUCAAUGUUACUACUAGUAUCAGUAGUAUGGCAUUAGCAAUUUUGCUCACUUCUUUAACAAUCCAAGCUCUUUAGCUUUUGGGUGAGCCCUACUUUAAUAUGGUAUCAGAUUUUUACCUUUUAGAGGUCUUGGGUUUGGAUUCCUUUUUUUUGUUGUUUCCCAUUUCCUUAGUGCCCCUAGAGAAUUAGUUGUCAAAGAAUUUGCAAAUUCAUUGUAUGUACUGCUCCAUUUGCUGCUAUUUGUCUUCAAAACUUUGCAGAGAAUAAUGGUAUAUACCAAAACCUUACUGCAACCGUGUGCUUUUGAUAGAAGUUAUGGUUGAAGAUAAACAUUUUCCUGUUGAUAUCAAUCCGGUUCCACAUGCUAUGCUUAUGUGAUCUUUUGCAUUACCCAUCAUGGGCUUUACAUGUCUUCUUUAAUUUACUCUUACUGGGAUAGUUAAUUAAAGGCGAUGAACAAUGAAACCAACCCACAACUUGAUCAAUCUAUAUGCCAAAUGAUAGGAGAAAGCAGCAAGUGGAAUGAAAGAAAAAGAUAUCAACUGUAUAAGAGAGGAUGUAGUACAAGUAAUGGAAGUGAAUGUUUGCUUCCAAAUUAACUUCCUAACCUUAUGCAAUGAACGCAAUGCAGAUCCCUUGGAAUGGCACUCCCGGAUGUGAAGUACUUCACAGAAGCUUCAGUUGCAGCAACACGAAUAUUUGAUAGGAUCGAUCGAAUUCCAGAAAUUGACGGUGAAGAUGACAAGGGGCUUGUAUUAGACAAAAUUCUAGGUGAACUAGAAUUCGAGCAUGUCAAUUUCACGUACCCUUCUCGCCCCGAUUCCAUAGUCCUCAAAGACUUCAAUCUUAAAGUCCAAGCAGGAAAAACUGUAGCUCUUGUUGGUGCAAGUGGAAGUGGUAAAUCCACUGCAAUUGCAUUGCUGCAACGUUUUUAUGAUGCAGACCAUGGAGUGAUCCGGAUUGAUGGUGUGGAUAUAAGGACAUUACAGUUGAAAUGGAUAAGAGGGAAAAUGGGUCUUGUCAGUCAAGAACACGCACUCUUUGGGACCUCAAUAAAGGAGAAUAUUAUUUUUGGGAAGCCUAAUGCCACCAUGGAUGAAGUCGUGGCCGCAGCCAUGGCUGCAAAUGCUCAUAAUUUCAUACGGCAACUCCCAGAAGGGUAUGAAACCAAGGUGGGUUCAUGACAUCUUUUUUAUUGAAGUACCAUGGUUCUAUCUUUAAUCUCCUGAUCAUCUAAUCAGAAAGAUGGAACAGGUUGGUGAGAGAGGGGCACUUUUAUCUGGAGGACAAAAGCAGCGGAUCGCCAUAGCCAGAGCCAUUAUCAAGAACCCUGUGAUUCUCCUACUAGAUGAAGCCACUAGUGCUCUUGAUUCUGAAUCUGAAACACUGGUCCAAAAUGCACUUGAUCAAGCUUCCAUGGGAAGAACCACACUGGUACAGUACCUUUCUUAUUGGUGAAUAUUAGUCCUCUUAGGAUUUAAUCAAGAAUAGAAUAAGAACCAGCUGACUUUAUCUCUUUUUCUCAUUGAAUAUGAUCAGGUAGUUGCCCACAAGCUUGCCACAGUAAGAAAUGCAGAUCUCAUAGCAGUCAUGAAUGGUGGUUGCGUCAUUGAAAUAGGUUCACAUCAUGAUCUUAUCAACAAGAAAAAUGGUCACUAUGCAAAACUUGCAAAAAUGCAGAGACAAUUCAGCUGUGAUGACCAAGAACAGAAUUCCGAAACAUGGAUUUCUUCGGUUGCAAGAAGCAGUGCCGGCAGGCCAAGCACAGCCACAUCAAGUCCAGCACUCUUUGCUUCACCAUUACCUGAUGACAAUCCAAAACCAGCCAUAUCUCACCACCCUCCUUCCUUCUCCCGUCUUCUCUCUUUAAACUCUCCUGAAUGGAAGCAAGGUUUGAUUGGAAGCCUCUCAGCUAUAGCCUUUGGGGCAGUGCAACCUGUCUAUGCCUUAACCAUAGGUGGAAUGAUUUCAGCUUUCUUCUUACCAAGUCAUGCUGAAAUUCGUGCCCGAGUUGAAACAUAUUCUCUUAUUUUCUCCUCACUUACCUUGAUUUCCAUCAUUUUGAAUCUGAUACAACAUUAUAAUUUUGCUUAUAUGGGUGCUCAUCUAACAAAGAGAAUCCGAUUGAGUAUGCUCAACAAAAUCUUGACCUUUGAGGCCGCUUGGUUUGAUGAAGAACAGAACUCGAGCGGGGUCUUAUGCUCCAGACUGAGUAAUGAAGCAUCCAUUGUUAAAUCCCUUGUUGCUGAUAGAGUCUCUCUUUUGGUUCAAACCACUUCGUCUGUAACCAUUGCAAUGGUGCUGGGGCUGGCUGUGGCUUGGAAGCUUGCGCUUGUUAUGAUAGCUGUCCAACCUCUCACAAUUCUAUGCUUUUAUACCAGGAAAGUUCUGCUUUCUAAUAUUUCAAAUAAUGUAGUUGAAGCACAGAACCAAAGCACACAAAUUGCGGUAGAAGCCGUCUAUAAUCAUAGAAUUGUGACUUCAUUUGGAAGUGUGGGAAAGGUCCUUCAGCUUUUUGAUGAGGCCCAGGAGGAGCCGAGGAAGGAAGCAAUGAAGAAAUCAUGGCUAGCAGGAAUUGGCAUGGGGUCUGCACUCUGCCUAACUUUUAUGUCUUGGGCUCUGGACUUUUGGUAUGGAGGAAAACUUGUGGAAUCUGGGCAGAUAUCUGCUGGGGAUGUGUUCAAGACAUUUUUCGUGUUGGUAAGUACUGGCAAGGUCAUCGCUGAUGCUGGGAGCAUGACUUCUGAUCUAGCAAAGGGCUCAACAGCUGUUGCAUCAGUAUUCGAGAUUCUUGAUCGGCAAUCAUUAAUUCCAGGGUCUUACAAUGUAAGUUGUGUCUUCGUUGAUUCUCAUCAAUACUCUCAAAUGGAGGUUCUCCAGUUUCUAGUUUAUUUUUGCUUAAACUUAAAGCUUAGACUAUGCCGGACUUACUGGUUUGAAUUGUAUUUAGGCGGGGGACAACAUGGCCGGAACCAAGUUAGAGAAGAUGUCUGGUGGGAUAGAGAUAAAGAAGGUUGAUUUUGCAUACCCAAGCCGGAAGGAGAGCCUAGUGCUGCGCCAAUUUUGCUUGGAAGUGAAACCAGGCACAAGCAUCGGACUCGUCGGGAAAAGCGGGUGUGGGAAAUCAACCGUGAUUGGAUUGAUUCAGAGAUUUUAUGAUGCUGAUAAGGGGACAGUGAAGGUGGACGGAGUUGACAUAAGGGAACUUGAUCUUGGAUGGUAUAGAAUGCACAUGGCCCUGGUUAGCCAAGAACCUGUAAUAUAUUCAGGCAGCAUUCGUGACAACAUUCUGUUUGGAAAGCUUGAUGCAUCAGAGAAUGAGGUGGUGGAGGCUGCCAGAGCUGCCAACGCUCACGAAUUUAUCUCGUAAGUACAUACAAUUUGAUACUGCAAUGUAGUAGUGGGAACUUGGUUACCUGACAUGGAUUCUUUCACUCUUGCGUAGGUCACUAAAAGAUGGAUACGAGACUGAAUGCGGGGAGAGAGGGGUACAGUUAUCAGGGGGGCAGAAGCAGAGAAUAACGAUUGCAAGGGCGAUAAUCCGAAACCCGAUAGUACUAUUACUAGAUGAGGCAACAAGUGCUCUGGAUGUACAAUCAGAGCAAGUUGUGCAGGAGGCAUUGGACAGAAUCAUGGUUGGAAGAACUACAAUUGUGGUGGCACACAGGCUCAACACAAUAAAGAAGUUGGACUCAAUUGCUUUUGUCUCAGAAGGGAAGGUGGUGGAACGUGGAACCUAUGCUCAACUAAAAAGCAAACGAGGUGCCUUCUUCAAUCUUGCCAGCCUUCAGAAGUAGCUUAUAGAUAUAGAUACUUCAAAAGUCUUGUAAUGGUGUUGGGCUGCAUGUUGAGCUCUGAAAGAUGGUGGGGGACCCCUCAGUUUAGUAUGAGAAGCCCUUCUUGCCUGAGGGAUUACAUAUCUUGUAGUAUUAGGUGGCUUAUUGCAGCUCAAUGAAACCCCUUCAAUAAAGAACUUGUUGGUUCCUCUGAUUUCAGAGUCCAGUGGAUCAGUUAUAAGAGGCUAAAGGUGGAGAUCAAUUAGCAACAUAAGCACUUAGAUAGUGUUUGUUUUUUGACUGAAUAAAUCAGUCAGGAAUAUUCAGCUAAAAGUACUUUAUUGAUAUUAACCAACACAAUUAAAGUGAACUUGUUACCAAUAAGUUUAAUUUAAUUAUGUUGAUUGAUGUCAAUGAUUUACUUUUAGUUGAAUAGAAAAAAACCAAAAUUUUUAUUCAACCAAAAGCAAACACCAGCUUAAUGAAAAGCUUGAAAAACUUGGGCUUAAACCCAUGUCAAAUAACUCUCUGGCUCAAUAAAAUUUUAUUCACUAUGAUACAAUCAGUUGGCUUUUGCCUCGUGGGAAUCUCCAUUGAACAAUGUGGUUAUGAUAGAAGGUGAUUAGUUAAAAUUAACGGUUGUAUUUAGUCUAUACACAAGAAAGGGAAUGAUAAUACAACUGAAUCAUAAUAACAAAUAAAAGAGGGGAAUUAUGGUAGGCAAAUGAAUUUCACUCUUCUUUAGGAUAACCUCGUUUGGACUUGGUGGAACCCAUACAUUUAUGGAUACUGAUAAUAUUUUUCAUUAAAAAAUAUUAUAGUUUAAUAAACUCAUUAACAAACACAAAAAACAAUCCUAUAUUUAUAUAUACUAAUCGUAUGUAGAUUGUAGAGAUUCAUGAUUAAAUUAGGGCUUCUAAAUGAUAUGAGAAACCUACUUCAAUAAUAAAUUUUAAUAUUUCUCAUAUUUUCCUAAAAUUUUUCUAAUUUGACUUUAAUUUGGAUUAAUAUUUUCUAAAGUCUCCCUUAAGCCAAGCUUUAAAGUCAAUCAUACCAAGUACCAUCGUUAACUUUUCAAAUGCAUUUAUUUUUAGUGGCUCUCUAGAUAUAUCUAUAACGCAAUUUUAUUUUAUUUUUGUUUAAAAAUUUAAGCUUGAUUUUACCAUUUUUCAUACAUUCAAACUUGACAGUUAUAUUUGUUUCAACUAUAAACACCAGAUUCUUUGUCAAUGUAAUAGUAGAUUUAUAAUCCUUAUGGAAUCUUUUUUGUUUAUGCUUUAACUCACUUUGGACUAAAAACAUAACAUGUAUAUGGCUCUAGUCAAAGACCAUGACUAAAGGCAAAAGGAGCAUGACUAUAAGAUAGAUAAUAAAUACAAAAGAUUAUGACAAUGGAUAACAUUAGUAGUGCAGAAGACUAUAGCCGCAAUCAAUUCUUCUAUGACUAAAGGGGUCUUUUUUUUUUUAACUUCAAACAUGUUUUGAUUGCGACCAAAAGGGAUGAUAUAGCUACUUAUGUUUAGGUCAUGACUAAAAGCCCUUUUAGUUGUCAACAUGUCUUAGCCAUAGCAAAAAAUGUUGAUGUAGUUGUAUAUAUGUUCUAGCCAUGGCCAAAAGAGGAGGGUAAUUAUGAAUAAGGUUUUUUAAAGUAAUUUUUUUAUUGAAAUUCUUAAACUACUUUAUUAUGUUAGAUGAUAACUAUAAAUUCAAGUAUUAUAAUAAAUCAUUAAAAUAUAAUUGCAGAACAUUCAUUCGUAAAUCAAGUUUUUUUUUACUAGUUAUGAAUUUCUUUGAAUAAUUAUAUAUGAAAUUGAAGUCCUCAAAUAUAAAGUAUGCUACUCCUUUUCCUCCUCACAUGAAACAAAGAACUAAUGAAAAGAAAAUCAACUUUUCUCCUCACAUGUAGCCAACCAUUUCCAUAACUAGUCAUUAAUGUUUUAGCAGAUUUAUUUCAAUAAAAAAAAUUGAAGUAAUUCUCAUAUGUUAUUAUGAAUAUAACUUGCAAUUCUUGAAUACAAAUGUGCUAGGUUUAUGUGUUAAUUAAUUUAAGUUGAACUCCCUAGAGAAAGAUGUGAGAGUGUGAAUUAGGUGUUGGUUUUUGUCUUUAUUAAAAAAAACAAUUUUUAACAAAUAUAAACAUAUAAGAAUGCAAGUGACAAAUCAAUUAUUAGUAAAAAUGCUUCUUAAAAUAUCAUUAAUUCUCUUAUAUUGUCUUUUUAUGGUAAGACAACAUUAGCAUCAUAUCAAAAUGUUAUUGCUUUGAUGACCAAUUGCAUUGUAAUUCAACUUUUUCUUAGUAACUUGGUUGGUCCUCUAAUAUGGUAUUGUGAUUUACUACUCUCUAUCAUGGACUUUUAACUUUCUUGUUGGAAUCUCUGGAUUAAUCCAUUCUAAGCUCGAAUCAUUAGGUUGCAUGCAAAACUAUCUUAGGAUAUUAGAUUUAUACUACACAAGCAUUUAAAAUGAAUAAUAUUCUUAGAUCUAGUGACAAGAAUAACAUACUUGUGAUUCAGAUGUUCCUAAAUUGAUUCUAAUCAGUAAGGAGUGCAGUGUAGAUUUUGAAUACCUCAUGAUUUUUCACCCAAUAGCGCUCUUUCAUUUACUCUUAGUACUGGAGGUAGUGAAAGCCUCAUAAAAGGAUGGAGGAUAGGGUUUUUCUAUCUUUACAAUAAAUAGAAAGACUAAGCUAAAGUCUUAACCCUUUAAGGUGGGUUUAUAUAAGCUUUCAUUGAGCUUAAGUGAUUUGAGCCCAUCUUGGGCUUAGGUUACUUAAUCCAACUCAUUUGAGUCAUGAUUGAUUAAUUAGACUUAUUAGAUUUCAAUUAAUCAACUACCCAAAUCUAGAGAGAUCAUUCUGUAAUCUUUCAUAUCUACAAAAAUGACCUUAUACACACAUGUGAAUAAAUAAUUCAAAUCUCUUAAUAAACAUGUCAUUAAGGAAUAUGAGUUCAAAUGGGAAUCACUAGGACCCAUAGAAAAAUACUAGUUCUUUCAUUAUUCAAUUUUAAAAUUGAUUUAACAUCUUACUAUAAAGAAUUAACUACACUUUAGUAUUCUAUGAUAUUAGAUUGUGAUAGAAUAUUCUGGUUUGUGACCUAUUAAAAGCUACAUACAAGCUUCCCAUGAAUUAGUAUUUGUAAUUUAAUUAGGUGAAUGAUAUCAGUCUCUUAAAGUUACCUUUACCAUCCUUGAGUUUCAGAUUUUCUUAUUAUGUGAAACUUACAUACUAUAUAUCUUUAAGAGCAUAUGUUAAAUUCCACUUAAGAAAUUAUUAUGACUAUAAAUUUCAUGAUUACGUGUCUUUAGGAUCACUUAAAGGGAUACACUAUCUCAAAUAUCAUGAUGUCUAUCUUAAAAAUAUCUAUUACCACAUGCCUUAAUCAAUAAGGACCUAAUUAAUAAGGAAUAUAUAACUAUCUUAAGGUCUUAAUUAUAGGUCAAAACUAUCGAAAACCUCAACACUAGCUUAAUAUUCUCUCAAAGUUAAGAGUUUAUGCAACAUAAUAGUUUGAUGAAGUCAUAACUACCCAAUAGUCAAUAUUAUAACUCAUCUUAGUUUUUGUCCAAUGUCUAACCAUACACACUAGUACACUCAUCAUGAAAAACUCAUCAUGAUGAUUAAGAUAAGUAUCUAAUUAGAAGGCUAUAAUCUGGAUAGAUUGUUUAAGUUCAUAAACCAAUUGUGAAUAAGUUAUCAACUUGCAAAGAACCCAUGACUUGAAUAUUCUAUAUAACUAUUAAUACACCUAAGUCAUGUAUAAUGCAAGUGAUUUAGGUCUGAAUGCUUAAAAUAGCUAAUGCUUAAAUAUAGGAUAGUAAAAGGAAAAACAAAAUCAUAAUAUAAAUAUUAAUUAAUUUCAUCAAUUGUUACAUCAUGUCAUGUUUUUAAGGACUUUAUCUCAACAUUUAUUUGUCAUUCUUGUCGAAGUUUUUGAUGGUUCAUUGUUUUUUGUACUUGAUGUCUUAACUUCCUUGAGGUUCCUCUCCGACUUUCUCUUAUGGCUUAUUUUCAAAACCUUCAUUUGAUUGUUUCAAACAUGAUAGGAAAUUUCAAUUCUUCAAGCUUAACCACCUUAGUGAUGCUAAUUGUUAUAACUUCUAGGUAGUCAACUUUAGUGAUCCUUGACUUCUCAUAGAUCUUGAUCCUUAAAGUAGGAUUAAAUUAUGAUGUCUUAAUUUUUAUAGUUGUGGUUACUCUACUUUGUGAGCCCACUUAUGACAAAAUCUAUAAUCAUGACUUGGUAUGUUUUCUUUUGUCAACCAACUUGAUUCAAAACCAAUCAAAUUUUGUAUUCUUUUAUUAUGUUUUUUCAUGAUUUCUGCAAUACCUUGAUUUGUCAAUCUCUAAGUACAAUACAUCAAACAAGUGGUCUUUGACUAUAGAAUACUUCAAACUACUAGUCCAUGAUUGUUUUUUUCUAAUUCAAAUUAUAAAGAAAUGGCUAAAAAAUCUUUAAAAAUAUUACAUAUAUAUGUAUGUAUGUAACUACAAUUAGGGGACUAUAAUAAAAUAAUAAUAAUAAUAAUGUAUCCAAAUAUUUCCUAAUACAAACCAUAAAAUCAAAUAUUGCAACAUUUUUUAGAAAGCCUAUAAUAAUAAUAAUAAUAAAAGAACUACGUUAGGCUUGCCCUAAUUAAAGAACAUAAGACAUAAGAGAACAUAGGACCUAUGCAAAAAAAUGCUCUACCAAACAGUUCUUUAGACCAAAAACCCUAAUAUAAAAGUAUUCAAACAAAAAAAAACAUUAACACACAACCCUAGAAUCCCUUUCUCAAUCUCGCGAUUUCUUCAACCUUUGUCAUGCCUCUCACACACACUAUUUCAGAGAGAGAUGGGAGAGAUUGGGAGUAAGGAUCCCACUUUAUAGAGUUCUAAUGAGAACUCAUAAGGGAUGGCGGAAAAUUAGAUGGUGAUAAAAGAUAGUUUUUUUAUGGCAACAAAGAAAGGGCGAUAGUUUCGAGGUUUUUCUAUCUGUAGCGAUAACAAAGAUUGUGAUGAUGAUGAGUGAUAAAGAGAGAUGAUUUGUGAAAUUCUUUGAUAAAGAUUACUAUGAUAAAGGUGAAGUACUUUAAUUGGAGGCUAUUUCAAUCAUUGGCGAUGAUCGACUUUGGCCAUGGAGGUAUAAGUCUCACUCUAGGUCAGUCUUCACUCCUUUAUUACUAUAAACAAACAACAAUGUCCUUGAAGUUCUCUUGUCUUUCUUAUUAUUCAAAGGCAUUAAAACUACAUUGAUUGCUAGCAAGAUCUCAUUUUGCUAAAAUAAUUGUUUUUCUUUAAAGAAAAUGGUGUGGUUUGAAUUCUUUGUUUAAUUGUUUGUUGUUUCUCUAUUUUCAAUACGAAUGACAAUUAUGUUGUAUCAUAUCGAGUUCAUGUCAUUAUUGAGGUAAGAAAUAAUGAAAUAUUUAAAACCCUAGCAUAAACUAUCUAACAAUUGUAUUUGAUUUCUUUGUUACAGCCUACACACAUGUUUUAUGAACCUAUGACACAAUAAGAUUAAUGUAACCUAUUCAAUGAAUAGAUUUGGUUAAAUUGGGCUAAGUUGUAUUUAAAUUCAUGUGCUUAAUUUGUUAACUUAUACAAUAUCUAUCAUAAUUAUGACAUAUUUUCAUAAUUAAUGACUUACUUUACUUACUCAAUACUUUAUAUUUAUAUAAUUUAUGCACCAUAUGAAUUAAUAAAGUGUUGAAUUAGUUCAUUUCAUCAUAAUUGCAUCAACAUGACAUAAUAAUAAAUUAACCAUACGUAUGUUUCAACUUGUAAUCAUGUCAACAUGAUAGGGCUAAUACAUUCAUGAUAUCUCAACAAGCCUAAACUUAAUCUAAAUUUGAUAAUUUAGUAUCAUUCUUGAGUCAUGAUAAAAAUUGACACUCUAACCCUUAUCAAUGUUAUUUCUUCUCUUUUCCAAUUCUCAAAGCCAAAUGUUGUAACAGACAUUUACUUCUUGCUUCUUCAAAUACAAUACAUUGUUAGUCAUCUUUAUUUCUUUAAAUGAGUUUACCUUAUUUUGUUUCUCCUAUGUAAUAAAAUUAUGAUCCUAUUAUAACUUGUUGCAAAGCUCUUUAGAAAACAGUCGAUUAAAAGCACCAAAUAUUGAAACACCCAUUUGCUUCUCCUUUCUUCAAAUGCAAUAUCAUUUUGUUCAUCAUUGUUUCUUUAAAUAAUCCUACUUUUAUUCACGCAUAAAAGUAUAUGAGGUCUUAGUAUGCUUAGGUGAAGGAGAAUCAAACAAUUUACAAAGAAAAAUGAAAAACAAAUACAACUCCUAAUCCUUAAAAUAUCUCAAAUUUAAAAUAAAUGAUUUUGAUUGAAAGAAAUAAUCUAUCUAAAAUAAUUUGACUUUUAGAUUUAGGAAUUUUAAUGUUAUCACUACUCCUUUAAGUAAGUGAGGUUUGUUUAGAAACUAUUUUUGAAAAUAAUUUUCUCUAUUAUUUAGAACGAUAAAUAGUUUUCUAAGUUGAAAAACAUGUUUGGAAAAUUUGUUAUUAAUAAUAGUUUUUUAAAAUUUUAUUUUGAAAAUAUAUUCUUUGGAAUAAAUUUAAAAAAUUUCAAUUAUUUUCUAUCAAGUGUUUUGGGAAUCAAUUAAAAACAUGGAUAAUGCUUUGGGAACUUUUGAGUACACAACGCCAUCAUUUAAAAUAAGCUAAGGGAACUAUAUUUCACAUUUGAGUUCUCAAAUAUAAUUUUAUUUUUAAAUGAAAUGAGAUUUGUUUUUAACAAUUUUUUUUUUUAAACAUUAUCAAACACACCCUUAAUCUCCUUAUUUCCCUCACUCAUAUCAUUAUUGAACUACAUUACAUCUUGUAUUCUCGUAUCAUUGUUUUCUUGUUUAUUUUUUCAUUUUCAUAUUUGUUACUUGUUUCUUCAUAACAAGCCCAAUAGAGGACCAUCACCAAAACAUUCUACACGAAACAAACUCACACAAAAUGCUGAGCCGAACAAGGUCAUAACCAAAUUCGAACCCAAAACUAGACAACAUGCCGAACUGACCCUUCACACAAAUCCUUAGCUCUCUUCUGUUCUUGCUUACAAUUUGUCUAUCCCUCACCAUUGAGAGGUGAAUGCAAAUGGGAGCCAAAGCUCCUUUUUAUAUAUAUGGCAUCAAGGGCAGCUUGGGCCUUGGAGAAGAGUACCUCGCAUGGGGUUGAGAUGGGCAGCAGCGGAUUGGUAUUGGCCAACUUUGGUUUCCGGCAAGUCAGGUGGAUUUUUGGCUGCAACAAGACACGUUGAUGGACGACCAUAGCAGUAAGGAGUCGGGACAAAGAUUGGCAGCCAGGGUAAUGAAAAGUAAUUGGAUAGGCAAGGCCCAAAUUUAAUUGAGAUCGUAAGCAUAAAGAUAGGCAUGCUACCAACAAUAUCAAUAGGGUGUUGGUCAAGCAUCCUUUUGCUGAUCAAGUUGGGUAAUGGUCCAUGGGAGCAGGUGUUAGGAAAACAUCCUUCAUUCAUCAAGUCAUGGCCAAAUUUUCGGAAGAGAUAUAUCAGGCACUCAUGUCAUUCCCAAUACAUAACUGCUCAGUCACACAGGAAGAGAAAGAAGAGAGAGAACAAAUACCAAAUCUCAAACGCAACAUGCAGUCUUCUUAACCAUAACCAGGCCUUGUACCGAAACAAAACACACAGAAAGUCCCAGUGAUCCCUAAAGCACUCAGAAAAUCUAGUCACUGGAACACAAAACAAAACAAAACAAAACAAAAACACCCAUAAAGUCUGAUGAUCCCUACACCAUACAGAAAAGCUAGUCGCUAGAACACAUAAAAGAAAACCAGCACAGGAAUUCACUUAUGACAUGCUUCUAGUAGCUUUUCUCAGGUCCAACAUGGCCACCUACUUGGCCACCAUCUGCACCGACUCUUCAUCACUCACCACCUUCACUGCUUCUUCCUCAGUUACCACCUUCCCUGGUUCUUUUCCAGUCCCCUUCUUUACCAUGUCCUCCUUGUGCCCAAACUCCACUUUUUCAUCCUUGGUGAUUGCCAUCUUCAUCAGCUGGUUCUUGGCCAGCAUGUCCACCUGUCCUUCAUUUGGGUGCCACACAGUUUUCUUUUCAGAUCCAAGUUGCUUGACCAACUGAAAUAUCAAGAAAAAAUUUUCAAAACAUCUCAUUCAUCAUCAUCUGAUUUGGGAGUGAGAGUGAGAGAGACAGACCUGGAAAUAAGUAUCGAGCUUCUCUUUCAGAGUUGCAUGCUCUUUCUUCAGCUGUUUCAGAGCUGCCUUCCAACUGUUCAUAUUCAUGCACUUGUCACAAAUUAUGGUCAUAAAACCCAAUGGAAAAGAACAACUACCCAUCAUCUUGGUUUUCUCUCAAUCUCUGAUGAAAGUGAAAAUAAAGCAGCCCUUAACAAGGGAGUUAAUAUGAAUUGAACCCCUCAUUGCCAAUUUGAGUUCCCUGCUGAUUAAUGCUUUCUAUAUUUAAACAUAAAAAUCAAGUGUGUGAAAAAGUUGCAUAUUGUGAAGUUCAUCAUAGUGAAUAGUAAAUCAAAAGAUAGGUAAGUAUAAACAUUACCCUUCAACGUCUCCAUCCUUGCAACUUUCCCUCAGCUUAGUGCCUUGAAGUCUAACUCUGUUGGCACCAACACUGUGACAAAUAAUAAAGUGACGGUGACGAUGAUGGCAAACAGACAAUAUCUCCCAAAACAAGUAGGGAAAUAAAACUGUGAACGAGGAUGAAAUCACUAAAUCUUUUAUUAGUUUCUUCUUAUGACAGCUUCAGAAAUCAAAUGAAAAUUUUGGGUAAAACCAAACAGGGCAAGCUAUGCCAUGAGGGUUGGUGCUCUUUGCUAUCCUCUAGCUAUCCCUUUUUUCUUUCCCAAAGAGUUUCACCUGGAAUAUUAUAAUAUCUGCCUUACUCGGAUGUAAGGACUCAAUGCCAAAUUUGAGCUCCAAAAAGCAACAUGAAGGUACCUGCUUGCCUCCAAGUUAAGCACUCCUUCUGCUGACCAAGGGAGUCUCCUUUUAAUUUUUAUAGCAUUUAGAAAAAAAAAAACCCAAAAAGGGAAAAAUAAAGAAGCUUCACAACUGCAAAUUUUAUAUGUUGCCUCUCAAGGAUUUUCAUGACCCCAGGGUAUGAGUCUAGAACUUGGGUGCCAAAGGCUUACCACUGGGUGGGAAGAGGAAAAUGAAUGGCACUGGGAUAAAAGGGAAUAGGUCAUUGCCAGAGAUGUUUUUGUUGUUUCCAGGAUCCAAAAGGCCGAUUUGAGUUGUUGCAAUAUAUCCCACCACACCAAUACCCAGUAAAAAUUGCAUCCUCACUACGAUUUUUAGGAUUUCACCUCAAUUUCAUGCAAAUCCAUGAUAAUGUCAGGCAGAGGCUCUUUCUUUCUUUCUUUUUUUUUCAUACCUUGAACUGCUUCCCUUGAACUGAUGGAGGAUUUUAUCCACCUUGCUAUAAUCAAUAGGAUCAUUGUUCCUGCAUAGAAAAACAAAAACCCAGACUAUUAUGGUUUAUAAAAAAAUAUAAAAACCAGGAAAACAGUGGGAUAUUUAGAGUACUAACAGUUCCUUUUCCACAUCAACAAUCAAGCGUGCUGAAUCCGUAAAAAACAAGGUUAUGAUUUCCUCAGUAAAGUGCAGAUUGUCCCCAUCUUCCAACAACUCCAGCUCAACAAAAUGCCCAUCCACAAAACCCUGCACAAACCCAAAUUUGAUUGGGAACUGAUCAUCCAUUGCUCAUGCUUAUAAUAGCAUAUUUUCAAUGCAGAAAAAUGCAUUUCUAGUGGUAAACAAUUUCAAAGUACUUCAAGUGCACAUGCAUAUCACAAAGCCAUCAAAUUCCUUAUUCUGAUAGAAAAGCCAAGAAUUGAAAAAAGAACAGAAAGGGAACACCAAAAACCUCCCUCUUAAAUCAAACUCUGGAUUCACCACAGGAUUAUCUGCCCUGAGCCUUGGUGACAUUCAUAUUCACAGUAGGAUCAUAGUAGUCUUAUACAUAUGCUCAUCACAUGUCUAGUGAAAAAAAAUAUAGGCCUCAUUCAUACACAUCUAAAGAGACAGAAAAAAUGAACAUCUUUGGCAUGCAUAAGCAGGCAAAUCUUGGGGCAUCUUCAAGGGAAAGGCACAACUUGAAAAAUUAAAAACGAAAAUUAAAAACCCUUGCCAUAAAUUACAUAUCAAUUUCCCCAGAUGAACAUUGUAAUUGAACUAUCAUAUCCGAUUUAGAUCUCUUCCACAAACUGCAGUAGAUGAAAAUUGUCCAAUAGCACGUUCACUGGAUUCAAAUCAACCAAGCCUUCAAUUACAAAUUAAGAUGCAAAGCAACCAAUUUCACCAAGCAGAACUGGAGGAAUAAAUGUGAAAAGCUUCCAUAUAUAUGUGGGUAAUGCAUGCAUAUAGAUUGAACUUUGAGCAAGUAAUCCUUUUUCCCUGAUACAAAUUAUCAAUAUAGUUAUUCUUCUAGCAAUUAAGGAUUUUCCACAGACAAGGAAAUGACCAUUCAAUUUCAUGUAUGAGUGUAGCCUAAAAACAAAAAAGCUACCACAUUUUCUUUUGAUCACUAGGGAAAAAAAAUUGGCCUUAAAUAUAAAGCUAGGUUUACAUAAAUGUAAAAUUGAAAGAAUCUAACAACAUUUCCAUCAAAGAGGAAGAGAAAAACCUCAUCAAGGAGGGAUUGCUUCAUGGCACUGAUCUGCUGAUGAAGGGUGCUCUCCAUUCUCAGAGAAAACAGAUGGUUUAAGGAAAUUAAUCGAAUGAUACUGCAGAAUAGCAAUCCAAAGGAGACCUUAUAUAGCCAGUUGUGGAGACAAGCAUUAAUUGGUUCUCAGACGGCAGAGUCACGAUUUUUGAGCAUCACCAAAUAAUGGGUUUAUUCCACUCUACCCACUUUGUAUUGUCAUUAUCUACACCCAACAAUCAGAGUGACUACUUUUUCAUAUAGUCAUCUGAGCAAACAAGUUAAGUACACUUAGCAAUGUGAUGGAAUGGUCAUCCAAAUGAAAAAACAUAUGUGAAUCACACAGCUGCCAGGUCAGCAAUGACAACGUAAAACUUGUAUUAUCAAAACACCAGAGCAAUUACUCUACAAUGAAUAACCUGUAUGAAAAUGGAAAUAUAUCUGGGCAGAUAUGUUAGGAUUUUCCUCUUUUGGCGCCUUGAUAUCAAACUUUAAUGCCCUCUCUUCAGAGGGUUCUAAAAGGCUUGUAUCCAAAAAUAAUAAUAAUAAUAAAAAACAAUAAUAUGGUGAAAUUUUAUUUUACAAGAGUUAUUGGUACUAGCAAUUGACCCUUAUCCCAGGGGAAUCAAAAAUAAUAGUUGAAUGCUUCUGCUGCUAUUAUGCAGUUUAAAGAAAAUAAUACAAAAAGAAAAAAGAAAAAAUUCUAGUAGAAGCCAAAAAUAGAAAUUAAAUUGCUAUUUAUGAUAUCUUAGGCUCCAUGUUGUAUAGAGAGAGAGAGAGAGUGGAAAGACAGAGAGGGAGAGAGUCAUCAGUUCACUGAUAAUAUAGGAUUCAAAACUAGAAUAGUAAAACAAUCAAUUUUUUUACUAUUCUGGUAGCUCCCAGGUUGUUUUUUGGUAGAAAUUGUAUGUCGACUGCUCUGCACAAUCUUGGACGCAAUCAAAUACCUAUAAGCAAUAUCAGUUCCCCAUGUUCUAUUUAUCACUUGUCAGUACAUCGAUUAAGAAAAAGGCAACAAGCACAAUAAGAUAUAAGCAGUGCCUAUGGAAGUCAAGAAUAGAUUUACAAUAUACCGCUCAAGCCCAAAAUUGAAUCUUUCCACAGCCAAAAUGAUCAUCCCAGACCACAGAGAACCUGUGGCAUGGGGGAAUUGGCAUAAAGUCCAACCCUGUAAACAAUAAUAACAGAAAGCAAGAAAUCUAUAGCAAAUAACAACUGUAAAGUUGGACAAGCAAAGAAACAUUGAUUGAUGAUAUAAAUACAAUUAACAACAAAUGGAGAACAGACAGCUAUACAUAGUAGGAGAAACCAUAAUACAGGACCAUUGCUGUACAAGAUUUUACAUAUUCUUCCAAUGAGUCAUUUCUACAUGAACAGAGUGCCAACAAACUUUAGUUUGAAUCCAUGGCCAGUGUAACCUCCAAAAAUCAAAGAAGACCUUGGACCAUCAAGCUCCAUUUUUUCUUUACUUCACACAAUACUUUUACCAAUAAAUAAAUGAACCAAUACAUACAUGCAUACCACAGUGCAACCGGAAGAGCCUUCCUUCUAAAUGUUAGUGAAUUGGAAGAUGAAACAGAAGAACUAUUUAAGCUUUACUGCCCCACAGAAGAACUUCAUUUGUCCCCUCUCUACUACUUUGAGAAGAUAUCAGAGAACAAUCUUUCCAAACAAAACCAAUCUUAACCAGGAAAUUUAACACUGCAUUAAGAAACAAGAUGAGUAGAAAAAAUGUCCAGUAGUAUGCACUCAUGAUCCAAAAUGCUUGUGGUUUGCAUAGUUCUUUCUCUUCCCUCACAUCAAGGAUGAAGCAAGGUGGGGAAGGGAAGACACAAGUGAAAAAUUAGAGCUCAAAAGAAAAAGCUUCUGUGCUAUUUUCUUUUCUUUUCUUUCUUUCUUCAUUUUCACAGAAAUCUAAUGGAACAGAUAAUGGUUUACCUUUAUUUUUUCCUUGACCAAACCAAUUAAAAUUGAGGAUUGAUCUAGUGUCUAGCAGUAACAAAUUGAUCUUGUUGUUAUAGAGCAGCAGUCUACUGCCAUUCAGCUCUGUAUAGGUCAGAAAUAGUAGCUGAAGGCUGCUAAAAACUGACUUGAGUCAUGUCAGGACCAUUCAUCUAUAGAAAUGUUGGAACAGCACUAGAUCAUUCCUGUCUUCUCACCUCCAGACUCAGAAGGUGAGAAAUAAUUGGAUCUUGGGGAGAGAGAAUGGUUCUGCACCCUUUUCAUUGCCUUUGCUGACGCCUUCUCUUUGAUUUCAGAUCAACAACAAUGAUAGAUAUGUUGUCUGAGCUAUUUCUCCCGUAUGCUAUUUCAGUGAGAUUAUCAGCAACAGAUUGUGCAGGAGUCUCAUCAGCCAUCAUUAACCUUCGCCGCCGUCUUAGAAGGCGGCGAGCCACCUCUCCAACUUCAUCAUUUGACAUAACAUCCCAAAGCCCAUCACUUGCCAAAAUCAAACAUUCAUCCUCAUCACACCUUGUUGUGAAAGUGAUCUCAGGCACUGGAAUAAUCCAUGGCCGCAAAUAUCGAUCUCCUGAACAUACACAUUAAGCAGAAAAUACUAUAACAUAUCAUAUACAUGCAGUGUGCAACAAAAAAAAUGAACUACAAACACCAGUGUGGUUAGGAAUUAGAAUUUAAUUGAAUUUGCAAGUUCCUCCUGAUAUCCAGUUAUCAUGAAAUCAUAAGACUCAUAGAAAGAGCAAGGAGACUAAUAUUGAUGUAUACUUUGUUAUCAGCAAUUCUGGGCUAAUGAUCCCUUGUAAAAUCAGUUUGAGCGAACAUGAUCCUUUCUUGAGCUACUCGCUAACCAAAGAGUUAAAGCAUCAUCUAUACAUUGAAAUUGGGUUCCAUCGUGCAGGAGAUAAGUUUGCAAGACUUAUGGAUGAAUUUAAGUUGAAAAACAUUUUUGAGCAUGGUUUUACAAUUUAGGUUGUUGUUAAGCAGUUUAGAAAUAGCCAAGACAAGUGACACCUUUAUUUCUGAGAGGGAGAGCUCAACCCACACAUUGGGAUGAUCCAUCACCUAAAUAAACCAAAAGCACUACAAUCCAUUGACUAAUCAACCUCACUUGAUUGGUUGGUCAAUCAAUCUUUGAUCUCAUUCUUGUGUUUCUGGCCAUUUCUGGACCAUUCAGAAAUGACCAAUACUCUGCUACUUUUGGAAUAUAUACCUGUAAGUGUAAGCCUCCAUUGAAGGUUAAGGAAGAACACUAUUUUGAGAGAUUUUUGCUAGCUCUUAAAUCUAAUUUUUGAGUGAAAAAUGAGUAUCAUCUGGAGAUUCAAUUCUUCCUUCAUUAGUUUUAGUUGGUCACACUCUUCAAUCUAUUUCAUUUUCAGAUUCCCAACCUGAAUGGAUACUUGAAAUGAAUUCAAGGAAUUAUCAGCUUGCACCUUGUUAUAAAUCCAAGGUGUUGUUACUAAGAGAAAAGUGUGAGGCUCAGGUAAUUAAGGAUGAAGAAUGCUCAGCCAGUAGUUCCAUGGGAGGAUCAAUCAUCUUGGGUUAGAUAAAAAUCAUGUAUUUAUUUUGAUUCUUAGUAGAUGUUUGUGUAGCCGUGGGCUCUAGUUUUUUACCUCUUCUAGAGGUUUUCCACAUUGUACCAAUGUCUCAUGUGAUUGUGAAUUUACAUUUCAUUAAUUACUGUUAUCUUUGCAUUCUAGUGAUGGUGAAUGAUUGAGAUGAAAGUUACUUAUGCAUAUUUGAUGAUUGAAUUUUAUUCAUAUUGUAGAAAUACUUAGUUGGAAUUGUUUUGUCAAAUUUGGAUCCUUCGUGGCCCAAAAUUGUUGAAUGAUUAUUCAACUGAUUGUUGGAUCAGUGUCAACCCAAAUUGUUGAAUUAUACAUGUUUAAUUUUGUCAAGAAAUUAGCAAAAGUUUGGACUAAUCUAGUUGAAUUUUUGUUACACCAAUAAACCAACACAUGCUUUCCCCCCAAUUGCUCAUAUCAUUGAGAAGCCAUUUUCAAUGGUCAAUUGAUCUUAUGGUCGAAUGUUAAAGUAUUUCAAGAGAACUCCUCUUUGAAUCUAAGAUACUGAAAUUUAAGUCAUGUUGACAAAAAUCAAUAUUUUAGUGAAAAAUAUAGAAACCCUUUUUUUCUCCUAAGGGAAUCCUUUGAGAGAGGAGAAUAAACUAAAUAAGAUCAAAUAUGAUGACUUGGAUCAUGACAGGAAACAAACUGGAGUAUUUCGCAUGUUCAUUGAAGAAUGCACAAAUAGUUAAAAUAAUAAUUCUUUUUUGUGAUGCCAAUAUCUGUUCAAGUUAGGAUGUAGAAGAUUCAAAGAGAUUUUAUGCGGUAAAAAGGACUAGUGAAAUAAGGUUGGCUAGGCAAUUUUUGUUUUCCUAAAGAGAGGCAGUCUGUAUAUCUUAGAGUUCAUUGUUUCUAAAAUGGCUUUAAGGUAAGUGGCUAUCGAGAUUUACUAUGGAUAAAGAUAGGUAGUGGAGAAAUGUCAUUGUGAGAAAUUUUAGUGAGUGACAUGGGCAAAGGGUGUUCUAGGAUGAGAAAAGGGUGACAAUAUCUGGUCUUUGGAGGUCUAAAACAAAAUGAUGGAUGCCUUUGUUUCUUUAUUGAACUACAAAUUGGCUCAAAAGUUUAAGUUUAUAAUAAAUGAGUCAACAAUGUUUAUUAGGUUAAUAAACACUUAAUACCCUACUUUAGGUGCAUCCCCCUCCUGGAUUUUAGUUCAAUAAAUGUGGUAAUAAACAAAUAAAGAUGUUAGAACCCAAGACCUCCAAGAACCAAAGUCUGGUAUGAUGUAUCAAAUAAAAAAAUAUAUAUAAAACAUGAAAAAAAAAUUGGGGAAAAAAGUUUGGUAGAGAAUGACUUAUGUCCAAUGAAAUUAAAAUUCUAGUAGCCACUUUAAAAUUAUUUUGGAACUAGUGUGUAUCAAUCUGCUGCCACUAGCAGGUUUUAUGGUUGUUCCAUUAAGAUAUCCUCCAAGACUGUGUCCUUCUGCAUAGCAUUUGAGUAGAAAUGACUAUCCUAUAUAAUGUUUGCCAUUUAGUUUAACUAAAAUAACAUUAUUUUUCUCCAAAAUGUAUCAGAUAUCAAAUACCCAAUCAAGAGGUAGAAAUGCAAAAACAAGAAAUCAUGUUUUAAAACAUUGAAGAGAAACUAAACUAAACUUUUGGUACUUGGAAAAAAAAAAAAGCCAAUAAGAAUGACGAUGGAAAUGGGUGGCUAAAAAUUCAAUGAUAAUUCCAUGGGUACUCUAGAAAUUCAGGGGCUAUUGGAGAACAGAAACAAGAUAAUGAUUUCUAAGGCUAAAGAGAUAUAGAAUAAGGUUUUUCUCUUAUCCUAUAACCUUAUCUUUAUGCACUAGGCCAACUUUUUCCUUCCAUCAAUAGGGGAUGCAAUGUUGUCUCUAUUAGCCCCUCUUUAGCAUUCUUACGAUCUCAAGAACCAGGGUAGUGUUUUUAGCUUUGACGCUAUACUAAAUAACUGAUUGCCUUAAAAACGUAAGCUUCUAAACAAUAAACCAACCAGCUUUCCACAGUUCACUAAUACUUAAAAUGUAAGCUUCUAAACAAUAAACCAACCAUCUUUACACAGUUCACUAAUACUUAAAACAUAAGCUUCUAAACAAUAAACCAACUAUCUUUACAAAGUUCCCCAAUACUUAACACCUAUGAGUCAUAUGCAUGGUUCAAAGUAAAGGUAUCAGAUGCUAACUCAGAGGCUCACAAGACAAAUUAAUCAUAGCAUGUCACAUUGAUAUUGGGUGAUAUUCACAACAUUCUAUACUAAAAAAAUUAUUCCACAAUCAAUUUCACGUUGAAUGAUACAAAGGCUCAAAACGUCAUAAUUAUGUAAAUCAGGAUAAUAAUUCAUGUAAUGAGAUUAUGGUUGCAAGAGGUGUGAAAAGUUUAACUCUUAUGUGAUUCGCCCAUGUGGGAGCAACUCCCUAGUCGUUCAUGACUCAGUUGAACAAUGCUCCAAUAUGGGGAAUGGACUUGGAACUAAAAGUUGGUAGAUAUUUGGUGUGGGGAGAACCAUUUCCAAAUUGAUUCUCCAUCUAAGGAGAUCAAAGAGGUAAGGUGGUAUACUACUGAGAUGUGAGAGGUAGUGGAGGUCAUUGAAACCAUGAAAGGACAAAUUUGAGAGGAAGUUAUCUACAGAUCGUUGCUUCUUAAUUAAGUCUAUCUAUACGGCUUUAGGUUCAAGUCUUGGGAUUUUUUUAUUUUUUUUUUCCUGUAUAGAAAUUGUCUAAUUCUCUCCAAAAUUUCUUUGCUUGUCACCUGUUAGAAAGAAAAAAUUCUUACCUUGUAUUAGCUUUAGAGAAAUGGUAUUGUUUAGAUAAUUGGUGCUGCUUGCACAGAAAGAAUGAGGAAUCAACCAACUGUUUGUUUAUCAAUUGUGGAAUGGCUCAAAGGCUUGGAUCCCUGUUGUUUUCAUCAGUUGGUAUUCUUUGGGUGUUUCCUAAGUAUUUUAAAGAUAUAUCUUUUCAUAACAAGAAUAGAAAAAUAUAGAAUACAGCUUCAUUUUCCUUAUUUUGGUCUUCCUGAAACAGAAGAUUCUGGGUGAUUCAUGCGUAAAAGCUUCUUGGAGAGGUCGGAGUUAGAACUAUAUAAAAUGUCCCAUUUGUAUAGGCCAGUAAAACUGUGAGGAAUAGAAUGCCUUUUACAGAUUUUGUUGAUGCGUUCAGUUGUCAUAACUGAGUCCUGUUUUUCCCUUUUGUUUAUGUUUGUUGGAAAUUCCAUGUAUGUUUCCCACAUAUCCAGGCUGCAACACAUCUCGUAGGCACCUUGUAGUUUAAUGUCAGGUGUGCCUACCAAAUAUAUACGUAUGUAUGUAUGUGUGGCCACAGUUUCUCACUUUGGAAGAAUCAAAAGAGAAAAGGUCACAUUUGAACUUUAAAAGGACCAGGAUGGUACAGGGUUAUUCAUGUUCUAACUGUUUUUCCCUCUUUUCCAGUUACUUAUGUGCUCUCCUCUACCAAAAAAAAAAAGGGCACCCUAACCUGCUGUCAGUUUUCCUCCCAUUCCACCUACUUACAACGUGAUAAUUCAGACUGUAAAUCACAUGUAAUCACAAGUAAUGUUUCAAAACUUCUUCUAAAGAGAACUUACAGUUUUUUCAUAUUAGUGAUUCAAAGCAUCUAGAAAUAUCAUAGGCAUAUGUACUAUAAUGGCCUUUUAUAUAAAAUCUAUUAGAAACAAAAGAAAACAAAGUAAAUAAAAAAAAACCCCAAUCAUCCACGCAUCAACAUCACGAAUAUUUCAGUCUAGAUUGUCAACUAAAAAUUUAGUAGAACCCCUAUCUGCGUAAAGAUUCACAGAAUCAUAUAUAAACAGCGAUGACUAGCUUGAAAACUGCUAAACUGGACAUUUCAAAAUGAAGUAGAUAAUUAAAGUACAGGGCAAACCUAUGGCUCUGGACAUAGCAAGAACUCCGAAAACCCUAGCACCGUUCCAGUUUAUGACUUUCCCUCCCUCUCCUUCAAUUCGUCGGAGUUCAUCUUCUCUAUCAGGCUGUAAAAGCGACAAAACCAAUAACAAUGUGUCCUUAAAUCCUGUUGUUGACAUAAUCAUAACGAUAUAAAGAAUGAGUAGUUUGCUAGUAGCUGUCAAUAAUGAAGCUUUUCUAAUCCUCUUUUCCAAUUUUGAGACCAGAUGACUUCAGUAUAUAAAUAAUUAGAAACAAAAAGUCCUUGAGAAUCUGAGAUUUUAAAAUAUCAGAACUGAAAAACCAAGUAAAAGAAGAACAAUACAAAAAAGGGAACAACAUUGUGCAUAAAUUUAGAAAAUUGCAGGUUAGAGAGUUUCUAAUAUGACCUUCUGAUCAACAGUUAAGGGGAUUGUUUGAGUCCCUCGGCAGAGCACUGCCCUUGAGUCACCACAAUUGGAUGUAAUAAUCUGGCAACCUGAUAGAACCACCACGACAGCAGUUGAACCAACCAUUUCUGGUGCCACCUCCUCUGUCAUAACCACAUUGUCGGCCCUCUCAAAACCACUAGAAAAUGCCACUUCCCAUCUCCUACGCCAUUCAUAUCCGUCAACUGCUUCCCGGUCCCACUCCUCCACUACCAUUUCAUGCAUCCUCUCAGCACAAAAUUUAGCCACCUGUCAUAACCAACAAAAUAAAUAACGUGGUGUCCUGAUGCCCUGGCUAUUCUUGCCAUAUUAUUAUUAUUUUUGAGCACCAUAGCAACACAACACAAAGUAAUGGCACUAAGAGUGGAAGAAUUGAAGACUAAAAAUAUACUCUUGAUGAACAAGUCAUGGAUACGCCAUUGUAGUGCUUGUGUAUCACUGUCUUGUUCCCAAACAAUAUCCGAGCAGGUAGCGUUAGGCAUGCAACAUUGCCACUCCCGAGAAAAUUGCGGUUGAAGAAAUAACUUUGGAUUGGUGUGUAAGACAAGAGAUGGUUAGUUCAUCGUAAGUGGUGUAAGGGCCUUGGGAUGGGUGUAUUAUGUGGGAUGGUCAGCCCAUUGUGAGUCUCCAAGGGUUAAGUCAUGGGAUAAUUGUGAAUGACUGCAUCCUCAAACAAGAUAAAGAAGAUUAACUAGAUUUUAUUAGUAAUUGAUAGAUUUUUAAUUAAUUGAUUCAAUGAUGAUUCUAACAAGUUAUAUAGGGUUUUGAGUAUCAACCAGUAUCAUGUUGGGGGUGUUAAGGAGUAUGAUAUGAUUCUUAAACCUUUAAGGAAAAUUGGUAGUUUAACAUAAUAUGGAAUUAGAGCUUAUUCUCGGUUCCGAUGUGGGAGGUUUGUUUAGUCUAGUUAAGGGUUUUUGUCUAUAUUACCUCGUAAUCCCAUGGGACACAACAUUUUCGUUGUGUCUGCAUGGGAUAAAAUAGGAGAAAAGGAUACAUAAGUUUCUCCUAACCUUAUAGACACAUUUUAAACUCGUAAGGACCAUUUGAACUUAGAGUGAAUAAUAUCUACAUGAUUAAAAGUGGGUUCUUUACAAAUAUGUUAAGAAGCAUGAUAUGUAUAUUGAGCUCAAAUGUUGCAAGCUUAAGUUUUUAGGAAGUUUGGCAAGAGGUCUCAGGUUCAACCCCCUCUCCAUAAUUUGCACUUUCCCUAUUUGAUCAUAAUUUACAUUUUCCUUAUUUGUUUGUUAAAUAUGAAUCUAAGUUCUUUCUCUUUUUCCAUGUGCGACCCAAGGAAAAUUGGUAGUUCAAGCAGGGGCAGUGAUUUGGAGGGAUUUAUUUGCCACUCCAAGAUAAACAAUGAUUCAAAAAAUAAAGUCUGAUUUGUUAGCCGCUUUCCAAAACACUCAAGUUUGUUGGCUCAUAUUUGAUGUGCCUUAAACCACAUAAAUAAUUGGUUUUCAAUAACAAGGAGCAUUUCUAGUUCUAUGAAUAGCAAUAUCAACUUAAAGAGGUACAAGCAUGAAGGGAAGAGGCCAAGGCUGUUACUUCCAAACAAGCCCUAUAGUCCCUUCCAAUGAUUUUAAUGCCUAAAACAGGUUCAGCACGAACCCUUAUCCAUAGCUUUCAACAAAGUAAGGAAACUUAAUAGAGGCCAAAGGACAACCAAGGUUCUGAUCCCCCUCAUUCAACCUAAGGACCUUAGAUAACUCAACUGAACAUGGUCUCUAAGCACUAGCAACCACUCGAUGCACAAGUCAUUCCUGCACUGCUCUAUCAAAGAUUCCAUUUCUUUGGGAAUAAGGAACACAAAGAAGAAAUAGAAUUCAUUUCUCAUUUAUUACAUUUGGAUUACAAUUAAAAAUAUAAAUAGGAAUCAAAAAAUCAUGCCCAUAAAAAUCAAAUCAUAUUCUAUCUUGCACACGCUACUUUAUUCAACUCCCCUAAAAGCAUCCCUACUUACUAGUCUAGUGAUGGGCCUUCAUAUCGUACACCAACCAUCUUAGAUAAUUACAUUUCAUAUUCAAGUGGUUCUACUUCUCCCUAUAACUGGUGGGAGUAAAUCUGGCGCUUGGCCCAUUACCAAUCCACCAGGGAAUUUUGGCCAGUCCAAUCUGAUCACACUAAGCCCAGCCCAACCCUCUGCGGCUAACUUAAGAGUUUAAGAGUUUAUAUUUGAGGCCCUACCCCGAUCCACAAAUUCGCUAUAAAAAAAAAAGUUAUCUCCACAUCUAAAAUCCAAGAAGCCAUAGUAUCAUUAACUCAAAGCUGUCACAUAUUUAUAAGUAAAAUAGUGGAAUUUUAUUAAAUUUUUUAAUCUAAAUUUAGAUUUGAGCACUAUGUUUCAUUUUUGGAAAAUGUUAAAGAAAGAAAACAGAGCAGAAAAACUGAAAGAAAGAAAACGGUAUUGAAAAAAAAUUUAUUUUUUAUUUUUGAAUUUGAUUGUCCAUGAAAAAGUUGAAAAAAAUAAAAUAAAAUAAAAUUUUUAAGCAAUACUCUUUCACCAUUUUGGAUUUGAGGAAAAAAAUAUAGAAGGAAAAUUAAAUGAAGAUAGAAAAGGACCUCAAAUAUCAAUACUUAAAAAAAAUUAUAAAUAAAAUAUAAUAACAGAUCUAAGGAAAAAGCACACAAAAGUGUAAGCGAUGUAAAUAUGUGGUUCAAAGGCCAUAGGAAGUUAAAUGAUACACGAAAAAACAACUCCCUUACACUAAUAUUAUAUGGAUAUCCUUAAAACUAUUUUAAGUUUUAUCAACAAUUGAAAUGAUUUCUAAAUAUUUAAGUGAAGCAUGAUUCUAGGUCACCCCAUAUUUGAUGAAUGUAUUUCAUGGAUUGAAGCUUGCCAAUUCAUAGAUGGAGAUACCCUUCUCUUUUUCUAUUUUUAUUUUCACAAAUAAAAAUCCACAAAUAACAUUAAAUUAAAAAAAUACUUCCAAAUUAAUCUAGUGUUUUUUUUUAUUAAAUACUAAUUUUAUUAAUUAACAAUCAAAACCUCAUAUGAAAAUGACAAAAUAAUAAACAUCAAAAUGUUAUUUAUUACAAGGAGAAGUAUCCUUUUAAGGCUUUCAAUGACAUAUAAUGGGUCUAAAGGAUUUGUAAGAUAUAGAUUUAGCCCAAAACCUAAAAGUUAGUAUAUAAUUGAUGUAGAAGAUAUUUGACCAAUUGACUAUUUAAUAACACCUAAAUAUUAUUAAUUGGUAUAAUAUAAUUUUUAAGGAAAAUAAUAUUAAAAAAAAACACACAUUAAAAAGCAAAAACCUAAGGGCCAUUUUGUUUUUUCAAAGAAAAUAGAAAUCAAUGAAACAUCCAAAUAUUUUUUCAUUUUCAUCGAAAAUAAAGUUUGAAAAGGAAAAAAAAAUAGAAACGCCAAUAAAGUGUCUUUAAAUUUUUCUCGAGAAAAUGAAAAAUGAUUUUACACAAAAACUUUGUAUGACCCACAAUAUAACAGAAAAUGAAUAUAACAAACAAAUAUUAAAUUAUUAAUAUGAAUAAAACAGUAUCUCAUAUAUAUUUUAAACUAAAUAUUAUCUUAAAAGUAUGGUAUAAGUAUUUCAUUAGAAUAAUUUCAUUGAAUAGCUCUAAGUAUAUAUAAUGCUCAUAAAUUAUAAAACAUAAGAAUAUAUAACAUUAUAUACAUCAUAAAAUUAACAUAUAUGUAUAUAUAUUAUCAUUAAAAACAUAUCUCCUAACAUGAUAUAUAUUAUAUAGAAGUUUAAUUAUUAUUAUUUUAUUUUUUUACCAUUUCCAACAAAAGUGAAAACUUAAAAUGAGAUUUUGUGCAUUAAAUAUCUGAAGAAAAAAAAAAUAAUUUUUCUUAAACAAACACAUUUUCAAAAAUAAAAAGAAAAGAAAAAUAUCAAAAUAAAAACGGUUUCCAUAAAAUAAGGAGGAAAUUAUGUUAACAUGCAUUAUUUAUGAAAUAUGGAUGAAAAGAAAAUCUAUAAAAAAAAGAAAAAACAUUUUUACGGAGAGUGCAUUUGGAAAAAAAAUAAUUAUUAUUUCGUGCAUUGAAACAAUGUCUAUCUCACAUUACCAAAAAAAUGUCCUUACUUAUGUUUUAAUAUUAAAAUAAUACUAUUUUGAGCUUAAAAUAACAUUGUUUUGAGCUCAAAGUACAUUUAUUUGUUGAAUGAUAUACCAUCCUCAUGUGAGUUAGGCCGAUAUAAGUGGCAACUCAUAUACACAUAUAAAAACAUUUUUCAAGUAAUGUGAAGUAGGCACAGUUCUAGUGCAUGAAAUGGGAUUUGUUUUCCCAAAAUACACUUCUUAUACAAAUAACUUUUUUGGGUUCUCUUUUUAUCCAUAUUUUGUAAAUAGUGCAUGUGUACGUUAUUUCCCCUAAAAUAUAAAAAAUAAAAACAUUUUUUAAACUAAAUAUGACCUAAAACUCCUAAAUUCCUUUUAAUACGUAGUAACCAUAAAAUCCGUUAUUUUAAUAUUUUUCUUCAUAAUUGGUAAUAACCAACAAUUAUCAAUAUUGUUUUGAAAUUUCUCUUAUAAUUGGUAAUGCAAUGUAGAAAUCUACAUAUAAAUGUCAUUAUUUUUGCUCCCUUGUAUGUGUGUAAUGUGUCAUCAUAAAAGAAAAAAAUGUCUCUUUUUUCCUUGUUUGAUUUUUUUUUAAUUUAAGAAAAAAAGAUUGACGGGGACGUUUCUUCAAUUUUUUACUUUAAAAAAUAAAUAUUGAGUUUUAAAUUUUUUUUUUCUCUAAUGAAUAAUUUUUGACUUGUUUUAUAUUAUUAACCAAGAGGAAGAAAAAAAAAAGGAAAAAAAAAACAAUAAAAGAAAUGAAAUGAAAUCUAUCUAUCUAUCCAUCUCUAUAUAUUCUAACAAAAUCUUUAUCAUUUUCUAAGCAAAGCAUACUUAUUCCAAUUUUUCAUUUUUACAAAGUCAUAUCAUCUAUGUAUAUAUAUAAUGGACUUUAGCCCAAUUACAUCCAUUUGACUUAUUAUAUGUUAUUAAAAGGCCUAAAAUACAAUUCUCCCUAAAAUGAAAUUUAUCUUCACAAUUUUCCUCAAUUAAUUAUGUUUUAUUUAAAUGUAUAUCAUUAUUUAUUAAAUAAAAAUUAAAAUAUAAAAAGAAAAAGAAAAAAAGAAAAAAUUAAAUAUUUUAUUAUUUUAAAAAUAAUUAAUAUAAAUUAAUUUUAAAUAUAUUAAGAAAUUAUUUUUUCAGUUUUUAUUUAGUUUAUAUAAAACAAUAUUAUUGAUAUACUAAAAUUUAUUUUUCUAUUACAGUAAUUGAAUUGCAAAUAGUAAAAAGAUAAUGUAAUUUCUUCCAAAAUAUCCAUAUACUAGUUUUUCAAUUCACGAAUUUAAAAUUUAUCAUAUAUUAUCUCAUAAGAAAAAUACGUAACGCUAAACCCUUGAAUGUCUCAUAACACUUGCAGUUUUGUCCACUGCUGCCCUUAAAAAUAUUUUUAGGACCAACUCAACGAUACUUUCGAACACGUAACCUAAAGUUUGUGAUUUUUGUGAUUCAUAAAGUAAAAAAAUCAGUAUACAAAAUUAGAAAGCGCAACUUUUCUGUACGAUCAUGCCAAGUGGCACAACCAUAAAGGCCCUCCAAAAGGUGGCUUGAUCAUAAGGAAGCAUAAUUAUGGUCCGACCAAAUAAAACCACCGCCCACCAUACAAACCACUGUAUCUACGUACACGUGGCGCAUAGAAAAAUAUGCGGUCCCACCUAGAUUUCUAUUUCCAACAAAAGAGGAGGCUCUAGAUCCUGGCCAACCCACCUACAAGCCUCAAGCCACCCCUAUGUGCAAGAUAUAAUUGUAUGUACCAAUCAGAAGGCUGUGAGUUGCUUGCCCUUGAUCUUGUUGAGUUUAAAACAAAGCAAGAAAAUUGUCAACGUCAUCUACGUUUGUGAUGUCUCUACCUCUCAGAUUCCUCAACCAACGCUUAGUUUUGAGUGGGUCCCUACAAAUACUAAUCCGCGAAGGGAGGGUGACGAUGCUUUUGUGAGGACACUCAUCACCCCCACCCGUCACAGAAGCUUCACGCCUCAUGAGUUCUACGACUAUAGUGACACGUGUCUUGGAAAAAGAAACGGGCCAUAAAUUCUUCUGACACGAUGUUUCUGUAUUUUAUGGGACCACUCUCGUUGUGAAACGUGUCAUGCCUCGUCAGAAGCAAUCGUAACUUUUUAAUUAAAUUAUAUGAUGCUAAUUUUUUUAAAAAAAUAUGAAGCAUUGAAUUGUACUAAAUAACGGACUACCUGAGAGCCACCAUGGCCGUCGUAGACGCCGAAGAAAUGGACGGGGGAGAUCUCUCUGGAGGUUCUCGAAGCUGGUGCCGUACAACCGCCGAUGUGAUCGCACGUGCGAGACAUGAACCCCGGGACAACCGCCACGGCGUCCUCCAUCUCUCUCCGUCUCCCAAUCACCGAAGUGAACCCCCAGGUCACUCCCUUGUUGUUCCUCCCCACACACUUCUCUCUCGCCGCUACCGUCACCGUCGUCUCCCCUCCGCUUCCGCCGCUGUAGCUUGCAGGAGUAGGAUUCUCCAUCCGCGGAACCACGGCCUCUGCUACAACGGCAGCGAGAUACUCGCCGGAGCUGCUGCUAGUAACGGAUAUGUCACCGCCGGAGCUAGUGGUGCUGCGAGCGUCUUCAGUGCCGAGUAUUGAGGAAACGCCGGAGCCUGUAGAAUCCAGUUCGUGUUCGGAUCCAAGAGGCUGGAGAUCAUCGUCUUCCAAGGGCUCCAUUUGUGGAAACUGGAAUGCCUUCACAUCCAGCAGAGAGUAUAACAAAGGAGGAGGAGAGAAGGAAAAGAGCGAGAAUGGGAUAAAAGGAGAGGGGGGAGAGCUAGGAGGUGACACGUGUGAGGAGAUGUGACUCGAUGACACACGCAUCCGUAGUGAAGCCAAUUGAUUGUAGUCGUACUCAGUUGCUUUUCGCUGCGUCGCCACGUGUCCCUCUCUGAUCUGACGGUGCCAAGCUGGUGUUGCGGUAGAGGUCGAGUCUCUGAAUUAUUGUUGUAGUCAUAGUGAUUCGGUGGUGGACUUGGUUCCCUCCAGUUUCUGCACCAGCAAUCAUCGCAUGAUGUGUCACCCUGUGAGCUGUCCGUUUCCUUUCUUUCUCACCCCCAUUUUCACCAUCUCACAAUUGUAACCUUUUACCACAAAACCGCGUCCACCGAAUGAUUGCCUCUCUCCGUGAGGAAUCUAGCAGUAUAUGUUAGGCGGACCUGGCAAAUGGUACUCUCUCUUCGUAGUGGCCACGUGGCAUCCGUCUUAAAAUAGAAUUUGACCUUUACAAGUUAGAAGUAUCAGGAAGUCGGUUGGCCGACACGUUGACGGACGAUGAGGGAGAUCUGACGGCUGUCAGCCCAUCAUAUGUUCACAUGAGAUGGAUGUGGUGGUGGAUCCAGCGUGGGAUUAAGGUCGUAUUGACGAGACAGGCGACGAGCAAAUAAGAAGAUGACACGUGGUUUUUACUCAGCCCCACGUCAGGACAGGACACGUAUCUCCUCUAACGGAGACUAGUUCCUCCACAAGUCUUGGAUAGAAGUAGGAAAAAGUUGAGGGCAAAGAUUCCAUGGAUUUAAUGACUAUAUUAACCCCCAACGUGGAAAAUGUUGAACAUGGAACACCGAAUACCUAUCACAGGGGAGGGACUGUUUGGUAACAGUGUCAGUUGUGUCCCAGGAAAGGUCUGAGCACUAUUUUCAGCUGUUUUUACCGAAAAUGGAUGAUUUUAACUUAGGAACCAAGCAAUUGGUUGGUUUCUUCACGAGUAUCUCAAGGUUUAGAUUAUUGGAAUGGUAGGAUAUAAGAAAUCGCAGCUUGAUUUGGUUAAUCAUGAGAUACAUCCCAAUUAUUAUUGUUAAUUUAGUAGAAUAUUAGCUGGAAUGCACUUGCUACUAUGUUUGUUUUAGGUGCUUAUUGGAUUCAGCCACGUGUUUGGUUCUUUGCUCCCAUAUUGAUUCCGAUCUAUCCUUGGCGUGUCAAAUUAAUUAUUGGGGCGACAUAAGCGGGGCUUGGGGCUAACACACUUGUGGAUCCAACCGGCCCGUCAAAUUGUUAUUGUUAGUGGACUCGGGCCCAAGGUAGACUCCAAAUGGGCCUUUAAACUCCAGCUGGGUGAGCCUUAUCCCUGGUCCACUCUACACUAUUUCAUUAAUCUGCAUUCAACUACAAAUUUAUAUCUAAUAAAGCGUAGGAGAGAUUGUGGAAUGUGGACACUUCAAAAGAGGCGGGUUCCUAUUGUCUUUGUAGAGAGUCAAGAGUCAAGAGUCCAAAAUGAACCAUUUCCAACAUGAAACGGCUCGCCUAAUACUUCCCAAUCAUGAUCCAAAACCUAGCAAGGGAACAGCUUUGAUCAAACCACAUGGUUCACGCAUGGGAUGAGGGUGGCCCACGUCAUGUCCAGUGUCCACUUGUUCAUUGUCUCGUAUUUCGGUCAAAAGGGGAGAACUUAGCUGCUCUGGCGUACGCAGCGGCCAGAAUGCAAUUCUCCAAUCACUUUGAUCAUCAACCCAUCAUGGUCGUGUCUUGACUGUGUCAGAGCUUACGUUUGUAAUUACUGUACCCAUGCCCAUUGCAGAGAAACCAAGCCUUGAUGGUGGGCAGAGUUUCAUCACAAAGGCUAGUCCGUGUAGGACGCGCCUUUGCACUUUUGGUGCCCCUCCAACUAUAAAAAUCCAGACAGUUGGUCACAAUGUCAAACCCCCACUCUCUCUUAUAGAUAAGACUCCCUCUAUAAAUAUCUCUCUCUGUCUCUGUGUUUGUAUGGCAGCCAAAUCCCCAGAAUCAAGCCUCAUGGUGAACCGUCAUAUCGAUCUGUGCUUUGAUCUCGACCUGGCUAUAACAGCAGUGGAUGAUACGAGUGAGAUCUCAAAAUCAACCUCCAUGGUAUCCACCAUGCCGACGGUUACUGCAGUGGACGCCUGCACGGUCUGCAGGGAAGGCUUUCAAUCAGGUGAGGGUGGUAAGCAACUUCCCUGUGGCCAUUUCUACCAUGCCGGUUGUAUAGCUUCAUGGCUCUCCCUCCGCAACUCCUGUCCGCUGUGCCGGUGCAGCGUCCCCGGCGAAGACUGAUCAGUGAUCGCAGACAUAUUCACUGCAUCUCUUGUUUUGGAUUUUGCUUAGAGUAGGCGCAAAUCCUUUUGUAUACUACUCUUACCUAUUUGAAAUAUAGAAUUCCUUUUUCCAUUUCCAUCAUAGUCUUUGCAUGAAACAAUCUUACUGAUCCGUGAGUUGGUGGCUUCUGUUUGAAUACUGCUAAAUGUCAAGGCAAAUGCUCGCCCCACAUGGUAUGUUGUCAUACUUACCUACCAUCCUUUAUUUGAUAUAUAUUUUCUCAUCCAAUUUCAGAGAACCACAACACACAGAAAAUUAAAGCACAAAAAACUGGGGCACAGCAGGCUGUUUCUCUUUUUCUCGUUGACAAAUGAGUUCUUCCCUGUACAAGUGAAAACUCCAGGGAUGAUGUUUCUCGGAUGGAAGCCAUUUGCUUCAUAUGAAGCCCGCCUGGGCCCCAGGCUUAAUUUUGACCCUUUUUUCCGGGUCAGGUAUGUACGAAGACUUGAGACUUAGUUUAAUAGCUGGAAGUAAGCUAAUCAGAAAUGCCUUCUUUCUUAUCUUUCGUUUCCAAUUUUUAUUUUUUUUAUCAGGGUUGAGAAAUUCUUUAUUUUAUAAUUAACCAAGAUUCAUUUAUCAUUAAAAAAGAUUUCUAAACGUCUGCUAAAUGAAUUUUUUAAGAAACUUUGACUUACAAAUUUGUGCUCAUGUAAUUCCAUGUCAUAAAGUUCAUGAAUUUAGUAGGUCAAACGGGAUUUUUAUUUUUUAUUUUUGAUUGUGAUAUCUUUUUCCAAUAAUUUAUUGUAUUACUUUUUUUUGGUUAACCAAAUUCCUUAUUUUGAAACAAAUUGAACAAUCCACCACUUAUAUUAUCCAAAUAAUUUAAAGUUUAAGAUGAAAUUAGGUUAUGCUUAAACAAUUCUUGUAUUAAAUUAAUGUUAUGAUGAGUUUUUUUAUUAUUCAUUCUUUAUAUUUGUUUAUUUUCUAUCAUUUUUUAGUCCAAAAUGUUUUAUUUUCUAGAUACAAAGUGUACUUUCAUGAAAAAAAAAAAACAUGAAAAGAUUCAAUUUAUUGAAAUUUUUUAAAAAUUAUACUUAAUUUGUAUUGAUUCACAUCCAAUUUUGUAGAUAUUGUGUGAUUUAUACGCCUUUAAAACACGUCUACAAUAUUAAAAAUAGUUUAUAUUUGAUUGGUAGACUCACAUGAUUAUAUUCUUGAAGUUUUUUUAUAAUGUCUCAUAUCCCUCUUAAUCAUGUAAAUACAUUUAAAAAGUUGUGAGGAUCCCUUUGAAGAUUUUUUGUGAUGUCUUAGGAAGAAAAAUUUAAAAGCCCAUUUGGGCGAUGGGAUACAGGUCUUUACAUAAUUUACAAUUUCAUCGAACCAACAACACCCGUAUCCAUGGGAGCUCUCAUGGAAUCCAUGUGCAUGCAUAUGUUCCAAGUGCAACAUGAGCCGGAUUGCAAGUGGAUUUAUCAAUUGAUUUUGCAAAUCCUUUUCCUAUAUUAUAUUAUGAAAAUAAUUCAUAUAUGUAUUUCAAUUGGGGACAAAUUUUUACAUUAAAUAGUAUUUUUCGGUCCCAUAUUUUAGAAAGCACAUUUAGCUUAAGAAACAUUAAGAGUUUGUUUAAUAAUUGUUUUCAAAACUAGUUUUCUAUUUUUUAUAAUAAAAAAAUUGAAAAACUCGUUUAACAACUAGAAACUAUUUUCUAUUUUUUUAUAUCAAUAAUAUAACAUCUUUUUGUUGUUUUCAGUUAUUUUCACUUGUUUUUUUUAGAAUUGUUUUAAAAAAUAAUUAUACAAUCAUAUAUAAUAAUUAAAAAUAAAGUUUUUGAUAUAAAAAUUAUUUUUUCAAAUAUAUUUAAAAAUAUUAAAAAUAUGUUAAAAAUAUUUCGGAUUCCCAAAUAUAUUUUUAUUUUACAAAACAUUAUAGAUUAGUUUUAAAAAACUAUAUUUCAGAAUUGUUUUGAAAAAUAGUUAUCAAAAAAUGACAUAAGUAUUUAAUAAAACUUUAAAAGUGAUUUUAAAAAAUCAAAAAAUUACUUUUAAAGAAAAUAUUUCAAUUAAAAAAAUUUAAAUAAAAAUAUUGUGAAACAUAAUCUAUAAUCUACUUGACAAUACUUUUAAAAAACAUUUAUAAUAUAAAAUAUAUUUUUUUGCAAAUUAAAUAUUUAAUAAAAUUUUAAAAAUACUUUUAAAAUUUUAAAAAAUCAUCCAUUGGUGUUUUUUGAAUAAACAUUUGAGAGACAAUUCUCUCAAAAAGGAAAACCAUUUUAAAUGCACUUUCUCAAUACCAUUAAAUGCACGUAUUAGAAAAAUAUAUAAAAAGGAAAAAAUUAAAUAAAACCCAAAUAAUUAUCUUUUUAUUAUCCUACACUAAAUUAAUAUUAAAUAACAUAUUGUCAUUCUUUUUUCUUUAAAAUGAAAAAAGAAAAGUUUACGACACCAAAUUGAUACUUUUUAACUUUACAUCUCCCUUUUUGAAAGUAUAUAAUAAAAUUUAAGUUACCAUGAAGGCUAAGGUAAAAAAAAAUCCUAAUAAUUUUCCCAAAGAAAUUGAAGAGAGAAGAAAAAACCUAAUCAAUAAAAUCUUAGUUUAUGUUAACGUGCUAUACAAGUAAAAAACGCAAAGAAUAGAGUGGGUGAUCAAUGUCAUUAUCCAUGGCCGACGAAGGUAAAGAAAUGGGGGUGGGGGUGAUCCAUGACUAUGGCGAUAUGACCAUUAGUCAGUCAACCACGAAUUUUGGACCUUAUGGAUUUUUUUUUUCUGUUAAGUGGGGUACACUCGUACUUUUAUAUUGAUUUUUUGCUAAAAAUAAUUUAUUUUCAAAAUUUGGAUAAUUUGUUUUUAUUUUUUAUUUUUUUAUAAUUUAUUAUAAAAUAGAAAAAACUAAAAUAUAUAACUUUUUUUUAAAUAAAAAAAUAAUAUAUUAAUUUUUCUUUAUUUUUUAAUACUUAAUCGAAAUAAAAUAUUACAAAAACAAACAACUUAAUAUUUAAUACUAUUAAACAUUAAAGUUUUAUUUAAAAUUAAGUAAAAAACAAACACUACUUAAUUAAUCAUAGAUGGUGUUUGUUUUUUUGGUUUUUUUACUAAAAAUAUUUUAUUUUCAAAAUUUACAUAGUUUAUUUUUCUAUUUUUUAUAAUUUAUUAUAAAUUUUUUAUUAAAUACAAAAAAAUUAAAAUAUGUAACUUUUCUUAAAUAAAAAAAAUAACAUAUUGAUUUUUCUUUAUUUUUUAAUACUUGAUAGAAAUAAAAUAUUAAAAAAAUAAAUAACCUAAUAUUUAAUAUUAUUAAAUAUUAAAAUUCUAUUUAGAAGUAAAUAAAAAAACAAAUACCACCUUAAUCUUAAUCUUAAUAUGAAUUAUAUCUUAAUCUUUUUUCUGCUAAGGAGGAAUUUAAGAUGCCGAGGGCUCAUAAUGAAUAUAGAUUUUAUAAUAUAUGGUUAGAGCUUAUGAUAAUUACGAAUAAAUGAAUAAAAUCAUAUAUCCAGAAUAUUUUGUGAAAAUCUGGCUGCUUCUUACGGGCAAGAUUUCUUAGGGUACAAAAAGUUGUGAAACAAAAGAAAUGUGGGACAGGUGGAGGCUGCUAAGACCAAACAGCAUCGUACUUGUUCUUCCAUCCGGGAAUUCAAAAGGGAAAGGCAUGUUUUGCUUGUCAAUUUGGAAAUAAAUAGCUUUUCAAAACCUAAGAUUUGGAAUUCCAAGAUUUCGCGUACAGAGUGGGUUUUUUAUGCCUAAUUUGCCCUUAGCUAGUUUUUAUGUCAAUAUCCACGUUGCAUGGUAAGUAGAAGGGUUAAAAAAUAAUAAUAAUAAUAAUUACAGUAUGGAAUUUUCUAAACACUUCUCUCUCUCCUUCUUCACCACCCUGACAGGGUGUCCAUAUGAAAGUUCCUAAUUUUUCAAAAAUAAUUAAUAAUAAUAAUAAUUAUUAUUAUAUUUUACAUUUUUUUCAAACAUUUCUCUCUUUCCUCCUUCUUGAAUUAUUGAAAAAUUUCAAUUUCCUAAAAUAAGAUUUCCCAUCUUGUUUAGGGAAAUCGGAA